UCGACUGUUCUGUUUUUCGCAGCCUCUGUUUCUUGUUCUAUCCUCUACUUUUUUAGUUCUUCUUUCAGCCGCAACCCUGCUGUUUUUCCUUAGCUUUUUCCCUCAGCCCCCAAAAAUCUCCGUCUCUCCCUCUGUUUUUAGCCUCCCCUUUUUCUCCGUUUUGCAGCUCCGCCACCCAAGGAGCUUCCUCCAGCGCCUCCUCUUGUGUUUUUUCCUUUUCCUUAGUCACGGUUUUUCCCCAUCCGCCACCCUUUCUGGUUUCUCCCUCUAGCAAUGAAAUCAAUUUUUUAAACCAAUUUCUUCUGGCUAUCCAUCAAUCUCUCGAAGAAAGAAAAAUGGGUUUUUCUUCUUUUCUCUGUUUUUGCUGUUCUUUCUUGCUUGCUUUUCUUUCGUCCCCAAAAUUCCGCCGCCGUCCUCUUCAGCUCUCAAGCCUUUUUUUCUUUUUGUUGUUUCCUUUUGCUCUGCCCUUUCCCCUACCGUAUGUUUUUUCUUUUGCUCUCUUCCCGAACCCCCCUUUUUCCCUUGCACCCGUAGCCUUUUUCAUUUCUCCUUGGCCCCCCCAAAAAUGUGUAACACCUAACCCUCUUACAUGCCUUGUUGCCCACAAUACAAGAGGGACACUUGUCUAGCAUGCAAGUUUCCACUUGUCAACUUUUCCUUUACUCCUUUUUUUUUUAAAAAAAUUCUACACUAAAACUUACAAAAAUAAAAACUACAAGAGCAACUAAAAACUCAAAAGUGAAUAAAACUAAAAUAAAAUAACACCUAAAAGGGCUAGACAAACACAUAAUGAACUAAAACGCAAAUCAUCUAAACACAAAGCAUUAAUUCAAAAUUUGGUGUCUACAGUUUGCCCCUCUUUGUUUGAGUUUUGAAAAAACUUGAGACAAAGAAGUAGACACCAAAUACCUACCUGCUUUAUCUGGUGGCGAACGUCAUGAAUGGUGGACGUUUUUAGAAAUGGGGACUGACCCCUCUUGACAAAAUUAAAGUGUAAUUGAUUUAGAUCAGGAAAUUAAAAGGAAAUUAAAAGCGGGACCGGCCCGAACAAAAAUUAAAAAUGGGACUGGCCCGAACAGAAUUUAAACGGGACUGACCCGAACAGAAUUUAAACGGGACUGACCCGAAUAGAAAUUUAGACGGGACUGACCCGAACAGAAUUUAAACGGACUGACGAACAGAAAUUAAAACGGCUGACCCGAACCGAACAGAAUUUAAAACGAACAGCGGACUGGGACGACAGAAUUUAUUAAACGGGACUGACCCGAACAGAAAUUAAAACGGGACUGACCCGGUGACUGACCCGAACAGAAUUUAAACGGGACUGACCCGAACAAGAAUUUAAACGGGACUGACCCGAACAGAAAUUUAAAACGGGACUGACCCGAACAGGAAUUUAAACGGGACUGACCCGAACAGAAAUUUAAACGGGACUGACCCGAACAGAAAUUAAACGGGACUGACCCGAACAGAAUUUAAACGAGAUGAAUUGAAGUGAGAUGGUGUGUUGGUGGGAUUGACCCAUGUUUAUUGGUGAUGCAAAUGAAAGCAGUGAAAUGAAGUGUUAAUGAGACCGACCCAUGUUUGUUAGUGAUGUAAAUGAAAUGAUCACUAGUGGGACUGACCAACGGCUAGUGGCGAACGAAAAGGAAAUGCUCACUGGCGGGACUAACCUCAGGCUCCAGUGGCUUUGAAAAUGAAAUGCUUUGACAAUCGGACAGUGGGAUUAAACCCGAUCCUGCCGUGAUGAACUUGAUUUGAUUUUUUGACUUUUUGAUUUUUUUGAUUUUUUUGAUUUUUUGGUUUUUUUUUAUUUUUUUUUUGAUUUUUUUUUAUUUUUUUUGAUUUUUUUUUAUUUUUGAGAAACUUUCCAAAGAUAAUUUGCCCCAGUAUGAUGAAUUGGUCAGUGGGAUUACACCCAAGCCUGCCUUGGUUGCACUGGCGGCAUAAAUCCAGGCCCAACGAGAUUUUUAGAAUGUUGGCGGCACCAGGUCCAGGCCCAACUUGAUUUUGGAAAUGUUGGCGGCACAAGAUCCAGGCCCAACGAGAUUUUUAGAAUGUUGGCGGCACCAAGUCCAGGCCCAACGAGAUUUUUAGAAUGUUGGCGGCACCAGGUCCAGGCCCAACUUGAUUUUGGAAAUGUUGAGAGAAUGGGGGAACAGAAUGAUGCGCAGCGUGCAUUGAAGCUUUGCCCACAAGAAAUCAAAUUUGAUUUUUCAAGAAACAAGAAAUUGAAUUUGAUUUUUCCUGAUUUUUCUGAUUGAUUGAUUUUGAUUUUGAUUUUUGCAUUUUUGAUUUUUGAUUUUUUCUUUUCAGUGUCAAGUCCAUUUCCUCCUUCUUCUUGCUUCUCUUUGCAGUAUCGGCCUUCCGCCUCACUGGAUGUUUUUCGUCCUUUUGAACCAUGAUUACCUGUACAAGGGGUUCCUCAAAGUAUGACAUGCAUUCAAAUUUCUUAUUUGGAAAGAACAGCGUGAUUGGUCCGAAAAAUGUCUUGCUUGACUCUUGGGCGAAAAUCUCAAAUGUAUUGCGGAAAAUUUUGCCCCAGUGUAGGCUUAUUUUACAAAAUCCCUCCAAUGAAAACUUGCCCCAGUGUGGGCACAUUUAAUUGCAAAAAUCUCUCAAAUGAAAAUUUGCCCCUGUGUGGGCCCAUUUGAUUGCAAAAAAUUUGUUCAGAUGAUUCCCCAUUUAUUUGAACAAAGAGAAAUCGCACCUUCCAAAAUUUAGAAAGUAAUCAUUUGAACGUUGAAUGCAGAAAUUUCAUGAUGAAUUCCUCGAAGUAACACCAAAUUCAAGAAAAUUUCUUCCUCACUUCUAGCAUUGGUGUUUAGGGUAACGGGUCACCACUUCUGAUUGGCUCAUCUUUCAGGACCAAUCAAGUGACUUUAUUAUUUUUUUGAAAUGGCUAAGGAAAUGGGAGGUCAGAAUUUGUUUGGCUUUUGUGCCCAAAAUUGUAAAGCAUUCAACAUCACAUCUUAGUGAAAGCAAAGAGUUUGUCACCCUUAUUUUUCAAGAAAACUUAGUCAACAUACAAGCUUUCUAGGCUUGUAACGUAUGGACAGAAUUGAUAGCUAAACAUGUGGAAACGGGUUAUACCCUUAUGAUCACAAAUGAUUUGAUGAAUUUCUUAUGAGUAUGAUCCUCACUUUGGAUUGUCAUGAAAGAAUAAGUCAACGAUGGACUUUAUUAGCUUGUAAUGUGGCUUGAAAACGAUAGUUUAAGACCUUCAAGGAUAUUGCACCAUAGAUUGCUUUUUUCCAAAAUUACCCAUAUUUUGAACUCAAAAGAUUUCAGACUUUGUUUGGAUUUUCUCAUCAUUCCCCAGGGUCCUCAGUGUCGAAUUUUUCUGCAUUUUCCUUUCUUGCUUCUUUUCUUCUUUUUUUCCUUUUUCUUUUUCGAACUGAUGGGCUUUCACAUGGUGAGUAGCGUCAAUCCCAUAUCCAGGCAAUUCAGAAAUACAGCUAAAUUUUCCGGCAUCAGAAAUUUUCUUGACAAGGCCAUUGCAAAGAACAGAAGUCAGGACUUUCGGCUUUUGUAAUGGGGUCUGGUGGGUUGUUUAAAAAAGUUAAGGCUUGAAGGCAGAUUUUAAAAAUGGUUUGAAGAAUCUGAGAUCGCAUUGUUGCCAACCCUAUUUUAGGGCUAAACCAGAAUUUGCCCCAGUUUAUGCUCAAUUGAGGCUCUCUUUCAUUUUGUUUUUCCCUCGGCCUUUUGCCAUUCCUUUGAAAUUUUCAAAAAUUUGCCCCAGUUUAUUUUGAACUGAGGUUCUCUUUUCUUUUGCUUUUGAUUUUGCGACUUUUCACUUUUUCACUUCUUGAAUUUUCCCUUUCUUUUGCAAACUUGCCCCAGUGUGGGGUUUGCGAUUCUCAGGGGUUGCCAAACGAAGUAUUUUUAUUCUAAAGGCUCAAAAGGGAUAACUAGGGAUAGAAUGCUUGAUCGGAAAAGAAGAAGGCCUGACUUUAAAUCCGUUCCUUACAAUAACUCUGAAAGGAGACUUUCGUUAAUGCGAAAUUUUUUUUUUUGCAUGUAUCUGAAUUACUGACUAAGGAAGACCCUUGUUCAUCCAUAUUUGUGAAACAUAGAGGGUCCGCCAGACAACUUUUCUUUCUUUUCUUUUCACUCUUCUUUUUCUCACAAUUGAAGCUCAGGUAGAAUCAAAUUUCCCCAAUUUGCGGUUCCCCCUUUUGAGUUUUAGCAUUUUUUGCUUUUUUUUUUUUUUGGAAAAAUCUCCGAUCUCCCUCCCCAAUGUGGGGUGCGAUCAUAGGUGCUCUCGAAAAGAAUCACCAAUUUUUAGCUCAAAUGAGGAUGCAAUGGGUAAAUUGUGUUUAGAUUGUAGAAACGAUGGCCAAAGUAUCAUUCUUACACUCCAUGACAACCAAAGUAACGAAUUGCUCAUUGAAAAUUCAUUCCCCUUCUUGGAUAUUUGAAAAUUUUCCAAUAUAGGGUAGUGAUCAUUAGGGCUCUUAUUUGAAACGAAAUUAUUCUUUCAAAGGCUCAAAUGGGAGAGCAAAAUGAUAAAGUGUGUAUAAGUAGAGAAAAGAAUGCUCAAAGCAUCAUUCCAAAUUUUCAAAACAAAUAAGAAUAAUGCACAUUUUUGCUUUCACUUAGAUGUGAAUUGAAUCUGGUUAAACUAAUGGGCAUUUGCAAGCAAAAAGUUGCUCCAAUUUGCAAUUUAUCAAUCAAUGUGACUGAUUUUAUUUUGUGAUUGAAUGAAAUAGGCAAAAUAUGAAUUGUACAGUGAAUUGUACAGUAAAGGAGAAAAUGUAUCUCAUGAGGCCUUUGGAGUGACCAUGCACCUUUUUCUGAGCACUUUUAUUGUAUGGCUCGGAUCACCAAUCGAGUGUAAGGAUUUUAGGAAGCAUACACUUGUGAAUUUUCAAGCUGGAGGUUGAAAAAAUCUCAAUUUAGUUUUAUUUUUCAAAAUUCAUCAUGAAAUCUCCAAUGAGUAAGAAUAAAGAAUGAAAUGUACAUAAGUAUAUACAAAACAAUAAUUGUCCAAAAAAUUUUAUUGCUGAAAAAGUUUGAAACAAAAUUCCUCAUUCAAUUAUGAUACAAAUAAGAAAAUAGAAACUUGUAAACGGCUCCACAUAUACACUUUUCAUCUCCUCUUCUUUUGGAACAAAAUAUACUAACAAAUCAAAUAAACAGAAUUUCCCUUUGGAAAAUAAUUACAAAUCUCUCAGAGGCUUUAGCGUAGAGCUUCCAGAUAAAUCAUUUAUGUUUUCAUUGUAGGAUCUGCCCAAAAAUCACACAAUACUUGCAAUUUUGACACCUUAUUAGAUCGGAAGUGCCAUCAGAUAUAGAAAAAUAUUUUCUCUUUUAUUGAAGUGUUUUUAUGAAUGCAGGGGAGGGGGAAAACAAAAGAAAAAUACCCUGAGUUAGUAAACAAGAAUAUAAAAUCGGUAUGCAUGUCCAAUAGGGGGACCCUUUUUGUGCCAAGGGUAGGCCUAGCAUGAAAAUGCAAUCCGCUAGAGUAGGCACCAUACCAUACCUGAUGAAUCCGAUCCACUCAUUGAGUGAAAAAUAAUUUUGAAAAUUUUGGUCAAUUGGAGUGAGGAGAGACAUUUGUUAAAAUGAGGUCAACGUCCGAAUGGAUUGAUCACUUUUGAUCGAUAUUUGCAAAAACGCACGGGUUUGACCUUGACGAACUUCCUACCGAAGAGACUGGAAUUCGUUGACAAAAUUUUCUCAGUGAAGCAUGGGUAAAAACCCCAACUGAUCAAAUGGCUGAAUGCAAUGGACGAUUUUCUCAAAAUCGACUAGGUUUUCCAUUUUGAAAUUCGACAUUGAAAACCCUAAUUGGGCAAAUGGGUUGAAUGAAAUUAACAAUUUAUUUAAAAUCGACCGAAUUACCCUAAAAAGGGAAACGGGUCAAAUGAUUUGAGUGAAAUUUAAAAAUUUACUUAAAAUGACCGAAUCAUCUAAAAAAGGAAUUUGAUCGAAUGAAAUUGAGAAUUUUAUGCAAAAUGGACCGGAUCGCCCUAAAAGGGUAAACUGGUCAAAUGAAUCGGACGAAAUUGUUGAUUUAUCGAAAAUCGACAAAAUUGCCCUAACUAAUCAAAUGAAUUGAAUGAAAUCGGUGAUUUAUUCAAAAAUCGACUAGAUUGCCCUAAAAAUGGGUGAAUUAGCCAAAUGAAAUGAAGAUUUAUUCAAAAAUCGACCGGAUGACCCUAAAAAGGGUAGAUUGGUCAAAUUAAUUGACGAUUUAUUCAAAAUCGACCGGGUGACCCUAAAAAGGGUAAAUUGGUCAAAUGACCCUAAAAAGGGUAAAUUGGUCAAAUGAAUUGACGAUUUAUUCAAAAUCGACCGGAUGACCCUAAAAAGGGUAAAUUGAUCAAAUGAUCCUAAAAAGGGUAAAUUGGUCAAAUGAAUUGACGAUUUAUUCAAAAUCGACCGGGUGACCCUAAAAGGGUAAAUUGAUCAAAUGAUGGUUUAUUCAAAAUUGAUUAUGAAUUGACAAAAUGGAUCGAUUGAAUCGGCCGGCCAUUGAUGGUUUCAAAAAAAAAAAAUUAGUCUAUGAGCCUUCUAAAAUCACGAUUUUGGCCUCAAUUUAUUUAUCGUCUCAAUAGGAGGAAUCAUUUGUGAAUUUCUUCAAAUUAAUGUCCUUCACGCAAGGGAUUUUUACCAAUUUUUGAUAAAAUGGCCAAAAAGUGAUUAUUAGAUGCUCAUAUUCCCAAAGAUUACUCUAUGAAAAUGAUCGGAUCCUACCUUACCUUGUGCACUACCCCUUUGGAUGGUACAAAAUGUAAACGUGCAAGUCUCGUUGGAUUAAGUAUCCGAGACACAAGGUGGCUUAUUCCUAACACGGGAUCCCCUAAGUGGCAUUCCCUUUCUAGGGUUUAUGCAUGAUGCCAGUUAUUAAAGCGAUGAAUUGUGCAAUUCGAAAUGAAACGUGACCUAAGGAACCCUUUAUUUGCCAGGGUAGGCCUAAAAUGCUAUGCAAUUACCAAAAUCUAUGAAUGCAAUAUACCAAAAUCUUUAAACGUGCAAUAAUCUAUCUACGAGGGUAGGUUCUAAAAGAAGGUCAUGCCAGACCUCUUAUUUGAUAGGGUUUGUGAAUGCAAUGGGGACAUAAAACCAAGAAAAGUUAGUUCAGCCAGAUAAAUACACAUAACACAUUGUAGCAACGAAAUCAUUACAAAGAAAUAAAGCAAUAAAAGGGAGAAAGGGGUUGGACCCCUCCCCUCGUGAAUAGUGUGCUUAGCUCAGGAUAAGGCCGACUCUACCCUAGGCAAUUCUAAUAUGGAUGCAUGAGACUGGGGUUCGCUAAUGCAUCUAAACUCGAUAAGCUCAGGUCCCCGAGCCUUCAGACUUAGAAACCAAGGGUCAUCAAUCCCAAGGUUCUUUGUCGGUGGCUCGAGCGAUUCCCCAAACACCGCUACGCACACAUCGUGUCACGGCUACGUGUUUGAGUGAAUCUAUCAAAAUCCUCAACCUUCGACUAAAAGCUAAAGGCUAUCAACCCAUAGCUUAAAGCGGAAGAUUGAGUGACUCAUUGGAACAUGCUACACACACAUCGUGUCGUGAUCACAUGGCCAAGUGAGUCACCUAAUCCUAAUAGGGUGGAGUGGCGUGACAAGCCACUAAAGAAAAAUAAAAGGGAUAAAAGAAGUAAAGCGUAUGCUCGUAUGCUAGUGCUCGUUUGGAGGGGAAGGGUCAAGAACCAACGCGAGGCUCUAGGGUGACCCAUACCUCCCAAAAUGCAAUGUAAGCGCGAGAUAACAAGUAAACAUUCAUUCAAACAUACAUUCAUGAGUCGAGGGAUUAGCUGGACACGCGUGAAAUGCAAAAUCCUAAAAAAGGAAAAAAUGCAACCCUAAAACACCCAAAUGUGAUAUAUGAAAAGGUUAAAAGAAGAAAAAGGUUGAUUAAAUCAAAUUUGCUCGGACUCUCGAAAGUCCCCAGUGGAGUCGCCAACUGUCGCGCCCCAUUUUUUGAUGAAAUAAAUAAAUAAAUGGUUUGAGAAAGAUGUAUUUUGUGUGAUUGAAAAAUGAAUCGUGAUUUAAAAGAAAAUGGGUCUAAAUGGGACUUUUGAAAAUGCGACGAUUUGACCCAAGAAAAAUAGUUCAAAAAGGGCUUUUUAUAUGAAAAUGGAGUCGCCACUUGGUAUAGAGUUAGGGUGUACCAAGUCACCCAAAAAGUGAAUUUUUUAAGGAAAAAAAAAGUAAGAAACCCUUUUGAACGACUCCUAGUCCACGCAAACAAAGAAAAAGAUUCGGGAGUCACAUUUGACGAAGGGGAAGGCAAGGAUAAAAAUCCAAGGCACCCCUUCGACCUAGCCAAGGCUAGUUGCGUUGAUUUAAUCAAAGAUUUUCUUGUUUUAACCAAAGAAUUUAUUACAUUUGGAUGCGCUACAUGAAUGCAAACCCUAGACCUAGGGGUAUUGGGAGAAAUUUCUCUUCAAAGGUUGAGUGGUGCCAAUCACAUUACUUGUGAAGCCCAAUAACGAUCCUUUGAAGGGGUCACGAAUAAUGCGAGUGGGAUGCAAAUGAAUGGAAUGCAUGUAUGCAAUGUGAGGACAUGAGUUUGAAAAAAAGUAAUAAAAGGCAAUAAUAUGUAAGUGAAAAUGUGCACGUGAGUGGGCAAGGUGCGGUGUGUGAAAUGAUAAUAUGAAGUACAUGUGUGCAAGUGACGAUAAAAAUGUUCGUGUGCAAAUGGAGGGAUAAAAAGGUGUACGUGUGCAAAUGAAGGGAUAAAAGGUGUACGUGUGCAAAUGGAGGGAUAAAAGGUGUACGUGUGCAAAUGGGAGGAAAAAAUGAAAGCGUAAUGAUAGAGUGGAUGCAUGAACCUAGGGAAUUCAUGCAUAAUGGGUACGGGGAGACCUAAAUCGUGACUCAAUUUGCCCUUUGAUAGAGAGAAUACAAGCGUGCUAAGGCUUAGAAAAAGCCACACUCGUCUAUAUCCCAUAUUUAAGGGGACACUCAAGCAAAAUGAACCCUAUAGCUAGUAUGGGAUGCAAAACCUAAAGUGAGGGGAAAGGGAUUCGAGGAACAUGCCCAAUGAUAAAACUAAAGAAAGUUGUAUGAUAUGUGGUGAACAAGCCAAUGACGCACUAAUGAAAAGAAAGGAAAAAGCCUAUUGGGUCUAGCGUUGGACUAGCCCUUUCUAUGGAUUUCUACUAGCAUUGGACUAGUGGAAACGGAACAAUGAACCACAACUAGCGUUGGACUAGUGUGGUGACGAGAAAGGGGGCCACAACUAGCAUUGGACUAGUGUGGUGACGUCCAUUCAUCCAUCACAUUCAUUCAUGACUAUAAAAAGCGAGUAGACAUGCGAGUCACUUAUAAACACGUAGCACAUAACACUUAGCAUGCUUGACUAGAUGCAAGGACCUAAUAAAGCGAUUAAACACGUAGCAGCGAAAGCAAGCAAUGAACUUAUUACAUUUGCUAACUAAAACAAAGGGGGGAAAGGGAAAAUGGACAAGAAAGCUCACCCUAUCUAUUACAAGCCAAGAGGUGUACACAUACCUCAUUUAAAAGAAUAAUUUAAUAAAAACAAGAAUGAAUGAAAUAAUGGAACUAAAGAAUGGUAAUGAAAGCAAAUUAGGCAUGCGAUUCACACUUAGCACAUUGGAUCACAUAGGAGAGGCAAAAGGGAUAAAAGAAUUUAUACCUCCCUUGAAAUGAAGCUCUAAUGGAGUGAAAUCAACUUAUUUACCUCCAAAAUAAUAAAGGAGUCAAGGUGCCAAUUUAUUUGACGAAUAACCACAAAGGAUAAAAAUAAACAUGAAUUUGAAUCAAUUAAAUCAUGUCAACAACCCACAUUUAAGAAGUCAAGAAAAGAAAGGACUUGAUUGCAAAGAUUGGCAAAAUUUUGGGGCCAAAAUUAAAGAAAAAUAAAGUUCAGGGACUCAUUUGCAAUUAAACCAGGGACUGAAUUGAAAGCAGUUGAAAAUAUCCAGGGGCACAGUACAAUUAAAGGAAAGUACAGGGACUGAUCUGCGAAUUCAUUUCUCUGGCUUCUUAAUGGAUUAAACCACUGGGCUAUUUUAUUUAUUUGUUUGGGCCAAGAUCAUUCGGCCCAAUCGGAAGUCCAAGGAAAACAAUCUGGUUAGCCCAUCAUUUUCACUAAUCUAGCUCAUACAAAAUUAAGGGCCUCAAGUUUCCAAGCCCAAAUCAUAGACCCAGAAGAAGCAAACCAAAAUCCAUUAGCCCAACCCAACUAAGUAUUAUUACCCAAAACCCUAACCAUAACUAAACCCAACAAGAUUAGUAAAUUAACUAAAAUUAUUAAGCCACAAUUAUGAUCUAAAUCCCCGAAUUAAUUUAUCCCACAAAGUCACAUAAAAUAGGCAAGCAUGGGAUUAAGCUUAAGGGGGUGAGAUUAAUUCAACCUUUCCAAUUUUUUGGGUCACAUCAGAACAGCGGGGUGACUUGAGGGGUUCCAAUGCAAUAACAACAGGGACCUGAUUGAAAGAAUUAUAGCAGUUUGGGGGCGAAAUUAAAGAAAAGCAAAGUCCAGGGGUCAAAUUGAAAAUUCAUAAAUAUUUUCCCUACCCAGUUCGUCUUCCUCGCAUAUCAAUACAAGCCAAACAUCGUUCAAAAGGAAAUUUCAGCUGGGGAUUUUCUCAAACAGGUUGGGGGCAUUCGAAUUUCAUCAAUUUUUGCUCAAAUUAGAGUUAAUCAACCCCAAAGUUGUUCAACAAACAAGAGAUUUCAGUCCAAUUUAAUAUAUAAGGCACAUAUAAUCUAAAAUUAUGAACAAACAACAUGAAAAUUGUACUGAACAAAUGCAUGGCAAAUGUGCUCCGAACAUCGCAAAAAUGCAACAACGAAAAGUGGAAAAAAUCAACUUCAAGAAAUCAUCACUUCUCUUUCUGGCUAGCAAACGCACGGAUUCUGGCCAGCUUUGAACCGGCCAGAUUCUCCUUUGAAUUGCAUACAGAAAAUACACGCGACUCUUUCUUUUGGUUUAAAAAUUUCAUUCAGACAUUGUACCAAACAUCUAACGGUCAUUAAAACAUUCCGCCAAUCUUUGUCUAAUUGAGAGUAUAACCGGCCCCAAGAUCAUCAGCAAAACCAAUCAAAUCCCAGUCCAAUUAGCAUAUAAGCAUAUGUAUUCAGAAAUUUAAGCUAUUUAACAGGGAAAUUGCACUAAAUAAUGCCACGGCAAACUCAUUUCAGAGGCUUGAGAAGAACUGAAAUUCGAAGAGAAAACUUACAGGGGCUCUUGCUUGGGAGAUUCUGCGGGCAAUAACGGUGGAAUCGGUGAGGUAGUGAUGGUUUGGUGAGUUGGAAGUCUCCGCUGCUGUCGCCGCUCAAGUCAUCCAUGGAAGAGGAGCAGGUGGAGAAGAAAUUGAUGAAAGGCUCUGGCCAUGAAACUGGCGCUUGAAGCCGUUUUGUUGAGCUCAAGCAGUUUCACUGGAGUCGUUGUGCCCUCUUUCCCCUCUUCUCUUUUCUUUUCUUCCCGUUUUCAAACCGUCGCCGCCUGGUUCCUCCGCCGUGAGCCUUUUCUCUUCUUCUUCCUUUUUCUGUUACCUUUUAUUUCUUUUGGCUCCCCGUCUAUCUUACUCUGGCCGAAUAUCUCCUCCGUGGUUUCUUAUUGGCCAAAGACCUCCGCCGAUGUCCCCCUCUGUUUUUCUCUUGCUCUGUUUAGCUCCUAUCCCCAAACCCAGAUGCUGCUCUCUCCUCCUUUUUCUCUGUUUUUCUUUUUUUUUCUUCCCCCUGUCCCCCAACUUCCGAAGCCCUCUCUUGUGUUUUCUUCUUUUUUUUUUCCGUCCCCUUUUCUCUGCCGACCAAGCUUCCCCCCGGUCUCUGUUUUCUUGCUCUCUAUUUUUCUUUCUGCUCAACCCCCAAAAUUUCUCCCCCGUCGUUUUUUUUUCUUUCUUUUUUUUUUUUUUUUGCCUGCUAUCAGUUUUUGUCGAUGCCUUUCUCUCUCUCUUUACCCUCUGUUUCCUUUUUUCUCUGCUUUUUUCUCUGAUUCCAGCCGAAGCUCUCCCUUUACUCUGUUCCAGCUCAAAACUCUUCGUCCCCAGAUGAAGUUUUUUUUCCAAUUGCCUUGUCCGCCGCCCCUAUUCUCGUUUUUUCUUUUUCUUUUUUUGCCGCCUGAAGCCUCUCCUAUGUUUUUCAUUCUUUCUGUUGCCUCUGUCUUUUUUCCUUCUUUCUUUGCUUUUUUUUUUCAAAAAUUCCUUAAAACUUACCAAGUGUCCCUCACCCCUUGCCACCUUGGUGAUGUGUUGUAAAAAAACAAGAAGGGACACUUGUCCCACAUGCAAAUUUCCACUUGUCAUUUUCACCUUUUUCUUUUUCCUUUUCUCUUUUUCUUUUAUUUUUCCUGAAAUUUAAUGUAAAGCCAAAAAUAAACUAGAACAAAAAUAAAAUAAAUAACAAUAAUAAAAAUAAAUAAUAAAAUAAUAAAAUAAUAAUAAAUGAAAACCCUAAAAUUGAAAUAAAUAAAACUAAGAUUAAAUUAAUUAAACAAAUAAAGUUAAAAAAUCAAAAAUUUGGUGUCUACAGUUGAAAUACAACUAAUUUGUGACAGAGGCAGUAACUCUUAGUUUUUUUCCUUUUUAUCUCAAAAUGAAACUAUAAGUUCAAUGUUAAUAUGUUUUUUCUUUUUUUUUUUCAUUUCAAAACAAACCUAAAAGAUCACUCUUAAAUUUUACUCUUUUAUCAUCCCAAAACAAAACUUUAUGGUCACUCUUAACUUUUUCUCUUUUAUCAUCUCAAAACAAAACUUUGUGAUCACUCUUAAUUUUUUUCUCCUUUUCAUCUCAAAACAAAACUUUGGGUAAGUUUUCAAUUAAUUUUCUUUCCUAAUUUGAGUGGCGUGGUUUUGGUCAUCAUUGGUGCAUUACAUCAUAAAUAUAAUUUGAUAAUUUCAUACAAUUUGCCCUUGAAUUAGUUAUUCAUACCACAAACCACCACAUAUACACUCGUAUGUAUUCAUUCCAAAUGUGUUAGUUUUACAAUUCUUAGGAUAUAAUUCCUAGGUAUGUUUUGAUCCACAAUAUUAUUAAAAGUCUUUCAACAUACUAGAUGCAGUCCAGUUAAAGAAACACUUAAGAACUAAUUUAAAUAAAAGUUAAACUAUACAAGAGUAUUUUGUUUAAUAGGUUUGGCCAACGAGUGUCCUAGAGCACGUGCUAUUAGUUAAUAGAGUGUCAGCUGUUAAUAUGUUAGCAAAAGUGUAAUUAGUUCGGAAGAGUGAUGUGUGUAUUCAUACUGUAAAUUAGGUGCGAUUUUAGUGUUUUCAUGAGUUUCAGCACUCGGUAAUCCUUGAGAGUGGAACUCCCUUUAAAUUAUCGAAAGGAAAAGGAAAAGGAAAAAACAAAGCAGGGAAAGAAACAAAAAAGUCUUCAACGUGUUUAAGCACCGCAGAAAAGUCUUCUAAGAAAAUUUGCACAACAAUUGCGGUGAACUUGACGCUCAAAUGUGAAAUCAAAUCAAGGCUGGAAAGAACACAUUACAAGUCUUCCCUGGCCCCCUAAGACGCAGAUUGGAAAGACCUUGACUUAGACUUUAAAAGCAGAGCUUUAAAAUUCAUGCUACCUCAGAGUACUUAUCAGGAGGCCUAAAUUUCAUAUAUCUAACAUCGAUGGAGGUUGCAUGCAGCAAAGUUGUUCUUCUCCUGAUAUCGGCUACUGCACAAGCAGCAGGAGCAGCGAGAGAGCCUGCUCUUGGUUACACCGAAUACAGCGUAAUAGGUCUUAGCAUAUUUUUUGUGGUUUACUCACUAAUCGGUGGAUUACUAUGUUUAAUCCUCUGCAAAACUAAGGUCAAGAAAGUAGAAUCUGAGCCCAUAGACAACAAACAUGGAGACGUUUUCAGAAUGUUGAACUAUGAUGGACAUAUGGCUUAUGAAGACAUAAUAAAAGCAACAAGAGGUUUUGAUGUCAGUUAUUGCAUUGGGAGAGGGAAUUAUGGCAGUGUGUACAAAGUGCAAUUGCCAAGUGGGAAAGUAGUGGCUGUGAAAAAGCUUCACCAUUUGGAAGGCAAGAAUCCAAAUUAUGAUAAGAGCUUUAGGAAUGAAGCCCGCAUGCUAUCCAGAAUCCGGCAUCGAAACAUUGUAAAGCUCUUUGGAUUCUGCCUGCACCAGAGAUCCAUGUUUUUGAUUUAUGAGUAUAUGGACAAAGGAAGCUUGUUUUGUAUCUUGAGAGAUGAAAUUCAAGCUGUGGAGCUAGAUUGGAUUAAGAGAUUGAACUUGAUAAAUGGCAUUGCCAAUGCAUUGUCCUACUUGCAUCAUGAUUGUGAUCCACCAAUCAUUCACAGGGAUGUAUCAAGCAACAACAUUCUUUUGAAUUCACAGCUUAAAGCAACUCUAUCUGACUUUGGAACUGCAAAGAUUUUGAAACCUGAUUCCUCAAAUCAAACAGUAAUUGCAGGCACCUAUGGUUACAUUGCACCGGGUAUUUACCUUCUUAUUCCUAGAACACUUUCUUUUUUUUUCGCCUUGUUUCUGUUAUUUUAUCUCUGCACGUAUCAGGUUUAACUUCUACUAGAAAGAAAAAAGCAAAAAAGACCUGUAACUACAUAUUAUUGUUUUGUUGAGCAGCAAGGUGUAGUACAUGAAGAGUUGAUUUUUGGUGGGUAACUAGACCGACCUAAAUCAGUCCUCUCUUGAGUGAGGUGAGAUGAAUUCACUUGUCCGAAGUGGAUGGCGGGGCUUCUCCCCUGGGAUCACUCCGACGAUCAAGUUAGUACGAGAACGAGAAAAGCAAUAGUAUUUGUGAAUGAACAGUAUGCUUACUUGUUGGGAGUAUGUGUGGGGUAUUUAUAGAGUGAGAGUGAGAGAUAGGACAGAGGGCUUAUGCUGGCGGGACCCACGUCCUGACAUUACGGCUCUGCUCCCUGUCAGGAGGUCUGACUCUGACACUGUAGCCGCCUGUGCAGGGUGACAGGGGACCUUGCGUAGUUGCCAUUAAGAAUACCAGGUGCUUUUCAGAUAAAGCACUGGUCUCGGAUGAUGUCAGGCGGGCUGACAUCAUCGGCGUGCAGCCGAGGUGGAAACCUGUGGUGCAGAGGCCAUCUAAACAGUUGGCCAGGGGCCUGCCCAAGGUCAGGGAUCAUGCUCAAGACAACACUUCACUCGCGUGAGGGACGAAAUGAGAUCACCUCGGCCUUACAGGGACUGCCGAGGUGAGCAUCCUCAGUACACGAUGUAUGGCUUAAAUUUUCGAAUAUUGAAAGGAUUGCAAUUGGAUUACUAGCUAGGAUUGGCAGCCUAGGAUUGUCCAGCUGAGAAUAACUUUAUUUUAUCCGCUACUUGUAAUUGCAGAGCUAGCCUAUACCGUGGCGGUCACUGAAAAGUCCGAUGUGUAUAGCUUUGGCGUUGUGGUGCUGGAAACGCUGUUUGGAGAGCAUCCACAAGAAUUCCUUUCUUGCGUAUCAUCACAACCCAAUGAACCAAUAAUGAUGAAGGAUCUUCUUGAUGCCCGUCUGCCCCCUCCGACUAACCCUUUGGUCGUUCGAAAUGUGGUUGUCGCGACAGCGUUGGCCCUGGAUUGCGUCAACGCAAACCCAAAAUUUCGACCAACAAUGCAGCAAGUGGUGAACCGAUUUGAAGUGGGCAGGCGAGAAUCAACUAGGCCUUUGCACACCAUUGCUGUGAAUCAGUUUAUAAAAGUAGAAACAUGACCAAGCACUGAGAUUAUUGCAUAUACCAUAUAGUGUACUAAUAAAAAUAGAAAAAAAGAAAGUGUGCUAAUUAAUGAAAAGCAACUCUUAUAUGCCGAUUAAAAGCCUAGGAAAUUUUGUCAUCAAUAUUUAAGCCAAAGGAGAUUCUACUUGUUGGGCUUUAUUUCCAGAAUUAUACUUGAUUCUUCAAAACUUUAUAAAGCGAUCCGAUCAUACCGUCUACUCAUCUAAUUAACUGAGUACAUGGGGAGAUAUAAAGUGAAAUACUUUGUUUCACCGUGUGAAGGGCAUCAUAAUAAUUUUUUUCUUUUUACCCAAAUAAGUAUUAUUUGUGCUAAUACUCCUAAUGCUUAUAGAUGUGAUUAACGAAUCAACUGCUCUACUUGCAGGCUACUUGGCAAGUUUAAAAUAGUACCAUUAUUCUUUUGGGAUCAAAAUUGUAUAAAUUUCGUCAAAAGUAAAAAUAACUACUUCUUGAACGAACUGGGCAUAAUCAACUGGAAAGGAAGGCAAGGACCCAUAAAGACAUAUCAUGCUGCACCGUUGAAGUUGUCAAUUGGGUCUAUUCGUGGGCAUGACAAAUACUUACAUGGACCACAGUCCACGAAACCCAACAAGCAUCGUCCAAUUUUAAUCUCCACGUUUCUACCGGAACAACUUUGACAUCCGACAGGAAACUCAAUAAUGUCAUGUUUUUGGAGAAUAGAAACAUUGGAAAGGAAAGAUGGAACCGUCAUCCAAGUUGAAUGAAAAGAAAAAUUGGAAAGCAUUAUCCAAGACAAUUUUGGAAUCUCACAGACUUGUCCAUAGACUUUCAAAAGAUUAAAGCAUCAUGCAUGAAGGAACUCAUGGGAAUUAUUUUUGAAUCUGGUGAUAAAAUAGAAAUAUAGAGUUUUGUAAUGACACUUUGGAUGAUCUGGCAUGCAAGGAACAAGCUCAUAUUUGAGGGAAUUUGCAUGAAGACAGAGGUGAUAGUGGACUGGGUGAGGGCAUAUCUAUGGGAAUUAAAUCAAAGGAAUAGAAACAUGACCAAGCACUUAAAUUAUUAUUCUCUCUGUCCGAAAGAAAAUUGACAAAAAGGGAGAAAAAGUUUAAUUUAAGUACGUAAAUUGUUUUGAGUUGUUAUGAAUAGAAAAUUGAUAACAUUGAAAACUUUAAAUUUUUGAUCACAUUUAAUAGUGGUGAAAAAGUUUUUUUUCUUUUUUUGGACGAUCAAUAGCGAUUCCUCACUCACCUUCAUUUUUUUUUUGUCAAAAUGAUAACAUUUGUAUUGAUUUAAACUUGAUAAUACAAGAGCACUUUACAAAAGGAGCUCAUUGCCCUCAUAAUCUAUUCUUGCUAGAUCUUUAAUCCUGCCAGGGAAACAUGAUUCCCAAUAUACAUCAUUAACUAGCUUCAAGGCAAACUUUGCUAGCCUAUGACACACUUCAUUCCCUUCCCUAUGUAUAAAAGAGAAGUUGCAUUGCUCAAAAAACUCCCUCAGCUUUUGUAUGUCCUCCAGUAUCACAGCACAGUUGCUGUUGUUGCAUGAGACGGUUAAGAUACAGUCUAUCACAUUCUUGCAAUCUGAUUGUACUUCGAUUCUUCUCCAGCCUGCUGCCUUUCCAAAUUGCAUUGCAGCUCUAAUUGCUGCAGCCUCCUCAAUUUCUGGUUCCCCCAACUUCUCCUCCAUUAUGGCCCAAGCUUUCAGCACCUCUCCUUUCCAGUUUCUAGCCACUAUUCCUUUACCAGUUCUGAUUGACUGUGUUGAGAUUGCAGCAUCAGUGUUUAUCUUGUACACACCUUCCAUUGGAGGCUUCCAUCGUCUAUCAUACUGAUGUGGAGUUGCUUCAACAAUGCCAGCUCUACUUUCUAGUUCCACAGCUUCCUUGAACUCCAUCCACUCUUGUUGAGCUUUCCUUACCACUGAAAUUUCCUCCCCUUUUGCGUUGUUGAAGACAAUCUGGUUCCUUGCCUUCCAUAUUUGCCAGAGGAGAUUAAUUGUUAAUUCUAUAUGCUCCUUGCCAUUGACUCUUUGAGUUGCUUCUAAGAGUCCUUCCCACCAUCUCCAAAAGCAAGCCUGCAGAUCUAUUAAUCCAUCCCAGUUGAUUGGACUGAGUUUCCAGAUCAUCUUUGCAUAUUCACAAUCAAAGAACAGAUGCUCUAUAGUUUCAAUUCCAUCCCCACAGCUUUUGCAUAUGUUGUUCCCCAUCCUGUUCUGCCGUGCACCAAGUCAUUGACUGGAAGACAGUUGUGUAGACAUUUCCACAUAAAAUGCUUCAGUUUGUGUUUGACAUUUGUUCCCCACAACUUCUUUCACAUACUUUCCUUCCUAUUAUGGCUACUUGUCUUCUCCUUGAGCUGCAUUGUUUUAGUUGCCUGUGCCUCCAUUUCCUUUGCUAAAGUAUACCCUGACCUCACUGUAUAUUCCCCAUUCUUUGAGUGAUGCCAGAUGAUCCUGUCUCUCCUUUGGUACAUACUGAGUGGUAUCCUUACAAUCAUUUGGGCCGUCUCUCUGCUGAAAACUUGAUUUAUUAGCUCCUUAUCUCAUUGUCCAUGUUUAAUCAGGUCUUUGACAUAUUGGAUGCUUCCCAAUGCUGGUCUAUCAUGUUCCAUUCUACCAUCUCUUGAACCAGGUAUCCAUCUGUCUUGCCACACCUUGAUGGUACUUCCAUCCCCAACUUGUUUUCUUAUUCCAUUUAUCAAAAGGAAUCUGGCGCUCAGAAGACUCUUCCAUAGGUAUGAUGCUGAAGUAGGGGCAUGCUUCAUCCAGUCAGAUUCUCUUUUCAUAUAUUUAGCUCUCAUAACUCUACUAACAAGCCUGUUAGGCAUAACAAUGAUUCUCCAGAGUUGUUUUGCUAGCAAAGCUGUGUUGAACAUUUCCAGAUCUCGAAAGCCUAGACCUCCCUUUCCUUUCACCUCAGUAAGUGCCUUCCAAUUGGUCCAGUGUAUUUUCCUUUGAUGCUCGUUUGCCCCCCACCAGAACCGUGCCAUUUGUUUACUAAUGUCUCUACACAUUCCUUUUGGGAUUCUAAAGCACGACAUUGUGUAAUUUAGGAGUGCCAUUAUCACUGAUUUCAGCAAUACUUCCUUUCUAGCAAGACUCAAUAGAUUUCUUUUCCAGCUUUGUAUUCUCUGUGUUACACUUGCUUUUACUUCCCCAAACACCUGAUUCUUUGUCCUCCCUAUCACCAUAGGAAGACCAAGAUACUUCCCACUAAAUGCUUCUCUUAGAUUUCCAAGUAUACUGCAUACUUCCUGUCUGGUAUCCAAAUCAGUGUUCCUACUGUAGUAGAUAGCAGACUUGUCCAAGUUGAUUAGCUGUCCAGACGCUCUUGCAUAUUUGUCCAGCAGCUCUUGAAUCUUCCAAGCUUCCUGGUUUGUGGCCUUGCAACAGAGCAAGGCAUCAUCUGCAAAAAAGAGAUGUGUAAUGGGGGGGCACUUUCUUCCCACUUGGAUUCCUGUCCACAUUUUACUAGUUGCAACUUUGUUUUUCAAGUUUGAGAGUGCCUCCGCAACAAAUAAAAAAAGGUAGGGGGAUAAUGGGUCUCCCUAUCUUAUGCCCCGCUUAGGUUGGACAUAUCCUACUUUUUCUCCAUUACGAUUAAAAGAAUAGUAGACGGUAGAGAGGCAAUUCAUAAUCCAUCUAACCCAAAUGGGGCAGAAUCCCAUUUUUAGCAUUAUUCUUCCCAAAAAUUGCCAUUCCACUCUGUCAUAAGCUUUAGACAUGUCAAGCUUGAUAGCCAUAAAGCCUAUUCUACCUGUUCUUUUAUGUUUUAGGAAAUGCAUAACCUCGUGAGCUAGGAAAACAUUAUCUAGGAUUUGUCUGCUUGGCACAAAGACAGAUUGAGUUUCAGUAAUGCACUUAGACAGGAUUUUUUCAGCCUAUUUGCCAGGAUUUUGGAAACAAUUUUAAAGAGGACAAUGCAAAGACUGAUUGGCCUGUAGUGAUUAAUAUUAGUGGGAGCAGACACGUUUGGGAUUAGAGUAAUCAGGGUUUCAUUGACUGCCUUCAGCAUAUACCCACUAUGAAAAGAACUCUUAAUAGCAUUUACUACAUCCAAAUUUAUGAUAUGCCAAUAUUUCUGGAAAAAAAGAGGUGACAUACCAUCAGGACCUGGCGGUUUAUUUGGAUGCAUAGAAAAUACAGCAGCUUUGACUUCCUUUUCCUCCACAGGUUUGAUCAAAUUUUCAUUCAUCUGCUGAGAAAUUGUAUGGGGGACACCAUCGAGAACCUCAUCAAUGUUAGCCGGUUGUGAUGUGUUGAAGAUGUUGCUGUAAUGAUUACCAAUCUCAUCCACCAAUUCUUCCUUUGUUUCACACCAGCUUCCAUUCUCUUUUUGCAAGCCUGAAAUCCUAUUCUGUCUCCUUCUUAUUCCCACAGAGGCGUGAAAAAAGGCAGUGUUUUUAUCUCCAUGCUUUAGCCAUUUGUUUCUUGCCUUUUGAGCCCAGUAGAUUUCCUCAUCCCUAUAUGCCUUGCCCAACUUGCAUUUCAGUUCAUCUAGAGUGUCCCUCCUUUGACCAGCUUCCAUCUGCUUGGCUUCCUUGAUUUGUUUUUUCAACCUCUGUAUUACCUCUCCUGAGUUGUUCCUUUUCUUCCUAUUCCAUUCCAUCAAUGCCAAUCUGCAUGCUUUGAUUUUUCUUGUCACUUUAAAAAACCUGGAUCCUUGUUGUUGUUCCUUCCAAACAUUCGAAAUCACAGUAUUAGUUUCCUCCUCAAAGGUCCACCUCUGGUCAAAGUAAAAUCUCCUCUUGUAAUUCUUCUUAACAGGUUCAGUAUCCAUUAGAACAAUACAGUGAUCAGAUGCUUCCUUAUGCAGAUGUGUACACCUUGCAUUCUUGAAAUGUUGGAUCCAUCCUUGAUUUGCUAGGCAUCGAUUUAGUCUUUGUUGGACCAGCCCACCUCCCUCCCAUUGAUUAGACCAAGUCCAUGGCACUCCUUCAAACCCAAGGUCUAUCAGUGCAUUACUUUCUAUGAACUCUCUAAAAUCUUUGAAACUGCUCUCAGGUCUACUUCUCCCACCCCAUUUCUCCUCAUUUGACAGUAUAUCAUUUAAAUCACCAGCCAGCAUCCAUUGCUCUCCCCACUUUCCUUUUUCUUGGUUGAUAAUUCUCCACUGUUCCCUCCUUAUUCUGUCAUCAGUGCUUGCAUACACACCAAUGAACCACCAACUGAACUGUUUGUCCUUUUCCAUAAUCUUAGCUUCAAUGUAAAAACCCCCACUAUUGACAUACACCACAUCCAGCUCACUAUUCCACAUUAACGUUAGACCCCCGGCCUUGCCCAAAGCAUCAAUAACAAAGCAUUUCUCAUAGUUUAUUCUUUUCCUAAACUUUUCCAUGACCUUUUUUUGGUUUUUGGUUUCACAGAGAAAAAUUAAAUUAGGAGAGUAGAGAUUGAUUAUCUCCUUCAACUGGGGAACUGCCAAGGGGCCUCCUGCACCUCGGCAGUUCCACACCGCCACCUUCAUUUAGACCGUGGAGGCAUUAAGGGAAUAGCCUCCAAUUUCCCCGUCUGGUCACAGGUGUGCAGCUCUAUCCUCAUUAUCUUGUUCUUUUCUUGAUCCUGGCCAGACUCUAGCAUUUCAACAUCUUCAUUCCACUCACUGGUUUUCCUUUUUCCCCCUUGCGUUUUAACCACAGAUAUGUUAUUUAUACUGCCCAAUGGUACUCUUGUCCUUCUUGUGAACUUUCUUUGUUUUGGUUCAUAUCCCCCUUGCUCCCGUGCUCCUGUCUCUCCAUGUUUUCCUUAUUUCCUACGUUCUCCAUCAUUUCCUGAACUCCUACAUUUUCCUUCCUUCUCUCUUGAAGUGCUGUUACCUCCCAGACUUUCUCCUUAUUUCUUUCCAUACCUUUCCCUUCAUGUUGCCCCUGUGGUUCUGGAACUAUUUUAAAUUUAUCCCCUAUCCCUUCCUGUUUUUCACUUUCCGUUUUGGUGUCCAUUUGGCCCUCUUUAUAUACCUCCUUCCCUUUCUUAUCCUGUACCUUUGUAUCUGCCUUUCGUACUCCACAGGUAUUAUCAAGCUCAGGUUUUCCUCUACCUAAUGUUGGUAUAACAGCAACUUGAUUCCCUUCCUUGCUAUUUUCCUCAAAGUCAUUAUUUCUUUCCUUUGCUCUUGUCUCCUUAUUCCCUCGGAUUAGUUGUGUUCCAUUCCCCUGUUUUUCCUCCCUCGUCUCCAUUGUCCUGGUCCUCAGAGGUGAAGCCAUGAUAUUCCCAGCCUUCAUCCACGCUCCAAAUUGGUCUUCUCUUAAGUUGUACUGAUUUAGUCCUUCAUUGUUACAUUUCUUAUCACCGUGACCAAUAAUUCCACACCUGUAGCAAAAUUCCGAACACUUUUCAUACUUAAAUUCAACCCAUUGCUGUACUCCAUUCAACUUGACCCUUGUUCCUCUUGCCAAUGGUUUUGCUAUGUCCAUUUCAGCCAAAAUCUUCAUGUGUCUUCCUGCCUUUCCCCCACUGGAAGGGAUAAUGACUUCCCUUACAGAUUUGAAGAUGUCUCCGAUCUUAAAACCCACAGCCUUACUCAUCCAGUGGAUCGGCAAAUUCCAGAUUUGGACCCACAGGUAUGCACUAUUAAACACCUCCAUCUUCCUCUCUAUCCCAGCCUCCCAUUUCUUGAUAACCAGUAGUUGGUUGUUUAUGACCCAUGGACCGCCAUAAAGAGCUUUUUCCAUUUCUUGUUUUAGAUUCAAAAUGGAACUGAAAAAGAUUGGCUUUGAGUUCAGUGACCUUCAAGUUUCUUGGAUAGCCCCACACAUGAGCUGUGAAGUUCUUAAUCCCAGUGAAAUUUGUAACCUUUUCCCCAAUAACUUUUCCCAUCAGACUUAAUUGGCAUUCCUCCACGCUUUGUUGGAUAUCCUCGAAGCUCAGAUCGACUCCUUCCUCUUCCUCUGGAUUCAGGUCAAAUCUUUUGAAGGCAAAAGUGAGAUCGUCCGCCAUUGUUGAGUUCUUUUAGGUGUCCCCACACCAACUUCCAGCAAUGUCUGAAAAUGAAGUCCAACCUGUGGACUACACAGUCAAAGCCAUAGAUUUUUAGUUAAACUAGAGAUAAAGUAAGAAGGAAAGAGAAAAGAAACGGUAACUAAAGAGUGUGAUGAGAAACCUAGUACCAGAGAAAAGGCCUAAUAGAGUACUAUCAUAACAACCCUAGAGAAACAAGGUAGAAUAUUAUUAAUGCUAUCAAACCAUAAAUGCCUAAGCUUGCUGUCCAGCCAAGUGAGUUUUGGAGUUGCCUUGUAAGUGAUUCUCCUUUAAUGCCGCUUAAAAGUUUCCUCGCCAGGCUUCCGACACUACCUUCGUGUUCAGGGAUAAUUUAACGUCAAGUGCUGAACUAAUCUGUGAUUCCUCUUUACUAUGGUGCCUCUCAAUUGGAUCGAUGAAGGUGUGAGAAUUGGUGAAGCGGCUUUGGCGCAGUUUGGAGGUUGGUGCAGUUUUUGAAAAUUUAAAAACUCCUACCUUGAGGAGAGAAAGCUCUCUGUUCUAGAGAGAGAAGCUCCCACAAAGAGAGAAUUCCUCACUCACCUUCAUGAUUGAUUUAAAUUCGUAACCUCUCAAUUAAAGGUGAAGUAACUUACCAGUUAGGCCAUGCUUCAUUGUCAGAAACAAGAUUUGAAUGGUCAAAAAUAAUAGGGAAAUAUCUUUAAAGAGCGUGAUUUGGGCGUGGUAAUUGAGGUAAGUUUCAAUAAUGGUGAGAUAAUUUUCAAUUGUAAUUCAUCAAAAUAUAAAAAAAUCUGACCAAUAAGGUGACAGAGAAUCAUUCAAGAGUCUCAUACCAAAAAAAAAAAGUUUUAAAAAAAUAGUCUCAUACAAAGAUAAACUCAAUUUCAUUUAAUAUUUGUUCCAAAUUGUAGGCCUAUUUCCUUUUUAAAAGAGUAGUUAUCUUGAUAGUUUACUAAUAUGCCUACAUUUACUAUGCAAUAUUAUCAGCAAAAUAUACUACUCCAUUAGUUAAUUAUUCUAGUUAGGAGGAAUAACAACACCACCAAAAAAUAUAGAGCUGGAUUGUUUGGUAUCUUAAGAGAUGAAACUGAAGCUAUGGUGCUGGAUUGGAUUAGAAGAGUCAAUUUGAUCAAGUGCAUUGCCCAUGCAUUGUCCUACGUAGAGAUUCUUUUAAGAAUUGGACCGGUAAAAAUUCACUUCUUCAUGGUGGACCGAAGUGUCAAAGUGCUAAGGAGUUUGGCUAGUGUUGGACCAAGUGCGCCAUGGGUUUGGCAGGGGGUCCAGUGGAUCAGAUGCAUCAUGGGUUUGACAGGAGGUCCGGUCGGUUAGACCAAGAAGUCAAAGAUUGGCAGGGUCCGGAAUGUAAUUUGGGUGUUGAAGAAGAGUGGGUCCAUAUUUGAAAGAAGAGGUGACAUUAAGUAAUAAGGUGGGCUUGCGUUGAGAAUUAGAGUAGACUCGAAGAAGGGCUUGUAAAUUUGGAUUUAAUACGGAAGUUACUCAUGAAGAGGGAGAUUUGUAGGUUCAUAAGUAAAAGGUUAUAUUCCACAUUAGUUCGAAAGAUAGAGACAGAGCGGUUAAUAUAUAAGUAAGGGUUCGAGAUCUAGUGGCUUAAGUUUUUUGGUCAGAAUUAGGUUCUUGACUUAUAUAUUGACCUCUUUGGUGGACUGUUUCGAGGAGUUUCCCCCUUUCAGCAUACACCACGGUGGUCACUGAAAAUUCUGAUGUGUUUAGCUUUGGCGUCGUGAUGCCAGAAACGUUGAUUGGAGAGCAUCUGCGAGAAUUCCUUUCCUCCUCAUCAUCACAACCCAAUGAACCAAUAAUGCUGAAGGAUCUCCUGGAUGCCCGUCUGCCCCUUCCUACCAACUGCUUGGCCGUUCAUGAUAUGGUUCUGGCAAUAACUUUGGCCCUUGCUUGCAUAUAUUCAAACCCAGACAUUCGACCAACAAUGCGACAUCUCAUACAGCAAUUUUUGGUGGGCAAGCGAGGAUCAACCAGGCCAUUGCUUAGCAAGUCAGCAUCACUGUGAAUCAGCUAUUAAAUCAAGAAUUUUUUUUUCUUGAGUAGGAGAUUGUAAGAAAUCUACUUGAUACAAUAAUUUGUUUGGAGGGAUAGAAGAUAAUAAAAGUCAGGUAUGCGACAAAUCUGCACAAAUGGAAAAUUGCGGUCGUUACAUCUCACAACUUGCUUAUACACAAUCUAUGACCACCAUUUUGAUAUCUUUUGGUAGUUAACUGUAAUGAACCUUGUACAAAGAUGGAUUAUGUAGUUCAUUGCCAAUGAAUGGCAAGAACGAAAAAAAUUAUAGGAAAAAAACCCAAGAAACAGAGAGAUUUAGAUUUCAAUAGGAAGUUAAGCUUCCUUCCAUUUGUGGAGUUCAAGAUUUGAAGAAAUGGUUAGGUUAAAAAUGUUCUUUUGUAAGGCUUAAAUACAUAUUGCCUAUUGUAAUUAGAGAUACUUUCAAUUCUCUCUGUGUUACCCCAUGAAAUGCAAUUUCUGUUUGUUUUUUAACUGACUUAAAGUGACUGAUGAACAAAUUUGUCCUUAUUUUUGGAGGGAGGCAACCACCCCAUUUUAAGUAAUUGCAAGUACUUAAUUGUAUAUAUGAAUAAAACAGCCUAUUGUUAUUCUUUUUUCAACCCAAAAGCAACUCCUCCAAAGAGUUUAGCUGCUUUAAAAUUAAUCCAAGAAAAGUACAUUAAUCCCAAAACAUUUUACACCCAAGACAAAGCAAGAGAAGCAAAUAAGUAAUAUUUCUGUCAUUAGGAAAUAAGAUACCAUAUAACAUCUCCUAACAUUAGAAGAUACACAUUAGUUCCAUUACCAAGUAAAAGAUAGCAGUCAUUGCAGAUUGAACCACAAGCUAGGAGUUAAGCAAACAUCUCACUGAAUUGCUUAGCAUAAUAAAACCAAUUCUACGCAGGCAAAAAAAAAAAAUUCAGUCCUAGCUGAACAAAAGAUAACUACUUCAGAUUUGAGAAGUUUUAAAUGGCAACCCAAAGCUACUAUUGACAUCUACCAAUUUGCAGCAGUAUCCAUUUGUGAUUAUGAAUUACCAAAGAAAAGAGUUUUCUUUUUGUGUCGAUCUUUAUGUUCCUUUUAUAUUUUCUCUUUACCUUCUUUCUUAUUUAUUUUAAUGGUCACAUGAUAUGACAAUUUCCCUCAAAUGGGAAGGUAGAUUUAGUAAACUAAUUUAUCUAUCGGUGCCAAAAUGUUAAAAUUGUCAAAAACUAAAAUAUUUUAGUGGUGUAAUUGUCUUUACAUAACAGACAAAGAUAGAAUUUGUUGUAUGCCAAACAGGAAUUGCACUUCGGGAUUAUUUUAUGUCUAUUUCGUGGAUACGGGAGACGAAUUAAAACCAAUCACUAAUUAUGGAAGGGCAAGAUAUAUUUAAGCCUUUUUGUAAUGUCAUUUUUUCCUAUCAAACAACAUAUACGUGCCACCAAAUUUUCUACCCUCGUCACGAGACUCUCAAACAAUGCCAAAGAAAGUUCUGAUACUUUCUCUUUAUUCUUUAUUCUUUUACUGUUAAUCACAUUUAUAAGAUCUUUCAUUAGAUUUAGCAUAAAACUAAAGAGGACACUAUAUAAUUCAAAUUUAGGAUUAUAAUGAUAAUUAAUACGUGUAGGGUUAUAUAAUUGAAGUGAAAAAUAAUUACUCAAAAUAUUUAUGUGGGAAAAAAGAAGAUAAAUAAUUCACACUGUUAUUGAAAUCUCAAAUAAUAGAAGAAAGUUAUAUCAUAAUAAAACAUUACAGACGCUGUUAUACUCUUUUAAAAAAUACCUCAACUAAUGCCCUAUUUUAUAACCAAUCAGACUUAUAAAAUAAGAAAUUACUAUGUCAAGAAAUUAUCAAGUAAAACACAAAUUAUUAAAUAGGAAAACUACUAAAAACCCAUAAAACACAUGGCUACGAACCAUGGUGUCGAGGUUCAAAUCCCUUCUCGCUCACAACCAGCCCAAGAAAGAAGGGUAGAUAAUGGUGGGGAUAGCGAACUAAAAGUUAUGGAACUUGGAUGUCGAUCUUUAGUUGAAAUGGAAUGGUUUUUUUUUUUUUUUUUUUUUUUGGUGAACGGUGGAAUCCUUAACCUAUUUUUUUUUCUUAACCUAUUUUUUUUUUUUUUGUUUUACGCUCCGUUAAUCUUCCUCAGCCAGGUUUGGCUUGGGCAGAAUAGCAGAGCAAGCACUCGUGACAGAAUGUACAAGUAGUAGUAGCAGAAUGAAAAAGCCUUCACUGUUAAAUAACUAAACAGAAAUGGUUAAGCUUAGUUUAUUAUGCCAACAGUCGCCAAUCAGAUUCGAAAGCCAUUUGAGGAUGAUGUAGAAUGUUCUUUAAUCAAAAGAAGGUUAUCAUAAUUUCCUUUUAAUUGUACAACUUUUCUUGAAAUUUUCGUAAAGGUAGAUAAUAUUCGCGCUCCAAAAUUUCCCUCAGGCUCUCCAAUCUUCAGUGAAAUGACCAUCGUGUCUCUCAUGUCUUUUCCCUCUUUUUUGUUGCUAUUGACAUAGAUCGGAUACCACCUAAAGAAGACAAGCAAACCUCUGGCUUCUCCAGCGUUCCCACCUUUAAAUCAACUUUCUGACCAGCUAACUUCUGGCGACUCCAGGGCUACCACCUUGAAAUCAACUUUAUUUUUUUCUCUUAAAUGUAGAAAGUUUCUGCUUAUAACCUUAGAUCACGAAGAAGGACAAUAAGUUCCCGCAGUUGCUAUGAUGAUCUGUAGACUCUAGUUUUCUUUGACAAGGGAAGCCAGUCGACAAGGUUUUAGAAGGGAGAAAGGUGGCCGAGUUCUUUUUCUUGUCGAGGGACAAAGAAAUUUCUGGUUGAUAUCUCCAGCAUAGCUCAUUUUGCGUUGAAAAUUCAAGUGCUCUUUAAUUUGAAUAAUUUGAUUUUUUUACCAGUUGUAUAUCAUAAUUCGAAGUCUUCCUUCUCAGAUUUGCGAAGAAUAUGCAAAACAAUUGAGUCUUCAGAACAUGCAUGUGGUGGAUAUUAACGUGGAGAGAAAUCAAGUGAAGCUUUAAUUGAAGUUCUUCAUAGGCAUUUUGGUGGCAUUGUACCAUGUCUUUACUUGGUACAUUGGUGGGAAACAUGAUAGAAUUACAGUUUGCGAAGGAUUUUCGAGAAGAUGACGACUCAUGUGCGCGGCCGCUGGUGGUGGUUGGUUCUGGAACAAAAAGAGGACGGCGGCUGAUUUGAACGGGGCUCUGGAACAAAAGGAGGAUGACCAUUUGGAGGGACAGAAUAGUCAGUUAACAGUACAAAGGAGACAAGAAUCUGAUCAACAACAAUUUUAACCAAUUAAUUUAUCAAGGAACUAAGAUCCACAAACUUCAGAUCUUUCGUUCUAAGAACUAGGGAUGCAAGCGAUUCGAGCUAGAUGCGAGCAGCUUAGUCAAAGACUCGAUUUGAGCUCAGUCGAAGACAAGCUCGAGUAGCUUUUGCGAGUCGAUCUCAAGUCUCCAUUUUCCAGGCUCGUCAAACUAUUCGAGUAUUAUAUAAUAUAUAUAUAUAUAUAUAUAUAUUAUUUACCACAAAUACCUCCUGACUUAUAAUUGAGCUCAAUAAGCUCGCUUGUAACUUGAGUCCAAUUGAUUCGAGUACGAGUUUAACUGGCUCUUUCACGAGUCAAGUUCGAGCCAUGGUAUUUUCACUUGAUCGAGCUCGAGUCCGAGUAGCACACAUAUCUAUCGAGUUCAAACUCAAAUAUGGUGUUACUCGAGCUCGACUCGACUCGACUUUAAUACACUCCUGGUACGGGCCUGCGCCUUGAUGUUUUCUGUUUCUAGUAGCACCAAGGCCCUGAUGUAUUGUAAAGCUUAUAUAUAGCGUCCAUGAGAAAUUUACAAUUUUGUGAUGAAUUUUAAAAAAAUUCUACAAAAAGGAUGAUUUUGAUGAGGCAUUCCGUAAGGGGAUCUUCGCAUUUGGCGAAUGCGAGCUCAGCUCUAUUGAGCUCGCAUUCGUGAAAUGCGAGGUCUACUUAUUGAGCUCAGCUCUGUAGAGCUCGCAUUCCGCGAAUGCGAGCUCUACUUAUUGAGCUCUCCACUGCACCUCUCUGUUGCAUCUGCUGCUACUGCCGCAACUAUGCUGCCUUUAUGGCUGGGGGUCCAUAAACUAAAGAAGCGGUCCUUGGUUUCUUUUUUUUUUUUCUCUCUUUUGUCGUGGCUGGGGGUCUUCUCCUCUUGUUAAUAAUAUAAUAUGACUUUUAAUGUCGAGUGGUAAAAGGAAAAGGGCUCAAAGGCUCUCAAGAGUUGCAAGUAGUAAUCCUGCUAAGGAUGAUGGCCCAACUAAAAGGUGAAAACCAAAUGGUUAUGGUUAUCAUGGUUAUUGUAAUAGUAGUAGGAGUAAGUACUAUAAAAAAUAAAAUAAAAUUAUGGAUUAUUUUUGUUUGUUUUUUGGUGUAAGCUUUAUAAGAGUUGGUGACUGAAGAACACAACAGUAGCGUGGCUGGAUCAUGAGAAGAUUGUACGGGUUUUUGAAAUGUUACUGCUGCCUGCCUCCUCUCUGCCCUCUCUUCUUGCUUUUACUUUUCUUCUCUGUCUCUGUUACUUUACCUGUACCAUACCUCCCCCCGCUAUUACUAUUCCUACUACAGUAUUUCCUAUUGACCUUUGUUGGUAUACAGUGAGCUCGCAUUCCGCGAAUGCGCGAAUGCGAGCUCACUGACCUCGCAUUCGCGGAAUGCGAGCUCGGUGAGCUGGCACUGAGCUCGCAUUCCAGGAAUGCGAGAUCAGUGAGCUCGCAUUUCCGGAAUGCGAAGACCCCAUUUGUAUAGAACAACCUCCAAAAAUCGUCCCAGUUGUAGAAUGAUUUUUUUUUUCAUCAUAAACUAAGAAUUCACCCUAGCGUCCAUGAGGUUUUGAAUCUUAUGGCUUGUAAAGCUUGUAGUAUCCAUAAGCUUGUAGCAUCGCCACGGUUUGUAGUUAUCCAUCAGGCGAUUGUACUCUACUAAGCAAUAUUUCUGUCCCAGAUGCAAAUUGAGUCAUUGACUCGGAUUUAAGUCUCUGAAGUCUGAGGACCAACACGCUUAACGACGUCUAAGAAAGGUUGCACAACAACUUCUAUUCUAGUGAAGACAGAUCUUUACUCUCAAAAGUGAAAUCAAAUCAAGACCAGAAAGAACACAUUAUCAAGUCAUUUCAUAUAUCAUGUGGUCUUGUAUAGUAACAUCGAUGGAUGUUGUAUGUAGCAUGGUUGUUCUUCUCCCGAUACCAGCUACUGCGCGAGCAACGGAAGCAGCAACAAAGUCUUUGUGGUUUACUCAUUUAAUUGGUGGAUUACUAUUUCUAAUCCUCUGCAGGUCCAAGGUCAUGAUAAAUUUAAAACUUGAAUAGUACUAUAUCUUAUGCGUUACUAAUUAUUGUAACAUUGAUUUUGGCUUUCAAAAUUUGACCAAACAAUUUUCAUUUUGGGGAAAACUAAUCACAUAUAAGAUCAUGAUCAUAUGUAGACCUAUGCUAUGCACAAGAGAAACAAAUAACCGUGUAAUUCACUUUUCAAAAUUGGUGUCCAAAAAAGAAUUAUUGACAAAAUAUCAAGAUUGUGCUGGUCUACACAUUUAAUUUCGUGUUGCACAUUUUAAUCAAUUACACUAAUAAACAUUUAACUGUGCGCUUGUUAGUGAGUUAAAUGCCUAUGACCAGAUAGACCUAGUUAGGUAUGUCUGGACUAAAUCUAUAGAAAUGCAAACGAAGAAUCAUUACAGUUUAAACUCAUAUGUCUUAGCGUUCACAUGUCACGAAUUUGAUUGCCCAUAGAAGGCAAAAGAGAUUAAAAAAAAAAGAGUAUUGAAUUACUGGCAGCGAAAUGUACUUUUUAAGACCGAAACAUUACUAAUUUGCUCCCUUUCUCGCUAGUCUCAAACAACAAAAACGAAAGUUCUUGGAUUUUUAAAAUGCGCAUAUCACAUUGCUUUUAACAAUCCGUGUGAAUGAUGCAGAUUGGAAAGAUACUACUGGCUUGACUCCAUUUUAAAUGCGAGUUUUUCAGUCCAGACUACAUAAUCAGGGCGGGCGCUUACAUUUCAUCUAUCUUGUGUUAAUUACGGUCUUUCAUGGUACUAGCAUCGAUGGAUGUUGUAUGCAGCGGAUUUGUUCUUCUCAUGAUACUGGCUAUUGCACCAGUAGCGGCAGCAGCAGCAAAGGAGUCUGCUGUGAAUUUAUUGGAAGCUGAAGCACUGCUCAAGAGUGGCUGGUGGCGAGACGAUACUGCUGCAAGAAACGUCUCUGCCCACUGCCAGUGGCGUGGUAUCAUUUGCAACGAUGCUGGUAGUGUUACCGACAUACUACUUCCAAACUACGGAAUUCUGGAUGGCUUGACAAAUUUCAGCUUCUCUUCUUUUCGGAACCUGGUUAGACUAGAUCUCAGUGGAAAUAACUUUUACGAAGCUAUCCCAUAUCAAACAGGUGCACUCUCCAAACUCACCUAUCUCAAUUUGUCUUUAAACGAUCUUCAUGGCCAGCUCCCUUCUUCUCUAGUAAACCUUACACACCUAGCACAACUUGAUGUUUCUUGGAACUGGAUUGGAGGUUUAAUUCCUCCAGGUAUCGGAAACUUGACAGAUUUGGUUACUCUAGAUUUGAGCCAGAAUUGCUUUUGGGGCCGCAUCCCACCAACUCUUGGCCACUUGUCCAAUCUGGCCUCCAUUAACCUCAGCAAUAACUACUUCAGUGGGACAAUUCCUUCAGCUCUUUUUAAUUUGACAAAUCUUUCCCGGCUAGACAUUCACUUCAAUCCUGCAAUGGGAGGAUUUCUCUCAGAAGAAAUAGGAAAUUUGAAGAGUUUAGUUGAAUUAGACUUCAGUGGCCUUAAUCUUUCAGGAGCCCUCCCUUUAACUCUUUGCCGCCUAACCAAACUAGUAUCUCUUUCAGGUGCUGAGAAUCAAAUUCAUGGUUCCAUUCCCUCUGAAAUAGGAAAUUUGAAAAUUUUGGAACAUCUUGUCCUUGGGUCCAACCGGCUGACUGGUCAAAUCCCUCCGACCCUUCGCAAUCUGACUACUCUAGUUACUUUGAACCUCUCUUCUAACCAAAUAAGUGGUUCCAUACCUCUUCAACUUUCCGGUAUACCUUCUCUAACAUUUCUAGAUCUUUCCUAUAAUGCUUUGGAAGGUGAACUUCCGUGUGAGCUUGUCACUAAGUUUGGUUCAGAAAAUUUUGUCGGCAAUCCAGACUUGCAUCACGAUUCCACUCUUUGUGGCGAUCACAGACAUCACCCCCCAUACUACAUCAUAGGUCUUGGCGUGUCCUUCUUGGUGUUCUCAUUAAUUGGCGGAUUAGUGCUUUAUAUCUUCUGCAAAACCAAAGUCAAGAAAGUGGAACUUGAGCUGAUGGACAAUAAACACGGAGACAUUUUCAGAAUAUGGAACUAUGAUGGACAUAUGGCUUAUGAAGACAUAAUUAAAGCAACAAACGAUUUUGAUGUCUGUUAUUGCAUCGGGACAGGGGGUUAUGGCUCUGUAUACAGAGCUCGGUUGCCAAGUGGGAAAGUAGUGGCUUUGAAAAAGCUUCACCGUUUGGAAGGCGAGAAUCCAAAUUUUGACAAGAGCUUUAGGAAUGAAGCCGACAUGCUAUCUAAAAUCAGGCACAGGAACAUUGUAAAGCUCUUCGGAUUCUGCCUGCACAAGCGAUGCAUGUUUCUGAUUUAUGAGUAUAUGGACAGAGGAAGCUUGUUUUGUAUCUUGAGAGAUGAAACUGAAGCUGUGGAACUGGAUUGGAUUAAAAGAGUGAAUUUGAUCAAGGGCAUUGCCGGUGCAUUGUCCUACUUGCAUCACGAUUGUGAUCCGCCAAUCAUUCACAGGGAUGUAUCAAGCAACAACAUUCUUUUGAAUUCACAGCUCGAAGCAACUCUUUCUGACUUUGGAACUGCGAGGAUUUUGGAACUUGAUUCAUCAAAUCAAACGGUCACUGCAGGCACCUUUGGUUACAUGGCACCAGGUAGGUUACCUUGCUAUCCCAGAUCCCUUUCUGCUUUUCACCUUGUUUUUCAUAUUUUCUUGAUGCACAUUUUAGGCUUAACUUUCAAGAACAGAAAAGAAAAAAAAAUUCUUCCAACUGAAACGAUUAUUAUUAUUAUUUUUGGAAUAGUAAGUCUAGAGUUGUCCCAGUUGAGAUUAACUUUAUCUGUAUCCAAAUAUAUACUUACUUGUCAAUGCAGAGCUAGCCUAUACCAUGGCGGUCACUGAAAAGUCCGAUGUGUAUAGCUUUGGCGUUGUGGUGCUGGAAACGCUGUUUGGAGAGCAUCCACGAGAAUUCCUUUCGUUCAUAGCAUCACAACCCAAUGAACCAAUAAUGUUGAAGGAUCUUCUUGAUGCCCGUCUGCCCCCUCCGACUAACCAUUUGGUCGUUCGAAAUGUGGCUGUUGCAACAGCGUUAGCCCUGGAUUGCGUCAACACAAACCCGAAAUGUCGACCAACAAUGCAGCAAGUGGGCAGGCGAGAACCAACUAGGCCUUUGCACACCAUUGCUGUGAAUCAGCUUGUUAGUCCACCAGUACUUUCACUGCCUGACCAAACCUGCGCAGAUGGGAGGAGUAGCUCAAGCACCAUAAAUGAAUUCCAUGUGGAUAUCUCUGCGACUCUGCCAUCAUCCAAUUUUUCUAUCCAUGUUUCUACCUAAACAACUUUGAUAUCUGGUAGGAAACAGAAUAAGAUCGUGCUUUGCAAAAAUGGAAACUUGGCCAAGCACUUAGAUUGCUGCUACAUACGGCCAUUUGGUGUGCUAAUGAAAAAAAAAGUGUACUCAUUAAUGAACAAGUAGUUCAAGCACCAUGGAUGACUUUCAUGUGGAUAUCUCUGCCAUAUCCAAUUUUUCUAUCGAUGUGUCUACCUACCUAUAAUAUUUAUACCAAAGGAGAAUUUACCACUUGUCUUUAUUUAUGUAGGUGAAUUCUAGGCAGAGCAACACUUACCAAUCUAACAAUUUGCAAUUCCAAGUCUAGAUUUAAAGAAAUAUUAGUUUAAGGAUUCAAAUAUACAAAACUCAUGCCAAAAAUGAUAGGAUCAGGUCAAUCCAAAGCUGUAUUUUUAAAAAAAAUAAGUUGCAUAAAUUCAAGCUUGCAUAGCCUAUAGGGAUAAUUUCAAAAACCUCCCUUGAAAUUUUUGACAAUUGCAGAGAUCUCCCCUCAAGUUUAUUAAAUUACACCUACCUCCCUUGCUUUUACUAUUUAUGUAACAAUAUAGGCCAAAAGGUGAUAGGUUGUAAUUUUAUCAUUUAUUUUAUAAUUAAUUUUCCCUAUUACCUGACUCUAUGUGAAUUAAUUGUUAGAUUCUACUCACUUUUAGUAUUUUGCAUUUAUUUCAGGGAGUAGAACGAAAAUAUGAUAACAAGUGCCAAUUUAAUAAAAAAAGAGUCCAAAUAAUAAAGCUUAAUCCAGGGGCAUUUUUGGAACAGGGAAACUUAUUCCCAUGUUGGUAAUUGCUACAAAGGCAAGGACGGCGCAGGUUUUCUGGGAGAGCUGGAGCACCACACAGGAGGUCCUCUCCGCAAGGAGGCCGGCGGCACGGUGCAGAGAGGCUACUAAAGACGAAAUAGAAAUUGCAGAGGAAAGGCAAUAGCUUUAGCUUAGUUUUUGAUGUUUUCUUUUCAUGUUUCUUGGUAGGACCCCUCCUGCACAUGUCUGGGCAAUUAGGAAAGCUUUGACUUUUCUUCAGUUGCACUCUUAGUACUUUCUUUUCCUUCUCCGUAUGUCAUCCCAAGUGAAACAGAGAAUCACUUCUUCUAACUUUGCUAUCUCUUUUUGAUUGGAACGGAUUGAAUUCUCAAAAAUCAGUGACAAUGGCCGCAGCUUUCUCUUCAAUUUUAUAUGGGUUUUGUUCAUUAAAUAUGAACUAAUUUCUCCACUCUAGUCAAGAAAUGACAGGAUGCUUUGGGUCGCUUAAAAUUGUGAGAUCGAUUUAAUUUUAUUUUUUUCUUUUAUUUAUUGGUAUUCGCAUAUUCCUUGAUUGUAAUGCUUAUGAUUAUUUAAUUAAUUGAUUGUCUUGGAUCCGGAUAAUUAGUUAAUUUGGUAAUCGAUUGUCAAUUAGGACAUUAAAUCCGUAAUUGCUUAAUUGCCCUAAAAUAGUGACAAUUGGCACGAUUAGAUUCGUAUCAGGGGGAUACGCGGGCUAAUCUGAAAUAACCCUGGUAGUGUGUUAUUUGGUUAGAAUAGGACUCCUCUAAUACGUAAGGCAAUUGGAGAAUUAAAUCUUAUGAGUGUACCUAGAAUUGUUUUUCAAUUAGAACAAUGAUUAACGGGCGUACCUUGAUCACCGACACAGUAAAGAGGGGUUGACUGUCAUCGUUUGUUUGGCAGUUAUAACCUAUUUAUUAGUAAAUAAUUGGAAUUGCUUUUGCAUCGAUGAUCAAUUAGGUGAACUAUUACUAAAGUUAUUUCUUGGCUAGACCUUUAAUUAUUAUCACUCUGAUUUUAGUGAAUUGUCAUUUAAUUUGUAGUUAGCUAUUUAUUUUUAUUUGAAUUUAUUUGAUUGGCACUUUCCACACAAAAACACCCCCUGAUUACUGUGAAUUUGAAAAGAAGCAGCUACACCCAGUCCCUGUAGAUUCGAUCCUGCUUACCACUAUUUACAAAAAUUAACUUUAGUUGAGCAGGUCUUUAUUAUUGCACAGGCUGAUAACCUGUCAAAAGGCUAUAUUUUUUUUUUCAAAAAUCCUAAACUACUCUUUUUGUAUAAAAAUAAAGCAAAAAUUAUUUUGCCAAUUCCUUUCUUUCAUAUUUCAACCGAACCCACUGUACUAACAAACUAACCUAACAAAUAGUCUAAUUCCAAAUUCUAAACUCAAGUAAUUCCAGCAUCAUAGUUAUAAAAUUGCUUCUCCCAAAGCAUGCAUUCCAUUUUGAAGAUUCGUUCCAUUCUUCAAAAAUAUUCUCACCAUAUGGUUACAUGGAACGGUCAAACUCACAAUUAACUGUUCUUAUGUUUGCAUAAUCUUUAAUAUAGGAUGCCAUGGUUUGAUUCCAUAUAAGUAGUUUAACUCCUACUACAUGAGCCACAUUGUGGUCUUGAAGAAAAUCCUUAGGGAAGAUUUAGGUAUGGAUGGGAUUAAUCAAGUUUAAGAAAAGGAAAGGCGUCAUUAUGACUUUAGAGAUCUUCAAAAAAUUCAUUGUGCCAAAAAUCAAAAUUCUAUUGACAAUUAAUUACACCCCAAACUUCAAACCUAAUGCCCACACUUUCUCAAAACAAAAUAAUUUAGCCUACUAUUAUAUCUCCAAACAUGUUAACGUUUUAAAUACAGAGAAGAAACUCUAUCUUCAUAACGAAAACACAACCAACAAUUGUCAAGCAUAAAAAGAAACAGGGUAAAAUACCAAAAACCCCCCUGUGGUUUGCCAAAUGUACAUUUUACCUCCCUAUAGUUUGAAAACCUACAAUUUAACUCUCUGUCGUUUCAACUAAAGUAAAAGUCUGACAGAAAACAUCUAAACUAAUGUCUGAAUGGAAAAUGUCAAAAUUGCCUCUCUAUAAGUCAAUUCCUCGGAAGAAUGUUUCGUGCAUUUGAGAAUGGGUAAAAUACCAAAAAUCCCCUUGUGAUUUGCCAAAUAUACACUUUACCUCCCUAUGGUUUGGAAACACAUAGGGUAUCAUUGGCAAGUGAAAAUAUUAUCGCAACCACAACUCUCAGCAGGGGUGCGUGGCACUCAAAUACCGUUAUUGUAGAUAUUUUCUGUCAGACUUUCACUUUAGUUGAAAUAACAGGGAGUUAAAUUGUACAUUUCCAAACCAUAGAAAGGUAAAGUUUACAUUUGGCAAACCACAGGGGGGUUUUUGGUAUUUUACCCAAAGAAAUAUAAAUGUACUUAUUGACAUCUUAAAACAUUUUUUGGAUGGAUGAUAGACAAAUUAGCAAAUUUAUCAAUUUUAAACGCUCUCCCUCUUUUGACCAAUGAUUGCAUUAUUUAUUCCAUUAUUAUUGUGUGUCUCUUCAUUUCCUUUUAAUUUGACCAAUCUCUUAAAUAAACUUGUGAUUUGACAAUUUCAAAAAGAAGAAAAGAGAAAUAGAAAUAUAUAGUAGGGUGUGAUUGGCUGCAAUUAUAGGUAAUGGUUGGUGGUAAUUUGAGAGCGAAUUAUAGGAAGAAGGGGUUGAUGAAUGAAAACAGAAUGCUAGUAAGCGAGAGAAUCGUCGUUAGCUGUAACUUGUAAACAGGAUAGCCGAAAAGGUUAAGUUUCUUUUUCUUUUUUUUUAAAUCUCAUUUCAUUAUACUAUGAAUUAUUUAUUAAGUGAAGGUCAUUAUAGUCAUAUUAUUGUGACAAGAGAGGUUAGUGUAAUUUGUAAAACUUGAGGGGAGCCAAGUGAAAUUGUCAUAACCUCAAGGGAGGUUUGUGAAAUUAUCCCUAACCUAUAACCUCAUUUAAAAUUUGAACUCUAAAUAUGUAGCAUGCAUUUGCCUUUACUAGUUAAAAGAGAAAAAGGAAUUUCACACGUAAGAAAUUAUUGAAACAUAAAUGGUGCAAACUUUCUUUUUUUAAAAAAAAUUAAUAUAAAUGUGCGAGUUUUUAUCAAUCUCUAGUUUGCCAUAUAAACAUAGAAUGAUUUUCAUAUGAAUUUAUUAUAUCACCUAGUAGUUUUAAUUCACUAAACUCAACCACAGAAAAGAAAAAACAGGAACAUCAAGUUUCGAAAUAUGGAACCUAUAUUCAGCGGGCUACUAUUUUGGUGCUUAUGACCCCAUAAGUCGAUUGCUGCAAUUUUUUACUUCCUCCUAGGAUGGCCCAAAAAAAAAAAAAAAAAAGAGUUUCCCGGUUGCUCAUCAAUUGAGGAAAACGCUGGUGAUUCCCUUUUUUUUUUUUGAGGAAAAAGCUGGUGAUUCCUUAUUGCUUCCUGGAUUUUUAACCUAAAGUGUAUAAUAGCUUGAGAAAACGUUGUACUAUUAAGGGUCCGUUUGUUUCGGGUGAAAAUGUUUUCCAGAAAAAUAUUUUUCUAAUUUUCCGUGUUUGGUUGCACAAAAGUUACUGAAAACAUUUUCCUAUGUAAAAUAUUUUCACUCAUCUUAUGGAAAACAACUUCCCUUCCAAACUUACUGAAGUUGUUUUCCGAAAUGCAUGCAUCCCGCCUGUAGUAUGUUUCAAACUUGUUGAAAACAUCUUGUAGUAUGUUCUUUUUUUUUUUUAGUGUAAACAGGAGGACUCGAAUGCAAGACCUCUUCCUUACACUCCCUCCCCCGUACCACCCAACCCAACCCUCCCCCUAGUAUAUUCAAAAUAAAAAAAAAACUCCACCCUGCUCAUCCUAUGCUAGUAAUUAAUUAUGUAUAAUAGGGACAUUCUUUUCUAGAAAAACUUCCAGCAAUAAGAGUGUAAGAUAUAUGUUACAAUAAGCAUUGCAUGUGAUUGAUAUUUGACACUAAAUGACCAGCAAUUUGUUUAUUGUUUAAAGAGAUAUUUUUUAUUCAUAUAUACAUUUCUCCAAAAUUUUUUAAAGUUAAAUAAUGAGAUAAAUUUUCUUAUUUUAUAUGGGAAGAAGUAUGUAGUUAUAAUGUGUAGAAAGUAAAGAUAGAGAUAAAAGUGAAAAUAUUUCAAAAGUUAAACAAACACCAGAAAAAUGAAGUAAAAAAAUAUUUUCAAUAAGCUAACCAAACACUUGAAAAUGAUGAAAGGGAAAUGAUUUUCAUGAAAAAUUACUUCCACGAAAAAUAUUUUCCCAAGGAAAAUAUUUUACUUCUAACCAAACAGACCCUAAAAGAAAUUCUGGAGCACAUCAAGUACCCCAUAGCAUCCAAGUAAAACAGCGACUUGAUAUGUGCAAGGAGGCAGGGGAGGUGGCUGUUGGGUUGGAGUGGAGUGGACAUUUGCGUUGGGUUAGUGGGCUUAUUAAGUUGUUUACAGAAUGGUUGGUAAAAAAAAAUUAUGGUUGGGUGUGCAGAUGGUUGAUGAUACUGUUAUACCUGGUACGCAUUCAGAAUCUGCUUCUAAGAGUAGAACUGAUAUUUUGAGUAAUCUUGACCUUUCUUCAUAUGUGAACCAAGGAAUGCCUCUGCCUGGGUGUAUUGUUCACCAAGAAACCUAGUCUCAUGUUUCUGGUAGAUUCGAUGAUUAAAAUGGUUCUUGCAAAUAUACUUUUGGAAGAAAUUGGUGGCCACCUUCUGGUUCAUUUGCCGCCAACCAUCCAGUUUGACCUGCUUAUGGAAGAAGUUGGAGGCCAUGAUAAUUGAAUGCAGGAUCUGUAAACUGCUGUAAAUGAAUGCUAGCAAAGUUUUAUCAAUUAAUGUGUAUAUUGCUCCUCAUAGUCGAAAUAGUGAUGCCUCCCUGCUGACAAAUUGACCAUCUUAUAUUAGCUUUUGGAAUUUGGAAAUCUUCUGGUUGCUUGCAAGCUUCUUAACAUACAUUGUAGGAUAUACUAUACUUCUUGUACAUGUAAAAAUUUUCAGGAGGUGCAAAAAAAGACACUUGGUUUAUAAUUCUAUUUUACAACAAAAAAAUGCAAAAAUAAAUAAACAAUUAUUAUGUAGUUAGCUAAUUUGGCUUUUCUUUUCUUAGCUAACCAUAUGUUCCAAAGCAAACAUUCUGGUAUAAAAAGCUAUACGUGCAAGUAUUGUGCAUGAAUGGAAAUAUAGAAAUAUAUUAGUAGAAGGCUAAUAGAAAGUUAAGUUAUGCUAUAGAUGUUAUGCACUUAUUAGGUUAGAUCCCAUCUCCCUUUAAUUUUUUUAGUAUUAGAAAAUGAUAAACAGUAUUAGCAGAUGUAGUUUUGUAAGUUCCAUAGAAAACCUUAGGGCUUCACACUGUUAUAAUUUUGUUAAAUUUUUGGACAAUUUUGCCCUCCCUUUACUCCCAUGACGGUGAAGUUGCUAAGCCUUAGUUACAAUUUUUCUUCCUAUCCAUCCCUUCACCCAUGAUCCGAUAUCACUACUCCAAAACCCAAACAUCCAAUACCAAUGCGAAUGCUUCACUCAUACUUUUGCUUCCUCAUUUCUGGCUUGAGAUUAGAUGAUCAAGCUAUACACAGUACACACCAAUUCUUAAAGAGGUUGGUACUCGAAGAAAUUCCGGAGAAGUUGAGAAGCAGAAACCAACCAUGAUAGUAAAGUGGGCAAGGGAAAGCCAUGCACACAUGCCCAUUGAUUGUCGACAAACCCUUAGUCAUCAUUUGGUUUUUGAUUAGACAAAUAUGAACUCAGCAUUUGUUUCAUGUAAUGAUAGCCAUAAAGGAAUCUUGAAGGCUAGAAAGAUUUCUCGUGACUCUCUCAAAAGAAAGAAAGUUCUGAUGCUUCUUUUCUUUUUUGUCGUAACUUAGGUCAUUCUUUCUUUUAGUCUCCUAAACUGACAAGCUAAUUGUCUCCCAUUUCACGGUUCUCAAACAACAGUGACAGGGUGUCGAAACCUGUGCAAUAAUAAAAACCUACUCAAAUUAAAAGUAAUUUUUGUAGAUAGUGGUAAGCAGGGUCGAAUCCACAGGGACUGGGAGUAAUUGUUUCUUUUCAAAUUCACAGUGAUAAGGGGGUGUUUUUAUGCAGAAGGCGACAAUCAAAGUAAAUCAAAUAAAAUCUAAGAAGCUACUAGAAAUUAAAUAACAAAUUACUAAAAUCAAAUGAGUGAUAAUUAAGGAUCUAACCAAGGAAUAACUUCAGCAAUGGUUCACCUAAUUGAUCAUCGAAGCAAGGGCAAUUCCAAUUAUUCAUCAAUAAAUAGGUUAUAACUACCAAACAAGCGAUGGCAGUCAACUCCUCCUUACUAUGUCGGUGAUCAAGGUACGCCCGUUAAUCACUGCUCUAAUUGAGAAAUAAUCCUAGGUACGCCCGUAAGAUUUAAUUCCCCAACUGCCUUACGUACGAGAGGAGCACUAUUCUAACCAAAUAACGCACUACCAGGGUUAUUUCAGAUUAGCCCGCGUAUCCCCCUAACACGAAUCUAAUCAUAUCAGUUGUCACUAUUUCAGGGCAAUUAAACAAUUACGGAUUUAAUACCUCAAUUGACAAUAGAUUAUUAAAUUAACUAAUUAUCCGGAUCCAAGACAAUCAAUUAAUUAAACAACCAUAAGCACUGCAACCAGGGAAUAUGCAAAUACCAAUAAAUAAAAGAAAAAGAUAAAAUUAAAUCGAUCUCACAAUUUUUAGGUGACCCAAAACAUCCGUUGUUUCUUGACUAGAAAAAGGGAUUUAGUUCAUCCCUAAUGAGGAACACUCACACGAAGCGGAAGGAACAAUUGCAGCCUUUGUCAUUGACCGGGAAAACUCAAUUCGCUUCAAUAAGGAAAAAGAAAGAACAAAGCUACAGCGAAUGAUUCAUGGUUUCUCAUGGUCUCUGACAUACGAGAAGAAAAUCACUAAGGAACGGAAAAAAUGGAAAAAGUCUAAGUGAAAACCUAAUCUAGAGCUACGAGACAAAAGUCAAAAGCUAAAAAACAAGGUAGUGCUCAAUGUCAGCCAUAUAUCAAUCGUUCCUAUUCUAAUUGCUACUGUGCGGCGUCCGCCGCCCAGCCGAGAGCGGAAAAAGAAGACUUCAGCCUCCCCUUUUUAAUGUUGUCUUCGGGCCAAUUACCAAGAAGGGUCGCGGUUUGAUAUUUCAAAAAUGUCCCUAGAUGCCUGCUACUUGAAUUCUUUUUUGAUAACUGCCAAAUUGACAUUUGUUAUGGUAUUUUCGUUCUACUCGCUGAAAUAAAUACAAAUUGUCAAAAGUGAGUAAAAUCUAACAAUUAAUCCACAUCGGAUCAGGUAAUAGGGAAAAUUAAUUAUAAAAUAAAUGAUAAAAUUGCAACCUAUCAAUUUCCCCCACACCUAAACCAUGCUUGUUUUCAAGCAUGAUAACAGCAAACAAACCGAAUGUUUGACAAAGACUAUUGCCCUACCUACCAUAUUGCCAAGACACCAAGAAAAACAUAUAUCAAGCAUCAAUGGUCAAGUCCAAGAAACAUCACUGCGGUUAGCUUCUAAACCACAAACUCCUCUAAUUUCAGGUUAACUAAUCUAAGAAAAAGGAAUGACGCACAACAUUUAUCAGCAAAUGGUCCAACUAUUAACAAAAAUCUCAAUAUUAAAUUCAUAAAUCGGCAAGCUGACUUUUAUUAUACACUAACACAACUUUCAACUUUUUUUUCACGUUUUUCUAUUUUUCUUUUUUUUUCCUUUUCUCAAUAGUAACAAAAGACUUAGUCGCUAGCAAUUGGAGCCUUUUGAUGUGAACUCCAACAUUUUUAGAUGAAGGAGCCCGGUUACUCAGCUCUUAUCGUUAUACGACCACGUACUCAUAGAAAGUACUACCUUUUUACGCGAGAAUCAACACUUUUAGGUGCAGAUCCCUGGUUACUCAAUAGUAACUAAUAGCGGAGUACAUUCAAGUUUAUUUAUAGCUAGAAAUAAAAAACUCAAUAUAACACAAGAACCAAAAGAAAGCUUGCAUCAGCUAGCCUCAUUUCAAACAUGGAGAACUAAAGUUAAUAAUCGGACCACUUCACAUGAAAAAGCCAACAAUCAUUCCCUAUACCUAGGAAAGUUAACCAAAAAUUAGAAAAGUUAAUCAAUUACUGAUAUUCACCAGAGGGAUAUUUCUGAACUCAACCACAUUAACUUGAUACCCUUUUAUUACUAAAACUCGGCAAUAGCAGAAAUAGAGGCAAUAAUCCAACAUCAAACUUUGGUAUCACUUAUGAGCUAAUCACUAAAAAGGAAGAAAGAAAUUGAACGAGAGGUGGACAAAUAGCAAAUUAAAAAAAAGAAAGCAAAAACAUCUAAAAAAAACUAAAAAGUAGAAAAACUAGCACAACUGCCCCCCCACACCUAGAUCCUACAUUGUCCUCAAUGGAGGAAAUAAAGCAAUUAUAGUGAAAAGGACAACGAAACUUCCCUCUCAAGUGGCUACGGGAUAGGCGGGGACGAUGGAGGGAAACCGAUGUGGUGGAAAUACGCGCCCAAGUUCUGAGUCAUCAUAACUCAAUUCAACCAGUAAAUGCAAAACUCUGUCCACCCAAAAUCUCAACAAAGCCUCCAAAUAGACAGUUAAUUUCUCAACUCAAAAGCAACAAUUCCAAUAAUAGCAGUAUAGAAAUUGGAGAAUAACCACACAAUCACAAUCAGGUAGCCAACCAAUUGGAAAUAACAAAUGCUAGUCAAAAUACCCCAACCAGUACCACUGGUGCAAAUCACAGUCCAAAAUGAGAGAAAUUGCUAUAGCAGAACAAAGCAGUAGUAAAUCGACAGCCCCAAGUAUUAACCCAAUCGUAAGAUAGAGAAUGCGCCAGCAACCAAGCAAUAUCAGGGCAGGGCAAUAGUCAUCUAUGUCUCCCAAUUCAUCAGGCAACAACGGCUCCCAAAUUUACAGGUAAAAGUAGACAAAGGUCAACCAGAAUCCCAACAAAUGGUCCCAAUUUGACAAUUAACCGCACACUGUUAACCAACCCAAAAGAAGCAUCAAAUUGAAGUGAAAACAAUCCAACCAGUACCACUGGCGAAAAAUGGAAUGCACAACCCAAUCAAACAGCCCCAAGAAAGAACAAUGCAAUCAAUAAUAACUCAUAAAUUCGACAGUAGCAGAGUAAUUCCAAGUGCCCAGCCUCCAACAGUCAACCAAAAGAGUAGAAGUGACCCAGUGAAGCCAAAAUGCCCAAACAGUGGAUGAAACAAGUUCAACGGCUAACCCACACUAGUGAGACCCCCCAAAUAAUGUAACUCAAUUCGGACAACAAGCAACGUAUCCACAGGAUUCUCAGUCAAAUCUAAUAAUGAACCCCAGCAUUUCAACUAGAUGCACUGAACUGGAAUAAGCGAUGUAAAUGGUAUAGAAGCCUCCCAAUUUAACAAACAAGUGCAAUAUUUCAACUCACCCAAAUUCUCAACAAAUGGCUCCAGUUGGCCAGUUAAAGUUUUAACUCAAAAUUAGCAAUCUCAAUGAUAACAGUUUAGAAAUUUGACAAUAAUAACUCAGACAACCAAAUGAAGGUACCAAAUUCACGUCCAAUUUACCCCACCAGUACCACUGGUGGAUUCCUCAGUAAAAGAAAAACAACUCCGCGUCCUGCUCAAACAAAAGACGACCCCAAACAACACCAAAUACUACUGAGGAGUUGGGGAACGAAUGUCAAAUACCUCAAUUGUUUGAUGGUCAAAAGAAGUGGGAUAGGCACGACUCCUGGCGUGCAUGCGUGAGCGAGAAACAGCGACUGUGGGAGGCGCGGCUUCGCUAGUGGCUUGCGAGGAAGAGGUCGCGCUGCAAUGUGGAGGAAGGUGGUGACAGUCGCUGGAGUGAGAUUGGGGAAGAGGAGACGCGCGGCUGGUUGACUGCUGGAGUGGAACUGAGCGCAGGUGGAGCCUGGGUGGCAGUAGUGGAGCUCGACGGUAGUGGCUGCGGGUGGAGGGUGAGAUCGAGAGGGAGAAAAGCGUGAGCUGCUGGUGGCGCUGCCUGCUGGGCAGAGGCGCGCGAGCUCCAGCAACGGUGAGGGCGGUGUCACGCGAUGGUGGUUGUCACUGGUGCAAGGGCAGAGAAAAGAUGUCACGGCUAUGAAGUGGAGGAGUGGACUGCGCGGAGCAGCGGGCUGUGGCGCGUAGCCAUGGUGGCGUGCGGGCUUGGGCAGCGGCGGCGCACGAUGCUGCGGACGGCGGCGGCCAAUGGGUUUGCUGUGGUGGAGUCGCGGGUGGAGAGAUGGCGGCGGGCAUGAGGUGUGCUCGGCCGACAGAGAGGAAGAAAAAACAAGGGAAGAAAGAAAGAAAAAGGAAGAAAAGAGAGAAGAGAAAAAAAAUGUUUUUUUUUUUUUGAAAUUGAGAAACCUAGCUACGGUUGAAAUUUUUUUUCUUUUUUUUUUUGUUUACAUUUUUUUUUUUUUUUGCAAAUGUUAUUUUCGAAAUUCAAAAUUAGAGAUUAACCGAAAAUCAAUAACCGUUCUUGAGUUUUUUUUUUUUUUUGAAUACUUACCUUUCCCGCGAAUGUGACGUGGGCACGUUAUGAAGGCACGGAAUCUGGAACUCUCCAUAUGACAUGACACGGGUACAUCAUGAGGGCAGGAACCCCUUCUGACGAUUCUGACUGUGAGCUCUCCAGACGUCAUGACGCGGGCGCGUCAUGACAGAAAGACACCUACAAAUUAUCAAAAACGAAAAUUGAAACCCGAAAUCAAUCAAAUUCAAGGAAAACAUAUUUAAAUUAUCACACGAAAUCAAAAUAAACAAUUAAAAGGAAUAAUUGGGUUGCCUCCCAAUAAGCGCCUUUCUUUAAUGUCUUUGGCUAGACAUUAUCAUGUUUUGCUCAUGGAGGAUAAAAUCUUGUGGCUCGUUUCAAUGUUUCAUCUUCAAUGUGAUCCUGGUAACCCUCAUAGAUGGAGUAAUUUUUGAACACACGAGUUACGGUCUUCCAUGGACUAGUUGAUGGCGCCAAAUAAUCAAGCAGUGAUCUCAAUUUUUCAUCCACUCCUCUAUCAAGAGCACUCAACGGUUCAAGAUAUUUGACCAUAGCUACUUUUAACUUAUUUCUGCCAUGAGACUCAAAAACUUCCGAUAUAACAAAAUCAAUUUCAUUAACAGAAAUCAUGGAGUAAGAGUUAAGAAAAUGUGGGUUAGGGAAUGGAGGUGGUGUCACCAUAUUUGAUGAUUCUUCACUGGAUUCUUUCACUUGAAUGGGUUGCGGUUGAGGUACCAUUUCUUCCUUUUCGGCUUCUUUUUCAACUGCAUCUGUAGAUUUCUCAUUUUGACACUCUUGCAUCUCCUCAUCACUAGUCAAGCAAAUUGCACUCUCAUUUUCUUCUAGAUCAACAAUGGUUUUCGAGAGCAAUUCUUCCAUUUGAGAAGCCAAUCGAUUUAUUCUGGAUGCCAAUAGACAUGGUUGAUCUGCCAGAUAACUCAUUGCAUCCUUCAUCAUCUCAUUCCUCAUUUGUGUCUCCUAUUGGAAUUGGUAUGUAUUAGUAGCUAUUGAUUCAACUAUUUCUUCAAGAGACAUACCUGACAUAGAUAACGAUUCUUGAGACUCAUACUGCUGAAAAUUCAUUGGCCCCGUUGUAUAAUUAUAAUUGGAGUUAUCCCACCAUCCUUGAUCAUACCCGUUUAGAUUAGGGUUAUACCACAUUUGAGACCAGGGUGAAAAAUCUCCAUAAUUAUUGAAUGUGACACUCAGAUUAUCUUGAUAUUCGGGGCACAUACCGGUUGAAUGAUGCCUGGCAUAACAAAUUUUACAGGUUGUAGCAGCCAUUCUUUCUCUAAUAGAGUUUAGUGCCUCUACAUAUGCAAACUCAGAAAAAAAACAAGCCUCAUUGCCUUCCCUGGAAACAAAAUCCAGUCUAUCAGCAGAAUACGGAGUGUUAGAAGCCAUAAACUAUAUAAAAAAAUAAGAGAAAAAUAAAUAAAUAAAUAAAAAACAAGAUGAACUCAAAAAGAAAUAAAUUAAUCUGGCACCAGUCCCCGGCAACGGCGCCAAAAAUUGACAGGGUGUCGAAACCUGUGCAAUAAUAAAAACCUGCUCAAACUAAAAGUAAUUUCUGUAGAUAAUGGUAAGUAGGGUCAAAUCCACAGGGACUGGAAGUAAUUGUUUCUUUUCAAAUUCACAGUGACAAGGAGGUGUUUUUAUGCAGAAGGCGACAAUCAAAGUAAAUCAAAUAAAAUCUAAGAAGCUACUAGAAAUUAAAUAACAAAUUACUAAAAUCAAAUGAGUGAUAAUUAAGGAUCUAGCCAAGAAAUAACUUCAGCAAUGGUUCACCUAAUUGAUCAUCGAAGCAAGGGCAAUUCCAAUUAUUCAUCAAUAAAUAGGUUACAACUACCAAACAAGCGAUGACAGUCAACCCCUCCUUACUGUGUCGGUGAUCAAGGUACGCCCGUUAAUCACUACUCUAAUUAAGAAAUAAUCCUAGGUACGUCCGUAAGAUUUAAUUCCCCAACUGCCUUACGUACGAGAGGAGCCCUAUUCUAACCAAAUAACGCACUACCAGGGUUAUUUCAGAUUAGCCCGCGUAUCCUCCUGACACGAAUCUAAUCGUGUCAGUUGUCACUAUUUCAGGGCAAUUAAACAAUUACGGAUUUAAUAUCUCAAUUGACAAUAGAUUAUUAAAUUAACUAAUUAUCCGAAUCCAAAACAAUCAAUUAACUAAACAACCAUAAGCACUGCAACCAGGGAAUAUGCAAAUACCAAUAAAUAAAAGAAAAAGAUAAAAUUAAAUCGAUCUCACAAUUUUUAGACGACCCAAAGCAUCCGUUGUUUCUUGACUAGAAAAAAGAAUUUAGUUCAUCCCUAACGAGGAACACUCACAAGAAGCGGAAGGAACAAUUGUUUCCUUUGUCAUUGACCGGGAAAACUCAAUUCACUUCAAUAAGGAAAAAGAAAGAACAAAGCUACAGCGAAUGAUUCAUGGUUUCUCAUGGUCUCUGACAUACGAGAAGAAAAUCACUAAGGAACGGAAAAAAUGGAAAAAGUCCAAGUGAAAAGCUAAUCUAGAGCUACGAGACAAAAGUCAAAAGCUAAAAAACAAGGUAGUGCUCAGUGUCAGCCAUAUAUCAAUCGUUCCUAUUCUAAUUGCUACUGUGCGGCGUCCGCCGCCCAGCCGAGAGCGGAAAAAGAAGACUUCGGCCUCCCCUUUUUAAUGCUGUCUUCGGGCCAAUUACCAAGAAGGGUCGCGGUUUGAUAUUUCAAAAAUAUCCCUAAAUACUUGCUACUUGAAUUCUUUCUUGAUAACUGUCAAAUUGACAUUUGUUAUGGUAUUUUUGUUCUACUCCCUGAAAUAAAUAUAAAUUGCCAAAAGUGAGUAAAAUCUAACAAUUAAUCCACAUCGGGUCAGGUAAUAGGGAAAAUUAAUUAUAAAAUAAAUAAUAAAAUUGCAACCUAUCAAACAGAUAGGAAAGUUCUAAUAUUUCCUCUUUUCUUUUUUGUGGUAACUUAGGUCAUUCUUUCUUCUUUCGUUUUUUAAUCUCCUAAACUGACAAGCUAAGCCUUAUCUGCUAAAAUUUACAAUUAAAUAUUUUUUUUAGAGCUGCCCUUAAUAUAAUACUCCUUAGCACAAAGAGAGCAAUAAAUAUAAUGGAGAACCAUAAGAGGAUAAUGGAGUAUGUUUUAAAAUUGAAAAUGAAAAUGUUAUGAGUAAUUUCCUUUUAAUUGUACCGCAUUUGUUGAUUUUUGGCAAACCAUAUCAAUUCAGUUGAAAUUCAAUUAGUAAAAUUCUGUACUUAUUAGAAGUCCUAUUCUGACACCCACAUUAGUUCUAAGUAGUAAUGGAAGAGUUCUUAUAUUUUUUUUCCCCACUUCUUGAAGAUUGUCUAUAAUUCUUUUGCUCUAUAAGAACAGUUAAUGGCAUUUUUAAGAAAUUCCACACAACGUACACUCCAAGUUUGAAGACUGACCUUGACUCUCAAAAGUGAAAUCAAUGAAUCAAGACCAGAAAAACUGCAUUGCGAGUCUUCAAGUUUGAGGGCCAGCGUGUUUAAUGGCAUUUCUAAGAAAUUCCACACAACAAUUCUAGUGGAAUCAGAUCAAUUCCAAGUCAUACACAUUAAAACGCGUAUGUCAUGGUGUUUGUUUAACUCUCCAUAUGUAGUCUUUAAAUCCAGACUAUCUCUGAAUACUCAAGUCGUUCUUUCUUCUUUCUUUUUAAUCUCCUAAAUUGACAAGCUAAGCCUUAUAAUCUAAAAUUUAUGAUUUUUUUUGUUUUUACAAAUCUGCCCUUAGAAUUUAGCAUUUACUCUUUAGCAUAAAGAGUGCAAUGAUUAGAUUUAACAACCACAUGAGGAUCAUGGAGCAUGUCUUAAAUUUAUUUACAAAAAGAGGGUUGCGAGUAUUUCCUUUUAACUGUACAACUUUUGUUGAAUUUGGGCAAAAUUUACCAAUUUAGUUGAAGUUGAAUUUAGUAUUUGAGCUUUGUUAAAAGUCGUAUUCUAACUCUUAUAUUAGCUCAAAGUAAUAAUGGGAGAGUUUUUUUUUUUUCCCCCUUUUUGCUCUUAUUGACAAUUGUCUACAAUUCUUUUGAUUUAUAAGAACAGUCAAUAUAGCAAAAAGCAACAUCACAGAUUGCCUACACUUCAAGUUUGAAGACGUAUGGACAAUGACUCUUAAAAAAGCAAUCAAUUAAUCAAGACCACAGACACUGCAUUGCGCGACUUCCAAAUCAAACCGCGUGCUUUAACUAUCCAUAUCACUAUCACUGAUUGUAAAUGCAGAGUCUUUCAAUCCAGACUACUGUACUUAGAGUUCUUAUACAUUUCAUCUACCUUACGGUCUUACAUUUAUUUUUGAUGUGCGGACUUUAAAUGUUUAGUCCUACGCGCGGCCUGAUGUUCCCUCCGGUGUUGUAAGGCUUGUAGUAUCCGUAAGGUUUUGAUCAUGGUUUGUAGUUUAACCAUGAGUUUAACUUGAAGGCAUGAUACCAAAAGAGAUUGUAGAAUCUCUCACAAUUAUACUAGCAUAAGUUUACAAUGUGUUAUAGAUUUUCAGAAUAACUAAAUGUCUACAAUGAGUAGACCACUUUAUUCGAUGUUAAAACAAUUUAAAGAAGAAUUAUCUACAAUUUGUUUUUAAUUGCAAUAAUUAUAAGGUCAUCUAACGGUAUAAACUAACAUAAUGAUUAAAACUAUACAUAAAAAUUGUAUAAAAGUGCACAAUAAUAAAUUAUGCAUUGAGUGCUAGAUGUAUAUUUUCAUAUACGCAAUAGGCAAAUAAUGUAUACACAAUUUAACUAUCAAAUGAAUGUUUAGUUAACUUGUAAUUCAUAAGGUUAAGAAAAGUUUAAUGUUACGUGCAUAAGAUUUGUUAGAAAGAAAAUAAAAAUAGCAUUGUGUAAUAAAUUUUAUUUUAAUGUUGCAUCGGAGAAAUGAUGGUGAUAACUGUAUAAAAUUUUAAAACUUUUGCGAGGCAAUUGUGGGGUUAGAGGAAAUAUUACCAAAUUUCAAGGGGUGCAAAAGUGAGGCAACAAUAGAAGAACCUUUUUAUGGACUAUUCUAAAAUUUCUAAAAAAUUGAGAAGGUGCAAUUGCGCUGGCUAUGGCUCCACCAAUAUAUAUAUAUAUAUAUAUAUAUAUAUAUAUAUUCUCAUAUUUUGCCGAGUGGAUUUUCGUCUUUUUACCAUGUGGCAAAACAAAUUAUAAAUAAAUUUUUUUUAAUUUUUUUGUGGAUUUUAUUUUUGUCUUUUUUUCUUCGCAACCAAUCUAUUAAUUACUUGCAGUAUAUAAGUUUGUAUGUUUGUACCUUCUUUAUUUUUUUUUUGUUAAUCAACUCAUAUCUUUUCUCUUUUUAAUCCUCUUCAAGUACAUUUUCUAUUUUUAUUAUUGGUUUGAUCAUUCAUCAUCAUUAAUUUGGACAAAUUAUGCCACGUCAAUGUUGACGUAAUAGUAUCUAUUUUCUCUCUUUACCUUCCUAUCUAAUAAUUCUUUUUUCUUCUAAUAAUUCUUAUUCUAAUAAUAAUAAUGUUAUUUAAUAGAUUUCCUAAAAUUAUUUCAUCAUUUGUCUUUUGUUAUCUAUAGCAUAUAUGUCUUGCAUAUUUCACAAGGAAGUUUUUGAUUGAUGGUCAAGUCAAGUGUUCUCCAAUUUUCUUAUUAAUCAACCCUGAAUCUCUCUUAAUUAAUUUUCUCAAUUAAUUGACCCAGAGUUAAAUAUUUAUACCUUUUAACCAUCUACUUUUUUAACAUCAUAUAACUAUGUAUAUCACAUGAUACUGAUGAUAUUGAAUAGCUGAAUAUAUAUGAUAUAUGAAUUGACAGGUAUAAUUUUGGUAUGUUUCAUCAUUUUUCUUAACAAACUCAAAUAAUUGCUUUUUCUUUGAUCCCUAUAAAGUAAAGGGAAAUGUUAUAUGCACUCCAUUUUUUGCUAUUAGCGCUUCCACUAUUUGUUUUAUCAUAUAAUCUAAUAAAUAAAAAUUAUAUGAUUAAAAUGAUAGUGAGUGUGUGAUCGACAAAAAUAGGAGUGCAAAUAAUAUUUUUCAUAAGUAAAUUAUAUUUAUGUUUCCCUUUAACAUCAGAAUUUUCCUUUUUAACAUUCAAUAUACUCCAUUCGUCCCAUUAAAAGUGUCAUGUUUUCUAUUUUGGAAUGUCCUAAAAUGUUUGUAAUCUUACCAAAAUUAAAGUUACUUUGAUCACUUUUUUCAAUGUUAUCCCCUCCAUUUACUACAUUUCAUAUUAAAUUCAAAUUUGAAUUUUGAAUUUUUAUGGGCUAUUUUGAAAGAAACUAAUGCCACUUCCAGGGAGAAAGAUACAGAGAGGUACAUUUUUUUUGCUAAGUUUAAACUAUUAAGAUUGUUUUUUGGUUGUUUACACUCCGUUCCUGUUGUCCUGCAUCAUUUUGCUGUCACCUAGUAUCUCAGAUUAGUUUUUGCUACAUGUUGUUUAUUGUUGCCCUGACAAGUCAUAAAAUUAAUAGAAAGCUUAAGUUCAUAGUUUAUACCAGAAACCUCAUGCUAAUUGUUCUAUUUCGGAACAGGGUCCUCAUCAUCACUACCUUCUUUAUGCCUUCAUUUUUUACUUUUUUCUGAUGAUCCAUGUCCUCACUGGGAUUUCUUUUACAUUGUGGAUUCUAAUGUUUGCCCUCUAGUGGGAAAUCCUAAGUGUCUAUGAUUGUAGUAAUUUUUGCAACAGUUCACAGCUGUAUUGUAAAUACUGUAAGCAUAUAGACGCUAGUAUUUGGAAUAUUAAUUUUCUUGUUUCUUAUUAUUUUUUUUUAAACCUCAUUUACUGAAAGCUAUUGUACUCCUGACAAUGGACCCGCUAUAAGCUGUUGGAGUGUGUAUCCCCAUUUUAUAUAGUGUGAGCUCAUCGUGAUUUUAUUAAUAUUUUUUUUUGUGUUUUUGGGGGGAAGGGGGGGGGAGGUGGGUGGGUGUUGGGAUGGAUGUGGGAGUCAGCAUUCAGGGAUAUAUAUAUAUAUAUAUAUAUAUAUGCAUGUGCUUUUUAGAGUUUCAUCUGAAUACCCGUCUGGUCCUCAAAUUCUUUAAGAGAAACAAAUGAUCUUGUGAUGGUUUGUUUCGGGGUGGAUCUACUCCAGUUCUAUGGAAAACAUGUGUAGUGAAGCUAGACUUUAUGGGUUAAAUCGUCCACAAGUGGAGACAGUGGAUCCACUUGCUUUAUCCUUAUGAACAACAAAAUACCAGGAGGACUGGACUCAGGUCAUGAGAUAACUUCUAAUUGUAUGAUAAUCUGUUUGGGCUUACAAAAUUCUUCUUAUUGUUCCGUGCUGAGUUUCAUUCACGUAUUUUAUCUUUAUACUGUUUAUUUAUGGUUGAACACAGUUUUAAGUCAAAAUCACAGGUAAGGUGAUUUUGAAUAGCAGAUAUACACUAUAUGUUUAGUUGAAUUGUAUGGUUCAUGGUUUGUGGUGUUGUGGCCACUUGAAAAAUGGGAAGAAAUCGGAUUCAGCCACUGCAAAGAAGUUGGAGGUGGAGUAAAUUGCAUUUUGUAUAGCUUGGCAAUUUUAUGAAGUUAACAACCGAAAUUAAAUAGAAACAUUAGACAAAGCAGGAUAGAGACCAUAAAUACAUAUAAUAAAGUGUGAGUAGGUUCUGUCACCUGUUAUGAGAGAUGGCAAAAUCAUUCAUUUAAUAGCCUAAAUUUGGCUUAUAUGGUAUCUAGAAAAUUGCAAGGUUAAGUCUUAGAUCCUUUAUGAGCUGUAUGAUUAUAUAUAUAUAUAUCUAUACCAACUUAUUGUCCAUAUUUAUGUCUAUAGGAAUUAAAAGAACAAGCUUGUGCAUGGCAUGAUUAGAUCAGCUCAGUUCUGGUUGUAUUCUUGCAUCUUGUCAAUGUGGUUGAAGAAAGAUUGUGUGCAUGAGUUUUCAGCAAUGUCAUUUGGUAUCUCUCCAGGAGGUGUAACUAAUCUUUGACAGAUGAGACAUAAAAAUGUGGCUAUACAUUCCUAGCAGGUCCCUGAAAUCAUUAUAGGGUAGAAAAACUUCCUAAAAACUUGGGAAACAAAAGGUCUAUGGGACAGUUUGUACUACUGAGGAAUUGGCCCAUGAAGCUUCUGAAGCUCCCCCCACCCCCACCCCCUUAAAAAAAUCAAAAGAGAAAGAAGGAUCUGACAAGGCAUAGGAUACUCUCUCUCCAAAAUAAUGAAGCCUAUCCUUGUAGGGUACUGAUUUUUGUCCAAAAGUACAAUACCCUUUCCAUGAGUCAGGUGUCCUUGAUUUAAAAAAUUUGGACUCUUGGUGUAUAAUUUUCAGGUCAGGAUGUUAAUCUAGAGCUUGAGUUUUUCUUCAUCUACGGUCAGAGCUGAUUCAAUCACAGCAGCCACAGUCAACUCAUUUUGUUCAUUUUUGUUUUUUGUUCUUCUUAGUUUUCAUUUUGACUUAAAAAUUUUGUUCAAGGCUUUUCAUUUGUUGAAAUAUGUGCUUUCUUUUUGUUCUGCAAGUCCUAGCUCAGUUGAUGUAAGAAGAAUAUAAGAGGUUAUUAGGAUUGUGACUAGGGGACUUCUUCCAUUAUUGGCUACAGAAAAGCUGAAUUUGUUGUUUGUGCUAUUCCCAUGCCCAAGUCUCCCCUUCGUUUUCCAGCUAAUCUCAUUGUGUGUGUGUGUGUGUACAGGCACUGCUUGUUUGUUUAAUGACUAAGCUGUAGAACUUGCAAAUAGAAUAGUUUUACUUGAAGAGGUAGUUUAUAAUGCUUCCAAAAUUAUGCUAUUCUGGACUUGGGGUUGUAUGAUUUGAUUUUCUUUUCUUAAUGAUCUACAUACCUUGUUGAAUCCAACCUAUGAUUUGUUUGUAUUUAUCGUUCUAUGUUAUUUAUUAUUUUGUUUUUUGGCUUUCAUUUCAAAGGUGCAUAUUGCUGAAGCUAGCAUCAUGUUUUGUUGAUAAAGCCAGUGAGGAAUUGAUUACCCUGCUAUUUAAGUUUACGAAACAUGCUUUAGAGGUAUGCUAGUACUGAAGCUUUUGAUGAUCUAUUUUGCGUAUUUGAUGAUUGAUAUGAUGAGUAGACGUAAAAUAUUAAGUUUUUAGGUGUUGGAAGGAACUGGCCAGCCUGAAGCAUAUCAGACUUUAAGCAGAAUAAUAGAGGUGUGUUUUUGGUAUUGCACCUGUUGGGAUUUCCAAACUGUUAUUUGCUUUUGAGUCAUUGACAUUGGCGUGAUCUUGUCUGCAGAAGCAUCCUUCAUUUUGCUUUUCACACUUUGCUGAGUUGAUGGACUUGUUGCUGAAUCUGAAGUCUCCAUACAAUAUUGAUUCGCUUAAAAGCCGCUUUGCUUGUCUCCGUACCUUGUUUAUCCAUGCAGUAAAGGUGGGCUUCUUAUUGUUGGUGUUUUUUGUUAUUCCUAUACGAAUGAGCUAAUUUGAGUGUUUUUUUUUAGUGUUGUAUCCUUAUUUAGAAAUUGUUGUGUAGGUGGUCUUGAUGUUGUAGGUGAUAAAAGUACUGUAAGGAAAUUGAACUUGCUUUUAUGUGUUCGUAAAGUUGGCUUUAUAUCCGUUUAAUUCUUCACGUAUAUUUGAAUGCAUGUUAACCUUUUGAUUUGUUUUCUGCAGGAAGAUUUGGAUGAUGAAAACACGAAGGCUUUUCUUAUCCUGAAUGAGAUUAUUCUUGCACUAAAAGAUGUAAGAAACACUAGAUAGAAUUUAUUGUAGUAUCAUAUGACAUAAUAUGAGAAAGGCUUAUUUUCCAUUUUCUGAUGCACUCUGUCAACCUCUUCCUCCCUUUCUCCCAAAAAAAGAAGGCAAGACAAAGGAAAAUGGUAGUACCAUGCAAAUAAAAAUUGAGGGCAAAAGGAAACCUGCAGUCAAUAAAGAUUUUUGAAAAAGAGACAAGGGAACUUCUUUUGUCCAUCAACAGUCAGGAACCUUAACUACAAGAAAUUCUUUUUUUCCAACAUAUUCUCGAUCAUAACUGGAGUAGUCAAUUCACGUGCAGGUUAUCUCGUCUUAAGGUGAAAGAGAGCAGUUAUCCUCUGUAUUUAUGCUAAAUUAUGGUCAAAAGUUAUUAGUUUCAAAUAGCCCUUUUAAACUUGAGCAAAAAAGAAGCGUAGAUUAUAUCUAUCUAUAUAUAUAUAUAUUUUACCGCAAGAGGUUUGUUACUACAAACCAUAUUUUACUCAUUUCUUUAGUUUCUUUUUUUUUUUUCCUUCUAAUGAACAACCACCAAAUGUCCUGUUUUAAUUUUUUUUCUUUUCUUUUUGGGUGGGGAGGGGGAAGGGGUGUUUUUUUCAAAGAGGAGCAAAGUGUACCAGGAAGUUCUGCUUCGGGAUGCAUUAAACCUAAUCAAACAAGUCCUCGAAUGAAGUCAAAUUUUGUACUUGUGUCAAUUGCUAUGAAGUUACUUGUGUUAAAUAGAGAGGCCAUGUGCAUAUGUUAGCAGUUUCAAGGUUUCUACUACUACCUUUAUCUAACUACAAGUUUAUUCAGGGAUACAACUGUUUGUCUGUCAUCCUUUUCUUGCAACUAAUUAUCAUCUCAGAUUUGCAUUCAAUGUUCAUGUAGUUGUUGUAAUUGCUUGCUUGCUCUUUUACUCAACCAUUUUGCCCUUCUACCUACAUUUACUUCAUUACAUGAAAUGGACAUUCAUUGGCAUGUACUUGUAGAUCUUUUGGCUAUCAAAUGCAGUUUCAGUGAUUUCAAGCGUGUUCUAAACACGUUUGCUAAGUAUCUAUUCAUUGCGGCAGAACUGAAAUUGUCAGAGUUCGUGUCAAAUACAAUGAAUUCGUGUCUAAUGUUGUCGUUAAUGUAAAAUUCUGGCUGCUGUUUCUUGUUCAGUCUGCGGAAGAAGGCAGAAAAGCAGCUUAUGAUGUCCUUACUGAUAUCAGUUCGAGCUUGCGAAGCACUUCCUGCACCAUUUCUGAUGGACAUUUUCACAAUUUCAUCACCAUGGUAAACAUAUCGUUUUCAUAUAUGUUAGCUGAAUAAGUAGUAUUAUUACAUAUUUUGGUUGCAAGUAAUACAAUAAACAUAUGACACGAAGUUUCAUUGGGAGAAUGGGUUAAAGAGUAAUGAUCACAAUCUGUUUCCUGAGUAUGAACCUACCUGUAUUUGCUUCUUGCAAGUGUGGAAUUUUAAACUACAUUUCAUAAAAAUGUAAAGAACUUUUUCAUUGAAAGUAAGUUUAGGACUGGAAAAUUUUUAUGAGAUUUUACAUCUGCAUUAUCUUUCCAGUUUCAGCAGAUGUCUAAAUUUGCCAAACCGCAACUUAAUUCUGUUAAAGUGAUUUGAUGCCUCUCUAGGACUUGGUUGUUUCAACUAUCAGGAACCUCAUUUAAGAGACAUUUUUUAUGAUUUGUAAGUAAUAAAUGCUGGCACGGGCACAGAAAGAGAACUAAGAGGACACUAUUGCACAUAGAAGUCAGAUUGGUUGAACAGAUGGAGAAAUCAUUAAGGAUUUUGUCUUAUUUGCAUUCAAGUCCAUAGGGGGCCUUAGGUUUAUGUUACUGGCGAUCAUUAUCAAUGUCAGAGAUGAUAUUUUGUGCUUUUACCUUGUCGCAGGGAACAUAUAUGGUCAAUAGCCAUUUCCUUUCCUGAUCAUUUUUCAGUUCUACUUGUAUCUGCUUUUUUUUGUGUGCUUUUGUGUUAUCUGACUAUGUUGUUCUUAUAUUCAGGUUAUGGCUUAUCUUACAGGGUCGUCCCCCCAUAUAAGGAGUGGUGCAGUUUCUGCAUUGUCUGUACUUGUUUAUAAUGAUACAGAUUUAUGCCUUUCUGUACCUGACCUGAUUCCAUCUGUUUUGGCUUUGCUGCAAAGUAAAGCUAUUGAGAUUAUAAAAGUAAGUUUCCCUUGUUUCUUUACAAUAAGUACCUAGAACUGUUGCAUUAAUGCUUACGAGCCAUCUGGAGUAAACUUUUUUAGGCUGUUCUGGGCUUUGUGAAAGUACUCGUAUCAAGUCUUCAAGAAAAUGACCUGCAGAAAUUUCUCCCUGACAUUGUCAAUGGGAUUUUACCUUGGUCAUCUGUGUCUCGCCAUCAUUUCAGAUCAAAGGUAUGUUACGUUUGACUUCUCAUGCUUCCACACACAGAGAGAGAGAGAGAGAGAGAGAGAGAGAGAGAGAGAGAGAGAGAGAGGUCAUCUUCCAUAUUAUCAGUAAAAUUGACAUUCCCCAACAACAAGGAUUGAGAAUCUUGGAGAGGUAAUGUAGUUAGACUCUGGAAUAUCGAGGUGUUAAUUUCACACACAUUUCUAUCACUGUACCUUAAUAUUUAAAUACUCUCUCCAUGAAGUCAAGGUGCUGGCUGCCUUGUCAUUUUCAUUAGGUCAUCUUUCGUUUAGUAGGAUUCUUUGUGGUAGCCUGCAAUGGGUGGUUCUGCUUGUGCUUUUUCGUUGUCUCAGCUCCUGGUAUUGAGAUCGAUGUAUUAGCAUAUUGUUAUUCUUUUUUUCUUGCUCACUAUUUUGCAGGACCAAUCACUGAUGAUUAUGUGCUGUCUAUUCUAAGUCAAUAUCUUUUUUGUCUUUGUUUGUCUAAAUUGGAAGUUGAAUGUUACCAGUAGAUGGAGAAAUUGCCUAGACUUCUCUCUCUCCUCCCUCCUCCUCCCCCCCCCCCCCCAAAAAAACAAAAAAAAAAACCAAAAAAAAAAGUGCAUGUGAACCAGAACAGAUGCAUGGAUGUCCCCCUUUUCGUAGUUUUUUUCUCAGUUUUUUGCUAUUUGCUUACAAUUUAUGGCUGUAGCCUGUAGCUUCAGUUGAAUUUGCAUUUUUGCAUUGAGAUUUGUAAUUAGUAUGCUUGUGGCAUGCAAAUAACAGGUCACAGUUAUCUUGGAGAUCAUGGUGAGAAAGUGUCGAGUUGCAGCAAUACAGUCACUUGCACCCCAGAAGUAUCACGAUUUUCUAAGGAGCGUCUUAAAGGUACCAUUCUUCUCUUUGUCCUUGCUGAGUUUCUUUAUGGUAUAGAACACCUUUAGGUUUCAUAUCUUGUAGACUUGAUAUCACACCUACCAGAAAACAAUUGUUGUCAGCAAUGUGCAAGGGUAUAGAUUGAAUUAACAUGACAUUUCCUACUCAAGUUAGACAGGUUUUGAAUUAAUUAACUAGUUAAACUUUGGCCUUCAGCUUGGCUCAAUAUACUAUUGACUACAAGAAACAUCAAGCUACUCAAUCUUGAAGCUUGUGCAAGGGCAUCUAGAACCAAAUUUAACUGUCAAGCUAGUUAAGAAACCAAGUCGAUGUUGAACAAUGUAAAUGUUUAAAUUCAUGCAUUGCAUUAUCCUUUAAAUUAAGUUCUAGAGACAUAUUAAAAGUGCUAAUACACGAUAUUUUCUUAUUGUGGACUUUUAUUUAAUGCUUAAAGCUAUGGAAGCACUAGGCCUAUUCAGCAUAGUUGUUCAAAUAUGAGGUCUCCAAAUAAUUGCACUAUAGUUGCAAGUCAUACAUCACAAUGUCAAGAUUCCACUUAUCUAAUAGGUUGUUGGGUACUUUAUUCUGUGAUUUAUGCUUGCUUGCAUCAUGCUUCCUCUUGUUCCCCCAUGUGCUUGUCACAUAGUUUGCACCUUUCUUUCUCGUUUAUUUUUUGUUCAAUUUGCAGAAUCGUCAUGGCAAGACAAGUUCUAAGGAUGCUGGCAUCACUGAGACUGAAUCAAAUCCUUCAGAUAUAUCCCAAGGGAGGUCUGAUACUUGUGAAAACCUUUUCUCCUCAUUUGAUGGUUUAUGUGACUUUUACAUUUAUUUCUGAAAUUGAAAUUUGUAUGAACCCUCAAGCAAGCACAGGUGGCAAAAGAGAAAGUACGAGGAAUCUACAAGUUCAACAAAAGGAGGAGGUUUGACUGGAUCUAGGAAAAGAGCAAGGCACCAGAGACAGAAAGGCGAUCUUCCUAGUGCCAAAAAGCCUUUUAAGCCUGCUAGUAGCAUCAAAUCACAAGAGUCAGUGGACAGAGAGGGUGAUGCCAAUCAUGAUAGACAAAAUGCAAAGCAGUCACAGUGGCAAAGAAGAGAUAGAAAGGGUAGUUUUAUGAAGGGUCAGUCAAGGGGAAGAGGAAGAGGGAUUUUGUAGAAACUAAGCUGAGGAAUGGGAAAACUCAUAAACCUGCUGCCAAGCUAACCAAUCGUAAAAGGGUAGGGAAGAAGCAGUCGAAAAUUAAUAAAUGAGAUAGACGUGUGAUUAAGUGGCUAAAUUUAAAUUGAAGCUGCACUCAGAAUGACUUCUCUGUGUGCCCUGAAUUUUCAAAAUGUCGGUGAUACAACCGGAGGAUGAAGGUCAAGCACUUUCAGAGCUUGGAGGAGACAAUAUAGAGAAUGAAGUGUGAAGUUUCAGCCACAUUGGCUGGUUAACUGGAGAAGUUGAAAUAUAUACGCAGAGGCUGCAGUCUGCAAGCACUCCGCUCUUGACGGACAAUGGACUUCAGUUUCAGUUAUACAUUGGAUGCUGCCGAGUGUUAACCGCAAAAGGGCGUUGAAGGACCCAAAGAUGUAUAUUGUCUGAUUACCAGCGAAUAUGUGAUUGUACCCGUUUUAUUUGUUUAUUCCCAUCCUCGAGCAACCUUCACAUGUAUUGUUUUUUUUUCAACCCCUAGACCAUAUUUGUAGUGUCCUAAUGGCUAUGUGGUAAUAUAAAUGAAUGUAUACUCUGUACAUGAUUAAUUACAGCGAGAUAUAUCAGGGGAGCAAUUUUCUUCUUUCUUAAGUUAAAAUGAAUGUUAACUGUGUUUUUUCCAACCCCUAGAUAGUAAAUGAUUGCCUUGAACCCCUCUAGCCUUCCAGGUCAGGGGAGCAAUUUUCUUUAGUUGAAAAAGUGUGUUCUUUCUUAAUUUUGAAGAUUUCUGUAAACAUUUCACUUGUACCUUAUACAUGUUAAUGCGGUUAAAAAAUAGGAUAAAUUUUCUUUGGCCUAGCAAAUAAGAUGCAACCAAAUCUACUUGCAUAAAACAGUCCCAACUCAGUUGGGAUAGGAAAAAUAAGUGAUACAGAUUACUUCUCUCUGUCUCAUUUUGGUAGUCCUAAUUUUUCUUUUACACAGUUUAAGAAAAAGUUGUUAACAUUAUUGGAAAAACAAAUUUAAGUUGCUAUUUUUCUAAAAUACCUUUACAUUAAAUAGAGAACAACUUUAUAUUAAUUAUUCAUGAAAAUUUGAAUUGAUGGUUUAUGAGAACUUGAAUUGAUGGUCAAGAAAAAAUCAAUCCUCAUUUUACAUUAUUUCACAUUAAAUCAAAAUGUAUUAUAUGGGGUAGGUUAACAAUCUAUAUUAAAUAAAGUAUUUAUACUAAUAACAACCUAUAUUGAAUAUAGGUAUUUUAGAGAAAUUAAAAGAUAAUUAUAUUCUUCAAUUGGAAAAUAGAUUACAAUUUGGAACAGAUGAAAAAGAAGAUAGGAUUAUCAAAAUGGAACAAAGGGAGUACUAAACUAGCUUUGAAAGAAAGAUUAAAUUAAUAAGUAAUACAGAUACUAAUAAACUAACUUUGAAAGAAGAAUUAAAUCCAUACGCCUUUAAUUUAAAUCUACAUCCUGUACAAGUUUAAACAUUAAUCAUACACUUUAUGCAAGUUUUAAUACUAAUCAUCCAAGUCAUUUUCAUUCUAUAUUCAAAGUGUAUAUGUGAGUUAUGGUACAGAUUAAAAUCUUCUUUCCUUUUUUUUUUUUUUUUGUCGACGGAGUGGGUGUCCGGGUCAAGUCCGUAAAGGCGGCCCGACUAAUCCCACUUCGGCCCGGCCCAGCGUCCCAACCAAUUUUUUAUCGACGAAGUGGGUGUCCGGGUCCCACUAAUCCCACUUCGAUCCGGCCCAACGCCCCAACCAGACCUAGCACGUUAGAUGCACGGAGAAACCGAUGUUGCUGCGGAGGUUCGAUCCCAGGACCUGACGGUCCGAGGAAGAGGCGUCAACCACCAGCCCAUUCACAUGGGGGCUUAAAAUCUUCUUUCCCCUUUGUUAAAAUUCGACCAUUUCAUUUGAAUACUUAACGUCGUCGUUUUGGAGGCGUUUCCCACCAUCACCGUGUGUUGUAAGCCUUGAAGCCCCCGAAACAGAUAAACCUUCCAUUUCUUCCUCUCAUGGCAACAUUACCCCAUCACUCCCCCUUCCUGAAGCUCUCCAACCCACCCGAACCAAACUCCAUCUCCCAACCCGCAAAUGCAACCCGUCCAAGAACAACCCGGUUAACAAUUCAUUGCAAAAAACCCAAGAACGAGGAAGCAUUCAAGGAGAAGCAGAAAGCCCACGUGGACUACGACAAUGGGACCCAUCGUGUCUCUGUACAAGUCAGCGGGCUCCGGGCAUCCGACUUGCCGAAGCGGCACCGUUUACGGGUCGCAACCGACCGGUUCCAGAAGGACUGGUCCAUCUCAGAGGUUGUGGAGAAGAUAAUGGCGCUCGACCGGUUUGAGGAUAUUGAAGGCGUCUUGAACCGCUGGGCUGGCCGGUUUGCCCGCAAGAAUUUCCCGGUUCUUAUCAGGGUAAGUAAACUUUGAUGUUUAGUGAAUCUUUUGGGACUUAAUUUGUAUUUAAUCAUUAAGUAUUCAAGCUACUCAAGCUGGAUUUGCUUGUUUCAGCUUGGCUCUAAAUUCUAACAUUGAGCUUAAUAUGUUUGUGUUCGAUUUGAUUGGACUCGUUUUCAAAUUAAAUUUGGCUUUUGAAAUAUUAACCUUUUAGUUGAACUUUUUGUGGCGCGAAAAGGAAAUUUUAAACAAUUAAGACUUUAAUUUUGUGCUGAACUUUGAAUUUGUGGUUUAAGGAGUUCUUUUUGUUACGGCGUUUCUUUUCCAUCAUUUGCAUUUAAACGAAGAAAUGCUUGCGACUCGAAAUCCUGUUGAUAGCGUAUGACUUGUUUUGCUUAUUAGCCUUUUGACUUGUUGUUUUGGUUUGUUGUUUGAUCUUCUGAAUAUUUUUUAUAUAGACGUUGAGCUUCUUGUGUUUAUGCGGUAUAGGAAAUAACUCAAACAGGUUCAAUUGAACAUAGCAUUCAAGUGUUUUCUUGGAUGAAGAAUCAGAAGAUAUAUUGUGCAAGAAAUGAUAUCUAUAAUAUGAUGAUAAGAUUACAUGCUAGGCAUAAUCAAGUGGAUCAAGCACGUGGCUUGUUCUUCGAGAUGCAAAAGCGGAGGUAUUCUUUUUCAUUAACUUUAUUUUUUCUGUAAAAACAUCCACCAUCUAGCUUCUAUUAAUUCCUGCCUUGUUGCUUAUCUUUUCCUUAUAGAUGCAAGCCGGAUGUUGAAACCUAUAAUGCACUCAUUAAUGUGCAUGGUCGAAUUGGUCAGUGGCGCUGGCAAUGAAUAUCAUGGAAGACAUGCUUCGUGGCAGCUGUGUGUAAUUGUAUUUUUCUUUCCUGAUCAAUCUUUUUGUAGUUUAAUCUGAGCUUUCUUCUUGAUUUUUGAUUCCUUUUCUAGCUUUCAAUUAGUGUAUGCUAAAAGUAAUCCACUUCAACAUGCCUGCAAGCAAACAUUGUAGUUAUUUUACCACAAUUGCUUUCGUUCCCUUAUUCAUGACUGUGUGAUGAAUGAUAGCGUGAAAGCUUUAGUGACAUUAACAUGUUGGAGGUGAAAUAUUUUAACAAACAUCAAGUUUUCACUCCAUCAAUGGGUUGAAAAGACAUGAAGAUGCUGAAAACUUACUCCAUCAAACUCCAUUAGAAUCAAACAAUUGAUGAAGAAUAAAAUUCAUUAGGCUAGAUGCACUUCUUCAAUAGUUCUAAUCAUGGUCACCCAUGUCAACUGUUCUUGUUACAUUAAAGUUGGAAGUUUCUCUCUUCAUCUGUUUUGAAGAUUUGUCAUUGUAUAGACAUCUUUGUGACCUUGAUUGAUUCAUGCAGAUUCCACCAAGUAGGUCAACUUACAACAACUUGAUCAAUGCAUGUGGAUCUACUGGUAAUUGGAAAAGAAGCUCUUAGAGUUUGCAAGCAAAUGACCGAAAAUGGUGUGGGGCCUGAUCUGGUGACCCACAAUAUAAUGCUAUCUGCAUAUAAAAGUGGGGCUGAAUAUUCUAGAGCAUUAUCCUACUUUGAACUGAUGAAAGGAACAAAUAUUCGUCCUGACACUACUCCUUAAUAUUAUUAUACAUUGCCAGAUAAAGCUUGGUCAAUAUGAGAAAGCUGUUCAACUUUUUAAUUCAAUGAGAGAGAAAAGAGCAGAAUGUCACCCUGAUGUUGUAACAUUUACUACUAUCAUGCAUAUGUAUUCGGUUUUGGGCCAGGUUGAAAACUGCAAAGCUGUUUUUAACUCGCUGCUGGCAGAAGGUUUGAAGCCUAAUGUUGUUUCAUAUAAUGCAUUACUUGGUGCACAUGCUUCAUCUGGGAUGAGUACAGAGGCCUUAUCAAUUUUUCAUGAGAUGAAACAGAAGGGACUCAGGCCAGAUGUUGUCUCUUUUACAUCUUUGCUCAAUGCUUAUGGAAGGUCACAGCAACCACAGAAGGCCAGGGAAAUAUUUGAGAUGAUGAAACAGAACCAUUGCAAACCAAAUCUAGUGAGCUAUAAUGCUCUCAUUGAUGCCUUUGGUUAUAAUGGGCUUUUAUCUGAAGCUGUUGAAGUGUUGCAUGAAAUGGAGCAGAAUGGCGUCCAACCUAACGUUGUUACAAUUAGUACCUUGUUGGUGGCCUGUGGCAGGUGUUGUCAAAAAGUGAAGAUUGAAUCCAUAUUGCGAGCUGCUGAGUUGCGGCACAUUAAAUUGAACACAGUUGCAUAUAAUUCUGCGAUUGGAAGUUACAUGAAUUUUGGGGACUUUGAUAAAGCAAUAAUUUUAUAUGGGUCGAUGAGGAAACAUAAUGUUAAACCCGAUUCUGUCACUUACAAUGUGUUGAUAAGUGGUUGCUGUAAGAUGUCAAAGUUCUCUAAUGCACUUGAAUUUCUCAAUGAAAUGUUGGACCUCAAAGUUCCAUUAUCCCAAGAGGUGUAUUCAUCUGCUAUAUGUGCCUAUAGUAAACAGGCAAGGACUAUCGAUUUGUGACUACUGUCCCUGUAAUUAGAUUCUCCAUACUUAUCUCUCUCUCUCUCUCUCUCUCAGGGUCAACUUGCUGGAGCAGAAUCAAUGUUUUCCAUGAUGAAGAUGGCUGGUUUUCAUCCCGAUGUUGUCACAUAUACUGCUAUGCUACAUGCAUAUAGUGUUGGUGGUAAGAUCCUAUGUUGGACUAUUUCAUAUAUGCUGGCUUAAAAUUACUGAUAUUAAGAAGCUCAAACUGAAUGUCUUGUGGAAAUUCCGUAUGCAGAUGAUUGGGAGAAAGCUUUUGCAAUAUUUCAAGAAAUGGAAUUGCAUGGUGUCCAGCCAGAUUCUAUAGCUUGUUCAACUCUUAUGAGAGCUUUUAAUAGAGGAUGCCAACCAGGAAAAGUUCUGCUUGCUGCAGAUUUUAUGAAAGAAAAGAAGAUCCCCUUGUCAGAUGCUAUUUUCUCCGAAAUUAUCUCAGCAUGUACCAUGUGAGUUUUUCACUUUUUAAGCAUGUUUUUCAUGUUACAUUACAAUGCUAAUUUCUCUAUUGUAGAAUCCUUCUGCAGUUUUUAACGGAUAUGAUUGGAUUCUGUUAUUUUGUGUGGGUAUAAGUUUGAUUUUUGUGGCCUGGUUAUAAGCGUGAUUUGAAGUGUUCUUUUUUACAUAUUUACAAUGCACUUAUGGAUGUGGCUAGCUGGUUGGAUCAGUGGCACUUGUGAAAUUUACUGCAUCAUGUAACAGCUUUUUGCUUUAAGUUACAGAAAAAGAAAACAUGCUAAAUCAGCUUAGCAUAAGAAAGUGGGAACGAUUUUGAGUGGUUUCUAGUGUUCCUCAUGUAACUUAAUAGGUUUCUGGAACAUGGUGAAAUACUUGGUCAUCUCUGAUUAACAUGCUAGUGCAAAUUGAUUAAUCAUUCAAAGGCAUGUCUUAUUGUUGUCAAACCAAAAAUACGAGAGCUAAACUAGGAAUGCAACUGAUCACUGACUGGCAAAGUUUAGGGGUAUCUGGAAUUAUCUCAAAUGUGAUGGUUUUCCUUUAUGCUCAUUUAUUGGAUUAGUAGAAUUAUAGCAGAGUUUUCCCUAUUAUAAAACUUCUGUGAUUGGUACUGGAUAGCAACUUGUGAACUUGCUUCAGAAAUUCCACUGUGUUUUCUAUUCCUGGUCUUUAAAUCAUUUGUUUGUGAAUGAAGCUUGCGAGAUUGGAGAAGAACUACUGAAAUUAUAAAAAUGAUGGAGACUUCAUUAGCUGUUAUCUCUGUUGGAACUCUUAAUCAACUUUUGCAUGCUAUCGGGAAAUCUGGGAAGAUUGAAACCAUGAUGAAGGUAAUUGGAAGCUUCUCAUUUAUUCUUCUCUUAUACCUAGAAUAAAUGCAACAGCAUUUCCUCACGCAAAGUAGGAUCUAUUUUCUCUUUCCUAAUUUGAAGUCUGAGUCCUGAUGCCUUUAUUAUCCUUUUCGUAUCAAAUACAGUUAUUCUACAAGAUGGUGGCAUUAGGUAGUGAAGUCAACUUCUCAACGUAUUCAAUUCUCUUAAAGAAUCUUUUGGCUUCUGGAAAUUGGAGGAAAUAUGUGGAGGUAAGCUCAUAAAAUGCCUCUGUUAUUUUCCCUGUUUAUACAUUGAUAUAGACAUGCAUCAAUGUGCAUGUGCCUGUGUAUCUGGACAUAUUGUCAUGAUCAUUGGACUACUAAACUAAAAAUAUGUGCCUUCACCAAAAUGCUCAUGUAAGAAUUAGUGAUGACCCUUCUGGAUUAUGCAGGUAAACUUGUCCUUAAAAUAUUAUAUAGGGGAAAAGCUAUAGAUGGAGAAAUUCCAGUUACAAGAUUAUGAAUCUGGUAUUAUAUUUACUCUGCCUGUUUGAGAAGACUGCUCAAUUGGCAUGAAAUCUAGGAAUCUUGGAGUUAAAAGUCACUACAUCCUGCUUCUGGCUGGAAGCACUUGACAUGUCAUGUUUUUUUUAGUUGGUGAUUAUAUGUAGAUAGCUGUUCCCAUUUGUAGUUGGAAAUGAAUAUACUGAAUCUUACUCAUUCAUUCGGUCUCUCCUUGAGCUAUAUUCAGCUAAAUUCUGGUGCAGGUUCUGCAAUGGAUGGAGGAUGGAGGAAUUCAGCCUUCAAUGAAAAUGUACCAUGACAUACUAUCCUUUGCUCAAAAAAGCGCUGGAAUUCAGUAUGGAGCUACCAUACAAGAGUGUGUUGGUAAGUUAGCACUCAAAGGGGCAAUUAGCAUCUCUGUUGCAUACUAUUUAUGCAGAAUACCACUCCCUACUUAUUUACUAAGAAACUGAAGAAGCCUCAAAAAACUGAAGAUUUGUUUUGUUGCAUGCUUUUAUCUUGAGGAAUCUUUCUGGAAAAUUGCUUUUGACCCAUUUUUAUGCAUGUAAAUAAGAUAGUAGAAGGCAAUCAGAGGUUCCUGAAAGUGAGUUUUUAACUUUAAAAGUGAUUUUACAUUAGAACCUGAAUUCCAUUCCAUGCUUAAGCUUUCAAUUUUGUCACAAUGUGUGUGUAGCUCUAAGUAGUGGCAUCUGAACGAUUGCUUGGCUUUGAUAAUUCGAUUUAUCUUCAUAUAAUCCUUGAGUCUGACUGCAAAAAGCUUUUGACUCAAAUUGCUACUUUUUAGACUGAAUUGCAGAUAAUAUAUCACUUGAGUUGAUUGACUUGACCAAGCGUGGAAUUUGUUGGUCUAAUCAACUUCAGUCAAGCUACAAUGGCUUUGUAUUUUUCCUCAGGAAACCUUCUCAAAGGCAUUUAAUCAUGUAAAUCUUUGAGUUCUAUAAUUACUUCUUCUUCGAAUGUGAAUAGCUUGGGAUUGCUUAUGCUCUAUUUUUUGACUGAAAAUGUUCCACUUAAGUCUAGGUCUAGGACCAGAGUUACCUUGCACAUCAUGCCCAAGUAACAAGGAUGAAAUUGAGGAUCUUCUAUCUUGAUCCUUCCAUGUCUUCAUACGCAGGAAUAAACUUUUUCUCUUGCUCAUUUCAUUUGAUUACAAUUUUGAAUGCUUGACAGAAUCCAUGAAGAGGAGAAGUAAAGUUGAAGCAUCGCUGGAAAAGCCAAGAGAAUCCUCCUCGCAAGCCCAAGCAUUGGUAGGUGGAGUAAAUAUUUUAUAGGAAUGAUCUGGCAGUUGCAGUAGAAACAGGGUGUAUAAUCUUGAUGUUAUUACAUAUCUUGGAUAAACUUCCAUGGCUUGGUUUCAGGAAUCUAGUUUCAUUCGUCUGCUCAAUUUGAUAAAUAACAGAAAGGAUUAUAGCAGCUUAUCUCUCAAAUCACCGAGUCUGCAUCAGGGGUGGGGGAAAAAGCCAUAACAUGUAAAUGUCUCGCUAUAAUAGAUGCUCUGUUUCACGAAACAACUGUGUCAUCAGUUAGUGAUUUCUCCCAUUACUUGUUAGAGAUACAUAACGCCUAUAUGCAGGAUUUAUAACUGUGUGGUCCAAAAGAUUAUGUAAUUCAAAGCCAGAGAAAACGAUAGCGAGUUUACUCUUGGCUCAAGUGAAGGGCCAUAAUAAUGUCAAGUCAGUGAAAAUGGAAAGUUAGCUCCUGUGAUUUUUAAUCGGUUUUGCGUUGUAAAGUUUCACCGGCUUCAUUUUAAUUUUUUCUUUCUCCCUGUUUUUUGGAAAGGGAACAAAUUAUUUGGUUUAAAUCGAAUACUGUAACGCUGAACCUGUAUAUGGUUGUUUGUUCAACAAUUCAACCAGGCCUCCUGGGGCUGACUGAAAAGGGACAUUAUGCCAAUGGACCAUUCAGUGGUGUGUUAAUUAACAACCUGUGGAGAAAUUUCAUUCAUAAUGCAAUCGGAAAGAGUUUUUCACAAAAGAAAAAUUAAAGAGAGAGAGAGAGAGAAGGAGCAACAGGAGUCAAGAGUUGCGCGACCAAUAGGUAACCAGCAACCUGUUUAGAAGGUAUAAUUGUCCAAGCUCUUAGCAGCAAGUCAAAACAAAACUGAUGAGUUGACAAAACAUCACAUCUAUACGUGAAAUAACAGAAGAUACAUCUUGUAUUUUAUCAUGUGUAUACAUUCCCCCGUUGAAAUGCAAGCAGCCUUAGUUAAGUGUACAUGUAUUAACAAAUAAGAAAUGCUCAGGCCUCAGAUUCUAUUCAUACAUUCACCCUGUAUAGGUCCAAGCAUUACAAAGCAGAACAGGACAAAUUUUUAGGGCCAUCGAGAUUGUACUUUGAACCCCACAAGAGUAGUGACUACCAAGUUCAAGCUCAAUUAUGGAAAAGAGCAAUUGAUCUAUCCGAAACAACUGUGCAAUACCCAGAAUAGCGAUAAUCCAUAUGUUUAGCCUGAAAAGUCCAGUCUGCACAAUUCAAAAACCAGCAGGGUGGCAGCCACUACUCUUCAUGCAUCGUAGCAUCCCCCUAAAAAAUCAUAAUUAUUGAUGGUAAUGAACUCCAGAAGAGCAUUCAAACUGAAAGAGCAAAGUGCAGUGACAAACAAUCAGUGAUUAAUUUCCCAAACAGCAAAAGGUUUUAAGGGCCAUUGAAGUUGUACCAAAAACCCCCACAAAGUUGUGACUGCCAAGUGCAAAAUCAACUAUGCAAAAGCAAAUGAACUGCUGAAACAAUGUGCAACACCAAGAAUAGCUAUAAUCCAUGCCUAGCUUGCAAAGUCCGGUCAGCACAAUUCGACAUUCCUUGAAACAUCAUACUUGUUGAUCAUAAUGAACUGCCUAACAGCAAUUUUAUUAGAAGAACAAAGUGCAGCAACAACCAACCAGUGAUUGAUUUCCCAAAUAGCAAAAACAAAAGGUCAAAAGUGCACAAAACACCCAAAAAGACAUCAACAUGGCAAAAAGAACCAGAUUGUCCAAAAUCAAUGAAGUCAUGUUAAAAAAUCAAUUUGCGAAAAACAGUACCAUCGGCUAUUGCUUUUUUGGAGUUGGGAGGUGUAUACUUCUUGUCGUUUGCUGUUAGGUUUCCAAAAGAAAUCCAAAUUAAGCAGAAGGAUGACAAGUACAUUAAAAGAUAUGGAACAACAAUAUGAAAUAAUCCUAGCUACUUUGAAAAUUCUUGAUAUCAUAUGGGAAGAAAAAGUAAUUACCUACUAACACCAGCAGUGAGGAAUGAAUUUCCAAUGCAAUUGUGGUACACUGAACAGCAGAUUAUGGCCCUUGUCAUUUCUUGAAGAAGUUGGCAGUCAUCCAGAGUUGCUCGGACGGUUGUCUUUAAUUUCGACCAAAACUGCUGAGCAUCAUCUUAUUAUGUUUAUGAAUGAGAUGCUUACUGCUUCAGUUUGAAAGAAACAGAAGCAACCUUUGUCCUUUCAAUAAGAUCCAUAAAUCAUCACAGUACCAACAUGCACAAAAAACUCAAACCUCAUCCUCGAGGGGUUAAGAUUCAGAAGUGAGACUUCGGUCAAGAAGAGCAUAAGACCGACCGCUGAGUAGAAUGCAAAGGGCAGAAAUAAAAGUGAACUUUUGAAGCAUAGACCGCCUUCAUGAACCCAGAACAGACCCAUACUAACUUGUAUCUUAAGAUACAGAUCGGCCUUCAAGUAAAAUAUUUUGGGAACAGAACACAGACUUGGGUGAUUAAUAGGUAGCCAGUAACCUGUUUAGAAUACAAUGUCCAAGUUCUUAGCAGUAUGUCAGACCAAAAUGAACCAUGACAGGAAUCUGUUAAAACAAAAUCACAUCCAUAAAUGGAAAAAAUUAAAAACAUAAUUUAAAAAGAACAUGUUGUGAAUUCAAGCAGGCUUAAGGUACACGUAUUAACAUGUCAUGAAAUCUUUAGGCUCCAAAUGCCAUUUAUGUGUUCUCAUUGUAUAGGUCCAAGCAUUUCAAAACAAAACGCCACUACAUUUUUAGGGCCAUGGAAGUUGUACCUAUGAACCCCAAAAAGUAGUGACUGCCAAGUGCAAAGUUAGAUACUCAAAAGCAACUGAACUGCCAAAACAACUAUGCUACACCCAUGAUAGCUAUAAUCCAUCCUAGCUUGCAAAUUCCAAUCCAUAGAAUUCGACAACCAGCAGGGUGGCAGCUACCACCAUUCAUGCUUCAGAGUAUAUCCCUUAAAAAACCAUAACCGUUGACGUGAUUGACAGGGUUUCCGGUCUAAUAUAACGAACUCCAGAAAACCAUUCAGACUAAAAGAAGAAAGUACAGCAACAACCAACCAGAUAUUAAUUUCCCAAAAACACCAAAAAAGACAUUAAAAUGGCAGCAGAGAACCAGAUAUAGAAAAAGAAAUAAAAUUAUAUAAAAAUCAAAUAAUUUGAGGAAAACCGCACCAUCAGCUAUUGCUUAUUGGAGUUCAGAGUCGAUCUGGAUUGCUAAAUUCUCGCAAAAGGCCAAUCCAUAUACUUUUCGUCAUUUGCUGUCAGUUUUUCAGAAUAAAUCCAGUAUAAGCAGAAGGCUGGAAUACAUACAUUGAAAAAUAAGGAACAACAAAAGGAAAUAACCCUAGGUAGGUUGAUCAUUCUUGAAACAUUGUGGGGAGAAAAAGUGAUUACCCACUGACAGCGGUGAAGAAUGAAGAUCAAACACGUUCAUGGCACAUUGAACUGCAGCUUAUGGCCCAUGUCAAUUCUAGUAGAAACUGCUCUCUUCCAUGGUUGCCUUCGAUGGCACUCUUAACCUUUAAGCAAAACUGCUGAGAAUCAUCUUGUCAUGUUUAUGAUGGCUUAUGCUUACUGCUUCGUUUUUAAAGAAGAAGAAGCAGCAUCUGUCCUUUAAAUAGGAUCCAUGUAUCAUCAUGGUGCCAACAUGCAGAAAAGACCAAACUCAUUCUUCAAGGGACUCAGAAUUCAGAAGUGAGACCUUUACCCAGAAAAGCAUAUGAGCGGCUGCAGGAGUGGAAUGUGAAGGGCGGAAAUAGAAGUCAACUAGUGCAGUAUAGACCACCUUCAUGAACCCAAAACAGACCAGGUACCAAUGAUUUCUGUCUUAAGCAUACAGGUCUAGUUUCAAGCAAAACAUUUGGAGAAAUGGAAACCCAGAAUCUGAAACUGAAAACCAAGCCAUAACUCAUGUAAGAACCCAAAUUACCCAAUUUUAGACAACAGAAGUGGGUUUGUGGAUUUAAUCUGCCAGAUAAACACUACUUCAAAAAUAACCUCCUAGUACUCUCCAGAUGGGGCAGAGAAGAGCAUCCAAAAAUCUGCAACGUUGAAUGAAAACCAAUCGCUAGAAAACUUACCCAUGUGACACACUUUCCAGUUUUCUUACUUUUCUAUAUCUAUGAUGAAUUAAAAGGGAUUUAGUAUUUUUGUAAAGAUAGGAAUCUAAAUUGUAUCCCAUGGACUUCAUUUCUUUUAAGAGAUAAAAUGCAUCCUCCGCCUUCUCUUGAGAAUGAAGUAACAUAGUUAGUAGAUUGUUGCAGAUUCGUGGCAUCAAUCGGAUGCCUUUCUCCAGAGUGUACAGGAAAAUGCUAAUUGCCUGAUCCAGCUUUCCAUCAGUGCAAACACUCUGGAUUAACAUCACACAACCAGGAGCAGAUAUAUUUAUAGAAAGCUCCUCAAGGAUGGAGAAAACCUUUAAAGCCUCCUCUGUUCUUCGUGCCUGACACAGACCAAUGAGCCAAAUAUUAUAAGGUGCAGAAUCAAAAGUUACUGACUGAAAAUCAAUUUCAAGUAUCCCUUUAACAGCCAUUUCCAAGUUUCCCUCCUCAAAAUGUUUUUCAAUGGACCCAAUUUUUUCAUUUGCCUCACCACCAACAGCCUUCAUAUAUUUCAACCAAAUGCUAGAAGCCAGGAUGUCUUCAUAUUUCUGCAAGCCCAAGUCAUAAGUGACUUGUAAACCUCUGGGCCAGGCGUGCAUCCAUUAUUACUCAUCUGUUCAAAGAGCUUAAAUGCAUCCUCUUCACGACCAGCCCUCUGAAGCCCAUCUAUUAGAGUUCCAUAUGUGAUUUUAUCGGGAGAAUGCCCCUUGAGUUGGAGCUCCUCAAAAAGUUUGAAAGCACCAUUCAAAUUGCCACCUUUGCAUAAGCCAUUUAUCAAAAUGUUGUAUGUUAUGACAUUUGGUACAACCCCACUAUCAGCCAGCUGCAUGAGAAGCUUGUAAGCUUUUAAUAUCAGCCCAGAGUCGCACAAUUUCUCCACCAUUGUUUGGAGGCUUGCACUAUCAAGGACUCUAUCUGCACCCUGAGAAAGCCUUAGAAAUAAUGAAGGAUUUUUUCCUAUCUCCAUCCUGUAGAACAUAAGGUGAGCUUUCUCAAGCUGACCAGACAUACAUAAACCAUGAAUAAGAGCAUUAAAGGUUACAACAGAGGGAAAGCAGCCAAUCUUCUCCAUCUCAUCAAAAAUAUUCUGCGCCUCUCGAACCAUGCCAUUCUCACACAAAGCACAAAUUAAAACAGUAUAAGUGCAUGUAUCAGGGAAGAGAUCAUUCCUUGAAAUUUCUAGCUGAAGAGACCGCGCUUGAUCUAACAGACCUAUGUCACAGAACCCCUUAAUUAAAGUAUUGUAACAUUGAGUAUCUGGUACAACACCCCUUUGUGUCAUGUCCUUCAACAGAUUCAAAGCAUCCUUUAACCUUCCAGCUUGCGAUAGCCCACGCAUCAUAGUCGUAUAUAAUACUCGAUCAGGUAUCACAGGAAUCUCAAAAAGUUUCUGAAAGAGUUCGUGUGCUUCAUCAAUCCUACGGGCUCUAAUCAAGCCAUCAACCAAACAACUGUAGCCUGGUAGUUUAACGGCAUAGCCAUCUUUUGUAAAAGACUUCAACAGGGCAAAUGCCUCAUCAACCCUGCCUAACUUACAAAACCCAUUAAGCAAAGCAUUAUAAGUGACAUUAUCCGGCAAACAACCACUAGUCUUCAUCAAAUUAAACAGCCUAUGUGCAUCAUCAGUCCUCUUCGCCUGACACAAACCCGAGAGAAUCACAGUGUAGGUAAUCUUACUAGGCAACAAUCCUAGAUCACGCAUUUCAUCAAACAGAUGCAACGCAUCCUGAGUCUUCCCACUCUUGCACAACCCAUGGAUCAAAAUGUUAAAAGUCGAGCGAUUAGGCCUACAAUUUGAUUUCAACAUCAUAUUAUACAGUGCCAACGCUAACAAAAUGACAUCUUUCUUAACUACAACAUGCAAUGUUGUGUUAUAAACAAAUAAAUCCGGUGUACAAUCGAACUCUCUCAUUUUCCGAAUGUUUCCACGGCCUUUUCAGCAUUUUUAAUCUUCCAAUACGCCGAAAUCAAUACGACCAAUGCAGCUGAAUCCAUAGGACCCAACCGUUUCCUAACCUCGUCAAAAAUCCUCCAAUAUAACUCAAACCCAUCAAGAUGACCACUUUUACCACUACAAUUAUCCCCAACAAGCAUGUCAACUAUUAAACUAUGUGAAGCCCGACUGCGAAGACGCUUGUUCUUCAUAGCCCAGAUAAAAAAUCUAAAUCCCAAUUCAAGGUUUUUCUUUUUUUCUUCAAUAACAGAAGCUACCACUUCACGAGUUAUAAAAGGGACUACCUUCUCAAGAGCUGGCUCCAUUGGGCUAAUUUGCUCAAUGAUAUUGAGAACCUCAUUGGUGACCGCCAAUUUGCAAGAAGAUGAAGAAAAUGAUGCCCGGCGACGGUGAAGGUUAUACGAAUAAGAACGGGAAAUCACAUCGGAAGUCGUCUUUCUUAACAUUUUCAAUUGGUGGCGCUGAGAAGUUCGCCUGCAUGAAAUCGGAGCAUUGUGGCUAGCAGUAAUGGGCCUGUUGUCUGUUGCGGCCUAUUGGAGGAAUGGGCUUUGGCCUUAAGUACUUGGACGCAUCAGAACAGCCAAGUCCAAUUUGUUUUGCAGUUCAGCCUAAAGUCCGAAAUGGAGUUCCUAUCGGCAGCGAAUGUGGGGUGUAGGCGAGUCAAGUUACUUCUGAAUAACUUGCAACUUGCAAGCAAAGUUCAGGCAUUAGUAUCUAGUACUCGAGUGUUCAACGAGUCUAAUCUUUUUUUUUUUUUUUUUUUCGGAAACGAUAAAUCUAAUCUAUCCUAUGUUAAGGGGAAGGGAUGGGUCUAAGGAGGCCCAGAAAUAAGUCGGAGGGGACUGAACCACCACUAGACCAAAUGAGUGCACAGCACACCCGUCUAAUCAGAUAGAUUAGGUUCAACGAGUCUAAUCGGAUAGUUGUAUUAUUUAUAUAAUAUAUAUAUAUAAUUAUAAAAUAGCUAUUAUGGGUUCAUGUUUUAUCAAAAAUCGAACUCAAACAUCGUGCUGCUACUCAUGUCCGACUCGACUUGAUAGCACUGUACUGGCGAAUUCGUUAAAGAGUGAAUAAAGGAUAACACGAUAAAUAAAAGAAAGUAAGAUACUAUCUUACUACUAAUCUUGUUAUUAAUAUGAAAAAAAUAUACAUAUUCAAUGUUUAUUAUUUUUAAAUUUUGGUGGUAAAAUAAGAAUUUUGUUAUAUUAGUUAGUUAUAAUUAAUUUAUAAAACUAUUAAUUACUCGUGUUUUAUUUCUUUUUAUAUAAAUCUUAUUUCGUGAUACUAAAUUGUAACUUAUCGACAAAUAAAAAAAUUUUGUAAUUACCAUGCACUAGAAUGUGCAUAAAUCACAAGUUUGAAUAAUUCUUUAAUUAAGAAAUAUCGCUCAAAGAUAGAAGAUCAAAAAAAUAGAGUUAAAUGUCAAAGUUUGCAUGCCACUACAACUUAACGUUGUGCAAUUUAUUUAUUUAUUUUUUUUUUUGUUGUGACUAAAGCAGUAUUUUAAUGGUGACGGAGGAAACUGAAUAAUUAAUUGGUUAAAAUGUUGAAUUUGAAUAAGUCGUCAAAUCCAAGCUAGAAAAGUUCGUUGCACCUCUUUUGCUUUGUUUGCCAAGGUCACUUUUGUCAGAGGAUGACUUGGAGCCACGUCUUUUGAGUUUUGAGGAUCUAUAAACAAAUAAACAGCGCCAAUAACGAAUAACCACGAAACCCUCAUCUUUGUUCAUUUUCGCCGUCCUCAAGGAUGGAUGGAGAAUAAAAAUUAUAGAAAUGAUGUAUUUAUGCUAUCCAUAAACAAAGAUAAUCUAUCCUAAAUUCACUUGUCCUCUUGCCACAUCAUUCCAAUUUGUUAGAAGAGCCAAAAAUCAACUAGCAAUUAGUCAAUUGUAUGAACUACUAUAUAAAUUUGCAAUUCAGCGGUGGUGGGCUGAAGUUGUACGCAUCAAUCGCACGAGGUUGGUCCAAUGGUUAGGAGAUGUUUUUUUAUUGUUCUUUCUGAUAUUGAGUUCAUGAUUCGAAUUCUAUAUCUAGUAUUGUCGGGAGUGAAAAUUGUGUGGGAAAGAACGGAAGGGUUACAAAAAAAAAAAAGAUAAAAAAAGGAUCUUUCUUCACUUCAUUUUUUAUUUGCAACCAACCAUUUCCUUGACGAAGGACUUGACUCUUCUUCGGUGGAUUCUCUAUCUAUUUCUCGCAGUACAUGUUUAGAUGCACGACACGUGUCUUUAUUUGUUAACAGAUAUUAGGAUUAAUCAAAUUUAAAAUGAUCAUGUCUCUUUCUAGUAAAUGAAUACACAUGUCAUAUACUUAGAUAUACAAUGCGAGAAAUGAAGAGAGAAUCCACUGAAAAGAACCCAAAUCACCUUAAUUAAUGAAAUGCACAUGCAAUUUUUUUUGCAAUCAAAUCUAGAGACUAUCAAUUGUCAAAAUCAUCUAUCCAAACCAAGGGUGCAAGCUUUAGAAACAGAUUUUUUUUUUUUGGUCAUACAUAACAAAUAUAUCAUUGCAACAAAUAUAAUUCAGAAACAAGUGAUGUAUCUCUCAUGAUUUGUAUGAUCAUUACUAUCUUAAAAUUGAACUUAAAUUUUUACAGUUGAGAAAUCCAAUUUCAUUGCAAAAUGUAACACAAAAUUUUUUUUUUUGGGGGGCCGGGGGGGGGGGGGGGAGGGGAUUGGGGGACUAAAAGUCUAAAACAGUUUUCCAAACUAUGUUGCUGCCACGAGGGAGGAUAUGCAUGUAAAGUUAUGGUGGCUGCCACGAGUUCCACAAGUGGUUUAGAAUAGUCUUAUUUUUUAAUUAUUUUUCAGGCUUAAAAGCGAAGGGAUAAGGGCCAGGGGUCGGCUGCGUGGGCAAUAAUGAGAUGGAGACAAGCUCAGCCGCUGCACCGUGGCGCCUCGACAUCAAGGUGGGGAUAACAGAUCAAAACGGUACUCUUUUGAUGUUGUGACUGUGUGUUUAAGGAAAAUAUCAGAGCGCAGUGUGGGCCCGCCAGCCAUUUUAGGUGCUUUUACGCUGCUAACCUUGAUUUCCACUCUCUAUUAUUGGUUAGUAUUUAAAUAGUGAAUGUGCUUUUGACUAUGUGUUUAUUAAUACGAAAAAACUAAGGAAACUUAUUACUGAAAGGUAGAAAUGAAUUAUCAAAAAAAUAUGAAAUAAGUAGUAAUGCUCCCUCCGUCCAAUCUGUUUGUUAUAUUUCGGGAAUCUAACUUUUUAAAAAUAAUAUUUUAAUUAUGAAGUUUAUACUUUUCUUUUCAAUUUUACUCUCCAAAUUUCAAAUUUUAAAUUUAAAUAUAAGAUAUCUUUGAAUAAAAGAAGGCACACUUUUGGAACAAAGGUUAAAAACGGCUUUAAGUUUUAUAAUAUGACAAAUAUUUUGAAAUAUUUCAAAAUAAAAAGUAUACAGAUAAUAUAAAUUAUUUCAAAUUGAUAUGUCUAAAUAAUAAUUAUGUGAUAAAAAAUUAUUUACUUUAUCACAAAAAUAUUUUUGAGAAUAUUUAUUUUAUUAUUUUAAAAUUAUUUUUUAUUUCAUAUAUAUCACAUCAUAAAAAUAUUAUAAUAAUUAUUUUAACUAAUCUUUCAAAUAUGAUAGGUUAAUUUUUUUUUUUUUAUGAAUGGUCAACAGCGUAACAUACACGAGUCAUAUGAAUUAAGGGUAAAACAUUGGACCACAGAUUUAUGAAUUUCGUCGACAUUGACUAGUAGGUGGCAUAAGCCAAGCAGCCAAGGGGGUUCUAGAAGGAUUUAGUCAGUGGUCAGGGGCGACAUUCCCCAGCUAACUCCAGAUUGUGACGGCUAAAGGUGUUGCCCCCAUAUUUUGCCAAUUUUAUAGAUUUGGCACCAUAUAUUUUUGCUUUCCUGAUGUCAAGCGUGGGAUAUUCCUUCUCUACAGCAGCAUAUACUAAGUAACUAAUUGAUUUACAAUAAAAAUUAAUAAUAACUGACCCCUUAGGCCUACGAAUUGCACAGGUGUAAAUAGUUAGUCUAUCAAAAGAUUUGACAAUUUUGAUUUUAGAAAAAAAAUAAAAUAAAGACAACUUGGUAAGACACAACACUUGGAGCAAAGGAUUAUGGCCUCAUUAUUAAUUACUGCAAUAUCUGUUCGUUUCAUUGUUCUUAGUCUUCGAAGGUUGACAGGAUUUUAGUACUUUUAAUUGACUCAUUUGCUUUACAUGAAUUAAAAAAAAUUAAAAUUCCAUGUUGGGCAUUACUAACUUGAAGCUGGAAAUAUUCAAGAAAAUGAAAAAUUAGAUAGAUAUUAAUAAUGUUCUCAACUUGCUACAUUUUUUUAAAAAUUAUUAAAGUUUAACUAUAUUGACUAAAAGAUAAACAAAUUGAACAUCCCAUUAUUUCGUCGGAACUUAAAUUUAAAUCUGAAACACUUCAAUUUUCUAUUUUAGCAUUGCACGUUUCAAAAUCUCUGGCACCUCUAACACAGUACCAAAUACUCACAUGUAACUAGUCUUUAGAGUAUUAAAUAUUACCAAAGAAAUGAAUGUACAAUACAAAUGCUUUAACCUAAUUUUUUGAACUUUUAUGCCGUGUUAUGUAGUACUUUUACAAUUAUAAACUGCGAUUAAUGACUUGAAUGAGUUCAAUAUGCGUAAAUCGAUUUGGGUGAAUGUUUGUACACACUUCUAAUGUAUGGAAUUUUAUUGUUUAUUGGCUGCAUCUUAGCAUCUUAUUGUAAUUCAAUGAUGUACAAUUCAUGAUUACCUUAAACAAUUUAGCAAUGUCCAUCGUAUCUUAAAAUUGUAGAGAAGAAAGGAAGAAUGGAGCAGGAAUUCCAUGCACUCCUUUCAACUAAUUGAAACAGGUUAAUAUUUAUGAAAUUUCUAUCUAUGAUUAUAAUUCAAUACACUCUUAUCAUAUUAUUACCUCUAAAAUCAUUUAAAGGUUGAUAUCUUUUUUUUUUUUCACAAAUCCAAUGAUGAAUUGAUAUUCAUUGGUAUAGAUACCUGCUCAAAAGGUAUGGUAAAACUCCCCUAUAGUGCCUUUACAAAUCCAACGAUAAUUGAUUAUAGGAUUUUUUUAAUGAGUGCUCAUCGAGCACUUACUAACACACCUAAAAUUUACCUAACUUACUAUAUAUAUACACAUAUUAUAAUUAUUACUUUCUCUUGUAUUUAUAUACUUUUCUAUUUAAUUGUAUCCACCCUCAUUUGUACUUAUUUAUUUUUUUAAUUAAAUUUUAUAUUUUAAAAAAUAUGACACGUGAAACAUAUUUUAACGAGUAGCCAAACAAACAGACCCCCAUAUUAAUUGUGCCAAAGAGCAACUACAUAUAAAGUCAGGGAGCCGGAGCAAAUUGAAGAGAAUACAAGUAAGAGAAUACCCGGUAAAAGGAAUGAGAAAAAUAUUUCAAAGAGAACAAAUAAGAAUAGACAAACGUUUCAAUUGAAGUUUCUUUUAACGAAGACCCCCGUCAAGUGUCAUUACUCAUCAGAAUCAACUUUCCUACAUAUGUUUUCACUCCUCCCCCUUUCAGCUCUUUCGUGCCACCUGCUCGAUCCAUCUCUUUGUCUGAACCCCUUUUUCCUUUAUCAGUCUAUUGAUAAUUAUUCCCUUUAAACCUUGAAAAAAAAGUAAGAAAAUGGUGCGCAGUAGUUAAGAGAAAAAGUAGUUAUCCUCAUACUCAUGCUGGUAAUGUUUUCUUGUACGUCUUUAAGUUUAAGGUGAUUUCUGAUAGUGAAAGGGACCAUAAUUCUGGUCUAUCAAGAAUGGGAGUAAAAGGGUUUAUGGAGAAUCAUCUAAAUAUUAGCAAGAAGGAGAGAAAUAAAGUGAAAGAAGAAGAGAUGAAGAGGAGCUCAAGAAAACAAUUGAAGGCUAUGCUUCGCAAGAAUUGGCUUUUGAAAAUUCGACACCCUUUUGUUACUCUUACAGAGGUCAGCACUUAGAUCUUAAGCAACAAUUGCACACACUACACACACUAAUACUGUGAUAAAAGAGUGGCCUUUUGUUGAAGAAUUCAUGAUCAUUGUUUCUAUGUAAUGGAAUGGGUUCAAGGCUACGAGGUUCAGUUAGAAAGAUGAUUUUCUUCAAUGAAUCAAUGCCUUUUUCUUAUAGAUUUGAAUGCUAGGUUGGAUUGUGAAAAUUGCCUUUUUUCAACUCUUCUGGAGUUGAGUCUUGAAUGUUGAAGAAAUACAUACUUUGACACUGUGAUGAACCAGUACUCUUUACCGAAUAAGUUGUAAUUAUAGAUGUAGUUAAUCAAUUGGCCUGACCUUUUUAUAAGUUAAUUUGAAUUGCUUGCUUGGACUAUAACACGUGUUUCUCCCCCCUUCCGAGUUUAAAUUCUAAUCUGGUCACCUUAAAUUCGAAGCCAUACGCACUUAUGCAGACACUACUAUUAUGAUAAAUGUAUGUUCUCUUUAUUGAAUUAUUCGUGGUCAUUAUAUUUCGUUAUUGGAAUAAGUUGGAGUUUUGACGAUUUUCUUGGAUGAACAAUGACCAUUUACAUUGAAACUUGGAGAGCUUAGUUGGACAAUGGAAUUCGUUUUUUUUGCUUUUUGUUACUCUCGUUAAGGCCAGUCUUAAAUAUUAAGUAACAUACACUUGCGCACGGCCUAAUGCUAUGAUUAGGAGUUCUCCUUUAUUUAAACAUUGCCCACCAAUAGAUUUACUCUAUAGAUUAUGUUCAUGACUUUGAGUGUCAGUUAUGUUUGCAAGAUUUUCUUGAAUGAACAACGGCCAUUGUCAUAUAAAUUGGGAAUCUUAUAGUUGCUUUAUGGCAUUUCCUUACUCUUAUGGGCGUCAGUCCCCAGUGUUGACCUACACUCUUGAAACACAUCCGCACUGUGAUCAAGCAAUCUCAUUUACUGAAAUAAUUCAUGAUCAUUGUUUCUAACCAAUGAGAUAUGUGCAGGAUUCUGCGUGUUAGUUAAUUUGCAAGAUUUUUUUUCCUUUUUGGUGAGAAAUGAUGAUUUUUCAUAUAAAUCUGAGUAUACAUAGAAUUGUUUUUCUUUCCUUUCUCUGUCUUAAAUAGUCUUAAUCUUGGCAGUGAGUGAUUUUCAAGAUCUUGGUGGAGUUUAUGAUGGUUUUCCUUGGAGGUCUUUGAUAUUGGUUCUUUGUUGCUGAUUUUGUUGCCCUUUUCUUCAAGAGUUUGAUUCAGAGUUAAUAUGUUGUUCUUCUUUGGUGGUAAAAAAAAGGAAUAUAACUUGGUUUAUUGAGAGUUCCGUUUAAUGGGUGAUUAUACUCUCUUUGUCUAUUUGAAUGAGGGUGUCUUUUGCUUAACCAUAGAAGAAGUUGAUAGUUUAAUUCUAAUAAAAAAGGUAACAUUCAUUUGUAAAUGAACAGGACAUGUUCUUAUAUCGGUGUUGUUUAUGCUUUUAUCAUAGAAUGGUCUGUUGAUUUGUCUUCACAAGUUUGAAAUCUUGAAACUCUGUUUUUCUGGUCGGUUGGAAGUUAAUCUUGAAAACAAUUUACUCUCAACUUUAGAUUUUGGGCUUACUAGCAUUACAUGUUAUCAAAUCAACUGAAGCUUACCACUUGUAAUUUACUCUCUUGAUCUACAGAUUUUGCUCCCCACUGUUGUAAUGCUAUUGCUAAUAGCUGUGAGGUCGCAAACUGAUUUGCGAAUCCAUCCGGCCCAAGCGUAUGUUUUUUAUGCACCUACUUAUGUUUCAUUGUGAUAUGGCAUGUAAGCAAGCAGGAACCUGAUGUGGCUAUUCCUGAUUUCUCAUUUCUCUAAAGUAGACCACCUGCAGAACCACACAAUCAUAAGCUUUAUUUCACCGUCAACCAUCCUAUCUGGCAUCUAUUAAUCUAUUAACAGAUGAAGUGUGUCAAAACUUAUCAAACCCCUUCGCUCUUUAACUCUUUUUGCUAAUAUAUAAAUUUUUUUGAGCCUAAUAUAUGAAUAUUUGUUUCCCCUAUUCAUGGUGGAAACUGGAAACCAGUAAUUGUCUACCUGAUUGUUGUUCACAAAGUCCUUUAAGAUCCCAAUUACUUAGUCCACUCUGACUGGACAUGCAUAUAGUUUGAUUGAGUAUUGAUGAUUAACAGGAAUUGCAUUUUGGUUUUUCCUGUAUAAUUCUCUGAUCUCUCAAUCCCUGCAAGUAGAAUGCAACAAUCAUAUACAUGCCAAUCUUGUGAUGAGUAGCAGUCAAAAUUGAUAUGCAUUACCUAACUUGACAUGGAAAGAAUCUUGUCUUGACUAGCGACAAAGAGGACUUUCUAUAGUGAUUUUAUUCAACAGAACAGUCAAGUUUUAAAAUGUGAGUCUUUUCUCUGUGUACAUUCGGAGUUUGUGCUACAACGUGGUAUUAAUCAUUAGGCAUAGUAGAGUCCUGAACUCUCUUGUUGUUUACUUCUUUGUAAUUGUUGAAGUUUCUGCUGCUUGUGUUCUCUGGGGAUGUAAGAGAACAUGUAAAUUUUUUCUUUUUGGAUAUGGGUUGGAGAAGAAAAAUGUUAUUUCUAAUGCUAAUCGGUGGUUGUUAGAAAAUUUAAUUUCAUUGUUUAGCCUUUGAUAAUUGCAGAAAUGGUUUUUUUAAAUCUUAUCCUGUUUUUCAAUGUUAAAUUUCUGUCAGUAAAUGGCGACUUACUUGGCAGAUGAACAUAAAAGAGAUUUGGAAAUAGAAAAAAAAAAGAGGCUGAAUAAAAAGUAACAUUUGAAGGAUGUAAAAGAUCUUUGUUCUUAUUUUGUCCGUAGUUACGAGAAAAUACUCCAUUUAUGCUUACAUGGGGAUUUACUCAUUAUUUGAUUAGUUUAAUGUAAGGGUAACCAUUUGUAGGUAUAUUCGAAAAGACAUGUUUGUACAAGUGGGAAAAAGUGAUAUAUCUCAGCCUUUUGUCGACAUUCUCCAGUUUUUGUCAGCCAAAGGGGAGCAUUUGGCUUUUGCACCUGAUACAAAUGAGACAAAGAUGAUGAUCAAUAUAUUAUCUUUAAAAUUUCCUCUGCUGAAGGUAUGUUGUCAAAAUUGUUAAAUCUUUUCUUUAGAAUAAAUUGAUAGAUUUUUCAUGACGUUUUUUUCUUUGUGAGAAAUUGGGAAACUGGCUUGAUUCUAGUAGUACAGUCUUUAAGAAAGUUGUUAAUUUGUUCUUUUUUGAAUGCUGAUGGUGGUUACUAUUAUUAGAUUUGGUCAGCUUACAAUUUCUUUAUUUUUUUAAUGUCUUCUUGCAUAAUUUGUACUUUGGCAUGUGAAUGUUAAUAUAUGUCUUUGAGCCCUGAAGUCAGCACCGAUGUUUGUUGUUCACUUGGAGAUUUUCUAGCUAGAACACCUUUGCACUUUCUGAUUUUCCUUGAUGUCCUUAGACUGACUACUUCCUAAAAAUUCCUUUAGUUUUUCAUUUUUAGAGAUAUGUAUAAGUUGUAUUGGAAUUGUUUCCUUCACUCAGUAAAGGUGCUCAAUUGCCAUGUGGCUAAGUUGUCACGUGUUAUUUAUGUUGUAAAAUUCGUCUUGGCUCUCAUUAUUUUGUCUUCAGCUUGAAUAGGUUAAGAUCGAUAAUGUUCUACCUUAUCAUAAUAUUUGUAUAUUAGUAGUUAGCAUUUUCAUUGUAUACCUCUUGUUGGAUGCUUAACUUUCUCACCAUGGGGAGCUCAUAUUGUUAUCUAGAACUCUAGUCUUUAUGCUGUAAUUUGUAAUUUCUUGACCAGUAGCAUAUUAGAAUCUCUAGUUACAUCUCUUAGUGGCUUUCUUCUGAUUAGCCUGUUAAACCAAAUAAUAUAUUUUUUUUCUCUUGUAUAAUUUCUACAUUUCCUCAGACAAUUGAGAAUCAUCUUUCUUGACAUUUAUGUUCUUACUGUUUAAUUCGUGAUUGUAAAUUUCACCCUUGCAUAGAUGGUUGCAAGAGUUUACACGGAUGAAGAAGAGCUUGACACCUACAUUCGUUCAAAACAUUAUGGUGCUUAUGAUAAAGAAAAGUAAGUUUAUUAUCCAGUUAUUGUAUUCUGUUAUGGAAUGUGAAGUGGCUAUCACUUAAAGAAAUGUUUCACUACCCUAGGUAGUGAAAAGAACAAGUAGCAUUACAAACCUUGAGAAAAGAAGAGUUUGUUUUUACUUUAGUUGUUCAGCUUUAUUUUUGAGGUGGUAUGCAUUGGGAAAAACCUUCAUUCUUACUUUCAUAUACACUUAUUGAGUCCGUCAUAUGCAAGUUUUAAGGUGUAGAUGAUCAUAGUUUAUCGUUGCAGAGGUCCAAUAUCUCUCUCUCUCUCUCUCUCUCGCAGAAAUAUAUCUCCUUAUCAGUUUUCUACUUGCAUUGUUUCUUCUAGUAUUGCAGUACUUUUGAAGUUACUUGUCAGAAAAUAAUUUUGUACUGCAUUUGGGGAGUAAACUUGAGUUUCUUCAUGUACUCUGUUGAGUUGGUCUUUUUUAUCGAUAAUUGGAUGAUUGGUUUGACAUAUAAAUUGUUUUUUGUUUGAAGUUAGUCAAUAUUUCAAUCAUUGGUGUUUUGACACGUAAAAGUUAUGAAUAUUGUUGUUUUUCCAUAUAUUUGAUAUUUGCGUUGGAGUCCAACAUUGUAGGAUUUAUCUUAUUAGUUGGUAGGAAUUAGCUGUAAUUAGUCUAAGAAUACAGCUAUGUAAUUAGUCUAAGAUAGCUGCUGUAAUUAGUCUAAGAAUACAGCUGUAUAUAGUCUGUAAUUACGGACUAUAUACAGCUGUACAUGGCUGAUCAUUUAACCUAGUUACUUGUAUAAAUAGAUCAAUGAAAUAUAUAAAAUAUACGUUUUAGCAUAUUUAAUAACUUGGUAUCAGAGCCUUGGGGUUUUUCCUUGCUCUCCUCUUCUCUGAAAAUUCCGGCCAUUCUUUCAAUAGCUCACACUGCUGAAAUUUCUUCUCUAAAACACUAGUCAUCACAAUAUGUCAACCAAACCUGAUGUUGAAUCUCCUAACAGCAAGAAUCUCUCCACUCUAACCAUACAAGAUGCUUCUUCUUCCAUCCACAUUAAAUUGGAUGGCACUAAUUAUCGAGUUUGGUCCAUGAUUUUGGAGAUGCAUAUUGCUAGAAGAAAAAAAAUGGGCUAUAUUAAUGGAAAAAAAGCUGCACCAGCAGUAGAUGAUUCAAGUUAUGAUGAAUGGGAAGCUGAAGAUUCUCUUGUCAAAUCUUGGCUCAUUAAUUCAAUGAGUGAUAAUCUGAUAUCUCACUUUGUACAAUGCGGCACAGCAAAGGAAGUUUGGGAUGCUGUAAAAAGAAGUUACCUUGAUGUAUCGGAUUCCUCUGAAGUUUAUGAACUAAUGAAGAAGACUUUUCAUUUACAACAAGAUGGUCGGCCUCUAGCAGGAUAUUACAACGAAUUAAACUCAACCUUUAUGGAGCUCGAUUAUCGACGGCCCAAUGACAUUGACAUGACAUGUGCUGCUGACAUUGAAAAAUAUAGAAAUUGUAUUGCCGAAGUUGGGGCAUAGAAAUCACUAUAUCGGACAAAGCAUGUUGAAAUUGAUCGGACUUUGAUGUAGUUCCUAUCUUUGAUGUAGUACAGCUGUAUAUAGUGAUUUCUAUGCUCCAACUUCGGCAAUACGAUUUCUAUAUUUUUCAAUGUCAGCAGCACAUGUCAUGUCAAUGUCAUUGGGCCGUCGAUAAUCGAGCUCCAUAAAGGUUGAGUUUAAUUCGUUGUAAUAUUCUGCUAGAGGCCGACCAUCUUUUGUAAAUGAAAAGUCUUCUUCAUUAGUUCAUAAACUUCAGAGGAAUCGAUACAUCAAGGUAACUUCUUUUUACAGCAUCCCAAACUUCCUUUGCUGUGCCGCAUUGUACAAAGUGAGAUAUCAGAUUAUCACUCAUUGAAUUAAUGAGCCAAGAUUUGACAAGAGAAUCUUCAGCUUCCCAUUCAUCAUAACUUGAAUCAUCUACUGCUGGUGCAGCUUUUUUUCCAUUAAUAUAGCCCAUUUUUUUUCUUCUAGCAAUAUGCAUCUCCAAAAUCAUGGACCAAACUCGAUAAUUAGUGCCAUCCAAUUUAAUGUGGAUGGAAGAAGAAGCAUCUUGUAUGGUUAGAGUGGAGAGAUUCUUGCUGUUAGGAGAUUCAACAUCAGGUUUGGUUGACAUAUUGUGAUGACUAGUGUUUUAGAGAAGAAAUUUCAGCAGUGUGGGCUAUUGAAAGAAUGGCCGGAAUUUUCAGAGAAGAGGAGAGCAAGGAAAAACCCCAAGGCUCUGAUACCAAGUUAUUAAAUAUGCUAAAAAGUAUAUCUUUUAUAUAUUUCAUUGAUCUAUUUAUACAAGUAACUAGGUUAAAUGGUCAGCCAUGUACAGCUGUAUAUAGUCUGUAAUUACAGACUAUAUACAGCUGUAUUCUUAGACUAAUUACAGCAGCUAUCUUAGACUAAUUACAUAGCUGUAUUCUUAGACUAAUUACAGCUAAUUCCUACCAACUGAUUUACAUUGCUUAUGCAGUAGUAUACAAGUCUUCUUUGUGUCAAUGAUAUUAGCUGCUUAGAAAAUUUAGUUUUGCAUGUUCUGUGGUUAUUGGCUUGUGGUCUUUUCUCUUGCUUAGAAAAGUUCAACUUGAAAUUGGAAAUCAUCGUUCCAGGUUAUAAUCUCCAGAAAAAUCUUAGUUUCCUUUCACUUUUGGUGUGUGUAGGAACUUCACAAAUCCAAAAAUUAGAGGAGCAGUUGUUUUUCACAAUCAAGGUCCUGAGAUGUUUGAUUACAGCAUAAGGUUGAACCACACAUGGGCUUUUUCAGGAUUCCCUGAUGUCAGAACAAUCAUGGAUGUGAAUGGUCCUUAUAUGAAUGACUUGGAAUUAGGGGUCAAUACAGCUCCAAUUUUGCAAUAUGGCUUUAGUGGAUUUUUGACGGUACAUUUCUGUCUCCCUUUUCUUGUAGCCUUUAGUUUGUUCUUUAUUCAUCCGAAAAUUGCUUUUCUACUGUUAUGACUCUUCUCAACAUUUGAGCAGUUAAUGUCACAUUAUUCAUAUGAAUUAAACACAAUUGUCAUUUAGUCCUGGAUGCAGAGCUCACAAACUUAAUAGAAUUACAUUUCAAAAAUGCUUUCUUGUAUAAUCUUUAUUUUGCUAAUACUAGACUAGUUGAGAAGGUAGUUUCUAGGUUCUAGUGCUUUUCUUACACUGCAGGGAAAUGGAGACGGUGUUCUGAAAGUAGGUUUCUUGGGGUGAAUUCCUCUUUUUUGAAAUGUUUACACUUGAUGCUUGUCUUUAAAACUUGGUGAUUGUGGAAUAAUCCAUUUUUAGUAGUUCUUAAGCAUGUCAGCUAACCUGUGAAAGUUUAUCCUAAUCAUUGGGUGAUGUUAUGUAUGCAAAGAUUGUUAGAGAACUAGAUGCUACCACCUCUUAGCUUGACUGAAGCUUCUGCUGGAUGAUUUUAAUAACUUUGUUUGUCUUCUACUUUCUACUGUUUGGAAUUCUAACCUUUUUAAUGAACUGCAGUUCAUGAAGUUAUUAUAAGUUUUCUUUUCCUUGGUAUCGGACCUCUGCAGAGCCAUUAAUCAGAUUUUUGCUCCUACUUUUCUUCUUACAGCUCCAACAAGUCCUGGACUCUUUCAUUAUUUUUGUUUCCCAGCAGAAUAUAGCUAAUUUAUCUAUUGAAGAACGUGGGUUGCCUCAGCAAUCAGCCAGCAUAAGGUCGGCUGUUGAGGUACCUUGGACCCAGUUCAGUCCUUCGAACAUAAGCAUAGUCCCAUUUCCAACUCGUCAAUAUACUGAUGAUGAGUUCCAGUCAAUCGUCAAGAAAGUAAUGGGAGUACUGUAUGUAUAUUAAAACCUCUCUUUUUUAUGGUCUUUUUGCUCAAGUUUUCUGACUUCUGUGCAAGCUUAAAUACUCUUUCUUUGACUUUCAAUCUGAUCAGGUACUUGCUUGGAUUUCUCUACCCCAUAUCUCGUCUUAUAAGCUAUUCUGUCUUUGAAAAGGUCAGCCAUAUGUAUGCUUUUUUUUUUUUUGGUCUAUCCAAACUUGUGAUCUUCCUCUGAAUUGCAUUCUUUUGGCUAAAACUAAAAAUUGAAAGUUUUGUUCUUUAAAAGCAUUUGAUAUGAGUUCAUUUGAACUGCUAAUACUUCAGGAGCACAAGAUAAAACAAGGUCUUUACAUGAUGGGAUUGAAAGAUGAAAUAUUCUAUCUUUCUUGGUGGAUAACAUAUGCUUGCAGGUAAAAAUAACUUCUCUUUGAUUUGCACUGUUAUUGUGGCAUUACAUCUUCAUGUUGGCUGUUAUUUAUAGUCAUAAAUAGUACUUCAAAUUGAUAGCUUUCCUCUAAGCAUUGGAUGAAUCCUCUUUUAUUACUUGGAAAUAUUGCCUUGCUAAGUUUAAAUGGAAGGCUUUAUGUACUAUUGGAGAUUUUGCUUGAUCUAAUUGUUGAAGAUUGUUUUUCUAUCUACCUGAUAGCAAUAAAGUAGCAGUAACCUUAUUUUAUUUAGAGUAAUGGAACAUCUAGUUUGUGUGUAAGAUGUUUCAGACUCUGCCACAAUCAAUGAAAUCUGUCUUUUGAAAUUGUGAGACCACUACCUAAAAUUUAGGGACACAAAGAAAGAAGGUAGAGUUGGGAUAUGAAACUCUAUAGGAAAGCAUGGGAAAGAAAAGAAUGAAAGAUACUUUAAGUGACAGUUGUAUCAUUGGUAGCACCUUGAUCCAAAAGGAGAUGAGGAAGCCCUAAAUGCCUCAUUGGAAGGAUGGGUUGAAUAAAGAAUAGCAGUGGUAGCUACAGGGAUCAAGCUUGAGCAGUUGUAACAAGGCCUUUAAUUAAGAAAAUGAGUCUAGCUCAUUGUUAGAAAUUUUGAACCUCUAUUAUCUCUUAGCUUAAUUGGAUUGGUUUUAGUGGAAGAAUUAUCGCUUAGAAGUUUUGGUGUGAUUGGAAGAUGACCUUUAGUAUUUCCCUUGACAAGUUUCUUCAACUCUCGGCUCUUAAAUUAUGCCCAAAUUCAGAGGUGAAGUAAGAUUCCCUAUGUAGAGCUUCAUGUCUACCUUUUGAGAGUGAAAUAACCAGAAAAGUUUUACUGGACAAGUGUCUUCCUAGAAUGGAAGGGGGAGGCAAGUCUGUUAUUUCAUUUGUGUGAUUAAGCCUCUUCUGUCUUGUGAUGAAAUUAUUUACUGUGCUUGUCUGGUCAUACACUUUGUCUGCAGUGAAACACUAGUAAAUUAUGGGAAAGCUUAGUCCCAGGUUCUUGAUUUUUUGUUGUCUCUGCUGGAAUUAGUGUCCGUUAAGCAAUUAAGAAAAGUUACUGUAAUGGUGGCUAAGUUUCCAAAUUUAUUUCCUUAGUUUUACUUUGCAAUUUGUAACUGUUGGUGUUCCUGAUUUCCCACUUCAAGAUCACUCUCUUGUGAUUGUAGUACUUAAAAAUUCUGUUCUUUGUUUUCCUGUUUCACUUUACCUGAUCCAUUUUAUCAGGAACUGUGUUCUUGCUAGUUAUCUUGUUUUCCAAUCAUGUCUUACCAGUUUUCCCGUUUUACUAAAAUAUACUAUCCACUAUGCUAAUAGUAAGAAUCACAAAUGGUUUUGUUGUUUGGUCUGAUAAUUUUUUCUUGGAUGGUUUUACCGUCGUUUUUGAAGUAUGCCAUGUACUGUAUAUUCUGUGUCUUCAAUUAGGUAAGUUCGUUUUUAAAUGUUCAGGCAAUUUCUUGCCAAGUUUUGUGUGUGGUUUUACAUUUCUCUUUUAAAACUCCUUUUUGCUUGUUUUGCAGUUUGCAGUUUCUUCUGGAUCUUGACUCUUUGCACUAUGAAUACUCUUUUCGAGUACAGUGACAAAUCACUGGUUUUCAUCUACUUCUUUUCUUUUGGACUCAGUGCAAUAUCGCUGUCAUUUCUAAUCUCGACUUUCUUCUCACGGGCAAAAACGGCUGUGGCAGUUGGGACCCUUUCUUUCCUGGGGCCUUCUUCCCAUAUUACACAGUCAAUGAUGAGGCUGUUUCUAUGUUAGUAUUGCUGGCAUGUCAGAUAACAAAUUGUGUUUUCCUGCAAGGAAGUAAUCCCUUCAUGCUAUUCAUGUAGGGCAUUAAAGGUCACUGCUUCUGUCCUUUCACCUACUGCCUUUGCUUUGGGAUCAGUCAACUUUGCUGACUAUGAACGUGCUCAUGUUGGACUUCGUUGGAGCAACAUCUGGCGUGUAUGUUCUGUGCAUUGUCAUAUUUCUUCUCCAAGACCAUAUUUCAUAGUUUUAAAAGUUUUAUGCUUUUCCAGGAGUCAUCUGGAGUUUCUUUUUUGGUCUGUCUCCUGAUGAUGUUGUUUGACACAGUAGUGUAUUGUGGAAUGGGCCUUUACCUGGAUAAGGUACAUACUCAAUAAUUUGUCUGAUUUCUGAUUCUGCCAGGAGUGUGUGCACUAAUAUAUCCAUAAAAGCUGCUGUAAUUGCUCUUUACAAUAGGGCAUCUCUACAAGUUGAACGAUCAUUAGUAUCCAAUAGAUUGUAUUUUUUUAACGGGGUUGUCCUUUUUAAUAGACUUUGUAUCUUCAUCAAUAUUUUGAGAUUUUCCUUGAUUAAGUUUUAUUACACAUUAAUGAUUAACUAUUUUUUGAUGUGUUCAGGUCCUUCCAAAGGAGAAUGGCAUACGUUAUCCAUGGAACUUCAUGUUUCAGAUAUCCUUUUGGAGGAAGAGAAGUACCAGUGGUCGUUCCUGUACAGUAGAAAAAUUACUGACCAUCAUGUAAAGCAAGAGACUAGUCCUGUUGAGGAUGUACAUAACCCAGCUGUAGAAGCAAUGAGCUUAGAAAUGAGGCAACAAGAGCUUGACAACCGGUACAUGUGCUGCGUUUAGUUGCCCCUGUAUUUAAUCUUCAAACAAAUACCUGUCAUAUGCCUCUGAUUUCUUCAAUUAUUAAUGUGAUCUUUGUCUUUAUAUUUUCCAGAUGCAUUCAGAUUAGAAAUUUGCACAAGGAGUUUCUGACAAAAAUGGGGACAUGUUGUGCUGUAAAUUCUUUGCAGCUAAAUCUGUAUGAGAACCAGAUUCUUGCUCUUCUUGGUAUUCACAUUCACUUUAUGUCAACAUAUGACAUGUUUUAUGAGAAAAUUGGAUCUUUUGACUUAUAUUUGCAUUGUAAUUGAAUCUUGUUAUCUUCUUUGUGCUUAACAAGAUUGCUUUUUUUCUGAAGAUGCUUGUGAUUGAUAUUCUUCUGGAAUGCUUGAUGCUUAUGGUUGCAUCCCAUUAUAUAGAUACAAGAGUUUGCACGAAGUGCUUUUCCUGGCACCAGUUAACUACAAGGCGUAGUGUUUGGAAGUCUCUUUGACUUGGAAUUGUUGAUAGUUGUUUUGCUCCUUGAGACAAUUAGCAGAAAAGAUUUUAUACCAAUUUAUUAGGUCUGUCCUUGAUUUUACUAAAUGGACAAGGUGAUGAGACCUCCUUUCCAUGAAUUCUUUAUAGGUUGGAUAGAGCAGAAUUGCUCCUUCUAUUUUUUUUUUGGAGAAAGUAUGUUGUUCUUAGCUGUCUUUCUUAAAAGUUCCUGCUUGAUGUGGCUCCUCUCGUUCAGGUGUGAAGAAUCACAUGCCAGGUUUUGGUCAUUCCAAAUAGUUAGAAUUCAAGAGCAAGCCUUAGUGGUUAAGUAGUUCUGUUGUGAAUUGGGAAGUCAAAAAGGUUCAAAGUAUGGAUAUAAUCUCUCUUCCUUCUAACUGUAGGAUUGUUAGUAGCCUUAUAUAUGGAUUUAUAAAUCAUGGUGACAUGCAACUAUUGUGUUCACCUUGUCCAUUUGGACAAUGUGGCAAGACAGGCUAUUUGUGAGGCCUUUGAUGGAGUGGAAUGUUUCUUUUCUAUCUUCUUCUCAGACUGUAAUAGCUUAGAUAUUUUAUGAUAUGCUGACCUAGCCAAAGUUGUAGUUCAACAGAGUGUCAGGCAUCCAUAAAGUAUUUGCUUUUUGGCAUAGGUAUCUUUCCUUCUUAAGAACUUUAUUGUAGUUCAAUCUAUGGAGAUUUAUGAGCACAAUAGAUCGUAUUCAAAAAAUGACUGCAAGAGUUUUGUGAAACCUGGGGACCGACUUUGAUAUGCUUUGAUCUCACUUUUUUUGGCUAUACCUUAAUAUUUAAGCUACCUCAUCUAUAAACUUGUCUUUUAUGAAUAUAGAAUAUAGAAUAUAAUUACUCCUUUUAUUUGUUUUUCUCUGCUUUAUAAAAUUCUUAAAGAAUUUGGCCUUAUGCAGCUUCCUUUAUUUCAUCACAUUAUAUGAUUAAUCAUCAUGGUUUGAUUUGUCAUUUAAUUGUUGCUUUAAAUGGUUAUCCACUGAAGGACAUAAUGGAGCUGGAAAGAGCACGACAAUAUCCAUGCUUGUUGGUCUUCUUCGUCCUACUUCUGGAGAUGCAUUGAUAUAUGGAAAGAACAUCUUGACUGACAUGGUAAUGUGGUUUCUUUAUCUAUUUUUGCACACAAGUUGAAGUUUUGAAGUGACAAAACUAAUAUUUAGUACCAUCAGUCUGGUUUAGUCAAUUACAUUAGCUGACUGGGGCCUGUCUCUUUUGCAUCUGCUAAUGAAACAGCGAUUUUGAAAGUUAAAUUCUUGCAAAAAAAAGACUAAUUUUUCAAAAAGUAGCAAGAAGUUUUCUGUAUGUCCUCAUUGUAAAGUUUCUUUUCAUUUUGUGUGAGAAGUUUUACUUGUUAAGCAAGGUAAGAUUUUUAGUUUCUUACAGUCAGUUUAGCUUGUCCAACGAAUAUUGCAUCUCAGUGGUUUUCCAUGGAAAAUCUCUGUGCAUCUGUAUUUUAUUUAGUCCAUGCUGUCUUUCUUUUUUUUUUUUUAAAAGCUCAUUUAACUGAUGAAGAAUAAGAGGGUUUGAUGGCAAGAUAAUCAGUAACUUAGUUGGGCAUAUGAUGGCCAACCUGCCUUGCCAAAUUAUAUGUGAAUGUUUUCUGAAGUUAUCCUUGAUAACUAUCUAUUUGAUAUUGCAGGAUGAGAUACGGAAGAGUUUGGGUGUCUGUCCUCAACAGGACAUUCUUUUUCCAGAGCUAACUGUGAGUAACUAUUGCUCAAAUAAUAUCCCAGCAUUAGUACGUCAUGGAUAUGUUUAUUUCAUCACGUCAACUUUAGAGUGGGAGGAUUGAGGAAGUGUGGAACCUAAAGAAUUGCAUACUCAUGGCUUUUAGUCUGGCCUAAUUCCAGCAGUCCACCCUUUCUGUGUAUUAAAUGAAAAAAGAAUUUAUAGCUUUGGAGAAGGGGACAGUGAUGUCUUCAUGCAGGGUUGCUGGAGCUUUAGUUGUUCCUGAACCAUGUCUAAGUUUUGUGUUUGGAACGGUGAGCAUAUUAUCUGGAAAUAUUUGCAGGUGAAGGAGCAUUUGGAAAUAUUUGCCACCAUAAAGGGCGUCGAUGAAGACUCUAUUGAUAGUAGUGUCACUGAAGUGGUGGAUGAAGUAAGUUCCCAAUUGCUGUAUUCUGCUGAUGCAUCUCUACUGAUCUAGGAUCGACUGUUGAUUACAUGAUGCUGUCAUACCAGACAGCUAAUAAAAUAGCCUGAGCCAUGACCUUUUGAGAAUCUUAUGUAAAACCAUUUUGUAUAUCAAUCCAACCAUACAAUCAGUUGAAAUGAGUUUUCGUGGAUUCACUUAACCAAUAUCCUUGUUUGGAGCUCUCAUUUUUAAGAUGGUCGCUUGCCUAUUCUUACUAGAGCAAUAACGGAGAAAACUCCUGAGCCCUUGAGGUUUCUGGUUAUUUCGGUUAGCACCCUAAAGUUUUCAAUAUCUCUGUAGAAGUGCACUCCAAAAUUCAUAGGUAUUGCUGAAAACUAUUUUUAUUCCCAACUUGCCCUUCAAUGGUCCACACUGAAUUAUCAAUUUAACUUAAAGAAGGCCAUGGGGAUGUAAAACAAGGGGGCAAAGCCUACCUGGUUAAUAAUUGGCCAAUCCCCUUCUAUUCUGCUGUUUUGUGCCCUUGUAAGUUAAACCAGUUGCUUUAAUUUCUUGCCAUCCAUGCAAGGGUAGAUGGGGAAUGAAAAUGCUUUUCAGCAGACAUUAUGAAUUUCCGUGUCAUUGUUACUGACAUAAGGUUACUUUCAUAGAUGAGAUUUCAAAUAAUGGAAGGUAAGUGUAAUAUUGGAAACUUCGAGGGUGCCAAGUGAUAGUGUUUAGAAACCUCAGGGUUGGUUUCUGAAAUUAUUCCUAUAUUUUACUCACAGCAUGCAUUUAGCAUUACGUAUAUUUUGAUUAUUUUCUUGCUGGAAUGUAGCAUCUACAGCUACCUUUCCUUGACAGCUUUGCUCCUGUUUCUUUUAUUAAUGCUUGUAAUUGGAUGUUUCAUUAGGUGGGACUUGCAGAUAAAAUUGGUACUACUGUCAAGGCUCUUUCUGGAGGUAUGAAGAGAAAAUUGUCCCUUGGGAUUGCACUGAUCGGAAAUAGUAAGGUGAGUAUGACUGUUGGAACGUUCUUGACUAUUAUGUCUUGUUAAAAUGUUCUACAAUCAUAUCAUUUCACUUUCAAAGGUUAUUGUUCUUGAUGAACCUACAAGUGGAAUGGAUCCAUAUUCAAUGCGAUUGACGUGGCAAUUUAUAAAAAGAAUUAAGAAAGGAAGGAUAAUAUUGUUAACAACUCACUCCAUGGAUGAAGCUGAUGUACUGGGAGAUCGCAUAGCCAUCAUGGCUAAUGGUACUCUGAAAUGCUGUGGAAGGUACUUUCCCCUGAUCAAUCUUUUGACUAUCACUCAUUUUCACUGCUGUAACAUGGUUUGGCCUUUUGUAAAUUUCCUGUUUUCCGACUUGAUUUAAUGCGUAUUCUGUUAAAGCUUGAAACAGAAAAGUUCUUUGGUAAAUUUACGGUCUCAGUUGAAUUACUAAAUAAAUGCGUGCAAGGUUUCAAAAAGUCGGUUUAAUAGGAAACAUGAACUUAUGAGUUUAUUAUUUUGGGGUGCGAGAGUUAAGACAUACGGUCCAUGCCUCUUGCUAUCAAGGAUACUGUCAAUGAUUUGACAACAACUGAAGGUGAUUUCAUAGACCUGACAGCUCUACUCCAUCUAUUCCACUAAAAUAUCAAAAAUUUGACCAUGAAACUGGACAAGAAGAUAGAGAUAAAGUGUUAGAAACAGCAUACCACAAUCUGAAUGCUAUGAACACUUGAUUUAGAAGAAAUGGUAUAUAUUGAGGAAGUCCUUUGCGUAAUUCCUUUCCUUCACUUUGUUAUCAUUUCACAGUUCCCUUUACCUGAAGCACCAGUAUGGGGUUGGUUACACUCUUACCUUGGUAAAGGUGAAGUCUUUUCUUAUUACAAAUUACUUUUUAGUCUUCAACAGUCUUUUCCAUAUAAAAGGCCUUCUUCCCUUUCUAUUAGCCUUAUGAUUAACUUCCUUUUUCAGUCCGCACCAUGUGCUUCUCCAGCUGCUGAUAUUGUGUAUCAACAUAUUCCAUCUGCAACAUGUGUGAGUGAGGUAUUUCUCUGUCUACAUCUUGGUUUUUUUGUAAAAUGAUGACACAUGUUUUCUGCAGUGAGAAUGAGUGAUAAAUGACACAUGUAUUGAUCGUUGAGGUAUUGCAUCUGCUAAUUUAUUGGUGUUGAUUAUUACAUUUUUUGUUGGUGUCUUUUUUUGGGUGUGCAGGUUGGAACUGAAAUUUCCUUUAAGCUUCCACUGUCAUCCUCAUCUUCAUUUGAGAGCAUGUUUCGAGAAAUAGAGCAGUGUAUGAGAAGAUCGAACCCAAUGCUGAAGCUAGGGGUCAAGAGAAUGACGACAAUAUUGGUGUUGAGAGCUAUGGUAUAUCUGUCACAACUUUAGAGGAAGUGUUCCUGAGAGUAGCAGGGGGUGACUUUGAUGAGGCUGACUGCUUUAAGAGAACAAUUCUGCAGCUUCAUCUGAUUCUAAUGUUUCUAGAGCUUGUCAAAGUUAUGCUCCAAACCAUGUGUUCCAUAUCAAACAGUGCACAAACUUUUUUAAAGUUCUCGGGCUUCUAGUUACCACAGUUGGGAGGGCAUGUGGUCUAUUUUUUGCAACUGUUUUAAGUGUCUUUAAGUUCUUAAGUAUGCAGUGCUGCUGUUGUUUUGUGCUUUCGAGGUCAACAUUUUGGAAGCAUGUCAAAGCUUUACUUAUUAAGAGAGCAAUAUCAGCUAAGAGGGAUCGGAAGACCAUUGUCUUUCAGCUGUUAAUCCCGGCUGUGUUCUUAUUCAUUGGUCUUCUCUUUCUCAGUCUUAAGUCACAUCCAGAUCAGCAGUCAAUAACUUUCACAACCUCACACUUUAAUCCUCUCCUGAGUGGUGGUGGAGGUGGAGGUCCUAUACCUUUUGAUCUCUCAUGGCCUAUUGCCAGGAGGUUAGUAAAUUCUUUCCAACUUCACGUGGACUAUCAACUGUCUCUGUUCAAUGAAUAACAUUUUGCCACCUUGUUUGUGCUAUCUUUGUAGGUUGCAAAGCAUCUGAAAGGGGCUGGAUCCAGAGGGAAAAAGACUCGUAUAAGUUCCCUGACUCUGAAAUGGCAUUGAAUGAUGCUAUUCAGGUUGCAGGGCCCACUUUGGGACCAGCCCUUCUUGAAAUGAGUGAAUAUCUAAUGUCCAGUUUUAAUGAAUCUUAUGAGUCAAGGUGCGUGGUAUUGAGUUGUUAGGGGUAGUGCAUGAUUGUGGACAACUUUUUAGCAUCUCUCUUGUUUCCUUUCUCUGAUUUGUAGUUCUUCCCUGAUUGCAUAUGAAAUUAAGUACAUGAUCAGUUUUAAUUGGUUUUAUUUUCAUUCUUCUUGUAUCAUGAAUUUAACACAUUAUAUGUCUCGGUAGCUGUUAUGGUUAUCUAGAAUAAAAUUUUUUUACCAUUAUUUUGUUUCUGCUGCUUGAUCAAGUAGAAUUAAGUUUCUUCUUUAUUAUCUUUUUCAUCCUUCAAUCUAACCUCUUUCAGACAAAGUUGAUAAGAUUGUUUACUGGCCUUAUGAUAUUAGUUGUGUUGCAAUUAAAUAGAUCAUGCUUGCAACAGAUAUUUUUAUUGAAUAUUUAGUUGGUUGGGAUAAAAUGUAUGAACUGCAGAUAUCUACUGGCCUUAUGAUAUUUAGUAAAUAACCACAAAGGGGUUUCAGGGAUGCUCUCAGAGCUUGUUUAUGAGCUUUUACAACUCGGUUUAUGUAAUAAAAGGAGAAAAAAAUACAGACAAUGAUGCAAUUAAUUGAAGACUAAAUUAGUUGAGGUUGGGUUGUCUUUUUGAUACCAUACCUUCCGUAUUUUGUGCGACAUCUAUUUCAAACUGAGUCGCCUAGUUUAACUCAGCAUGCAGUUUUUAAGAUAGGAUUUGUAAAAAUACAAUAUGAAUAACAAAGUAAAUAUUGUCUUUUUCAAUUUUGUUUCCUUUUAUUUGGCAGAGGGAGGGGAGAGGUAGUAAAGCAGUUUGGUCAUAUAGUUUUCAUUAUUACUUUUCAUAGAAUUAAGAAAACUCUGGCGUGCAUCAAUGAACCUUUUAAUAUAUGUUGGAAGAGUAAAACAUUUCAGUUCAGAAAAGUCAACAUUGUUCUCUGAUGCAGUAAAGGAAAGUAGCAAAGUAUCACAUUUGGUUUGGCAAGGAUAAAGUACAUUUUGUUGAGAGCUUGUAUUGAAGUCGUAAUAUUGUCCUUCUGCCUUAUCUAAUAUGAUCUUUUGAAACCUCUAAAUGUUUCUUUCAUUAUCUGUUGUUCUCUUAUCAACUUCGUGCACCCCUUUGCAGGUAUGGAGCAAUUGUAAUGGACAAUCAGACUGAUGAUGGGAGGGUGGGUUAUACUGUCCUGCAUAAUAGUUCUUGCCAGCAUGCUGCUCCAACAUUUAUCAAUCUGAUGAACUCAGCAAUACUCAGGCUGGCUACCCUCAACGAGAAUAUGUCAAUAACGACACGGAAUCAUCCUCUGCACUGACAGAAAGUCAGCAUCUGCAGCGUCAUGUAUGGUUUGCUAUUACUUAAUCAUUUAAAAUACCCUAGAAAUGGUAAAAUAGUUUCUUGAAGCUGAGGUCUUUAUUUCACGAGUCUGUUAACCAUACCUUUGGAUGGAUUGCUAGUUACUUGUUUGAAUAUAUAUUAUAGGCCACCUUACAAACAAUAUGCCAGUCUUUUUGGAUGUAUUCACCCUAUAGAUAUCUUAAAAUCAUGUCUUCCUUUCUGAUCUUGAAGCUUUGAGUUUGAAGUUGGAGUCAUUUCAUGGCUUUUUAAUACUCAUUAGCUUCAUAAAAGAACUUUUGUUGUGAACUUUGUUCUGGAUUUAUUUAGUGCACAUUUUAUUGUGCACUGUCCAUUGUUGAGUUUGACGCUUGGUGGCUCAAAAUGAUUUAUAAACAAACCCUCAUCACAACGUUAAUGAUUUUAUUCUCAUAAAGAUAUCCACAGGUUGUCAUGUAUUCAUUACUGUCUCUCUGCUGAAAAUUUUAAUUUUGUUCCAUGUGAUUCUCUGUAAUUAAUUGUAUCUGACUUGUGUUCAUUUUCACAUGAUACUGUGUUGUUUUGCAGGAUCUUGAUGCGUUCUCAGCUGCUAUUGUUGUUAACAUUGCCUUUUCAUUUAUUCCGGCCUCUUUUGCUGUGGCUAUUGUGAAGGUAAUUUGCCUUAGCUCAUUCUUGAAAAUGAUAAUUGUGAUGGUUUUGUUCUCAGGAACAGGUUUGUAAGUGAUAUAUAAAGAGAAGACCCAGUGUUUUCCUGAACUUUCUAAUAGUCUUGGAGGCAAAAUUAAGGCAAGAGGGAAAAAAAUUAUGCAAGUUUCAUUUUUCUUUUUGCUGACUGCCUGGCUAGUUGAAAUUUUGUCAAUUAUUCCAUAUUACAAAGGGAUAAAAAUUUCAAAGUAAAUUAAUUACUGCCACUUGAAAACCAAAAAUUUAAAAUAUUUUUAAGCUCACUGGAAGUUCUCAUUCGAAAUCUUUUUUCCUAAUCAAUAACUGAACCUAGGGUCUUGGCUUUGCUGCUGGGUGUAAGAGCAUUGGCACUAAAUUUAGUUCUAUAAGUUUCCUAUUGUAUAUUACUUUUGUCAGUCACUGAAAGUUAAAGUUGUUACCCAUAAUAUGCAAGGAUCCCAAAGUUAGUUACUAAACUCGCUAUCAUCACUUGCUAUUUGAGGUUCCCAUAUUGCAAAAAAUUGGAGAACUUCUAUUAUAACUCAUUGAUGAAUUUAGUAUUUAUUAUGAAUUUCUAAUGGUUGAAACUUCUAAGACAAAUUGACUUUGAUGCAGGAACAUGAAGUAAAAGCCAAGCAUCAGCAAUUGAUUAGUGGGGUAUAUUCAGUUUCUACGAAGUUUCCAGUUUCUGGAAUUAUUGCUAUGCUUUGUUUUGUGGUUUUGUUCUUUUUAACAGUCAAUUAAAUGCAGGUAUCUAUAUUGGCAUAUUGGGCUUCAACAUAUAUGUGGGACUUCAUCAGCUUUUUAUUUCCUUCAUCAAUUGCAAUUAUUCUCUUUUCCGCAUUUGGUAUGUUCUUGAUCUUUGCUGUCUACAUGUUCCAUGGACAGUUGGAGGAAAAUUGCUUGCGUAAUUAAUUGCCUGCUACGUUCUCGGUUGAAUGUCCUUGCUUUUACUUCUGUUGUUAGAGUUACUUUUCAGAUGCCUUAAUGCCAUGAAAGGAAUCACAGUUAACAAAAGUUAGGAUGAAAGUGAAAACAGAUAAUCAGCCUGCAUUGACUGGAGAAAGGUUCAAACAUAGCUGAAAAUUAUGUUAUUUAUUUUCCUUUUUGCGUCCCAAAAACAUUUCAUGACUAGUUCAGUAAAGCCUCGAUGAUGUUGAGAUUGGGCAUCUUGUUUGAUGGUUGGUAAUAUUGAGAACUUAUUUGGGAUUGUGGUGCUUUUACUAAAAAGGUACUUCUAGGCAAUACAACCACUUAUAAGGUGUUUGGUAAGCAUCAUUCUGUAAAUUUAGGAGUACAUUUGUUAUCUCAAAAGGACGUUUAGCACAUAAAGUUUGUCCGUUUUAUCAUAAUUUCGAACUGAAUAAAGGGAUAAAUACAUUUUAAUAAUUUCAACAACUACAUAUUAUCAAGUAGAAAAACCACUUUUGCAAGUAUUCAUUUCAAACAAUAUAAUUAAACACUUCAUUCUUUUACCACAAACCCUACUAGGGGAAGCUCUUUCUAAUUGCCACCGCAACCCCAAAGGCACACGACAUCUCUAAUAGCAAUUUCUAGAGCAUUUAAUGUUUCAUUUCAUCAUCCUAACUUCAUGUUUUAACUGUUUCAUUGGUAUUUUUGAGGGUUGUGAUGGAAAUAUAAAUUUAAGGUGUCCUAGAGUAACUCACAAAGCAAACCCUGUGGAAUAGUUCAAAGCAAACCCUGUGGAAUAGUUUAGUCCUAGCUUUUUAUUCUUUUGUUCCUAAAAACUAAUCAUGCAAGUCCUCUUCUUUCUUUUAUGUUUCCCUAGUUAAGAAGACAACUUAGCAAACUAAACAAAACUUUCUGACUGCUGAAGCUGUUAAAAUGGCUAAAUAUCGUACCACUGAAUUGCAAUGAGCUUAUAUAAGAAUACAAUCUAUCCUUUGCUUAACUUAUUGUCUGCAUCUUACUUAAAUGCUUCUAUUUUUUUAUUUUUUUUACUGUUUAACCGGGGCCGUCCUUGUUGCUUAAAAGUUGAUUCAUGCUUUUAAGCUAAAAUCUGCUUUUGAGGUGUUUUCAUUUGCUUUUGACUUGGGCUUUAAGCUUAUAUUAGCUGAAAAAGUUGAUCCAUGAGCAACGCAGGACAGCCUUCUUAGAAGAACUUUGCUUUUUAAAACUGACAAAACAGAAAAACCAUAUCAACUAGCAGUUUAUAUGGAAAUACCAUUUCAAGUGACGGAAAUAAGAUGUUGGUUUAUUUUAUGGGAAAUACUAGUAGCUUUUCUCAAACUUCUUUAAUUCUUUGGUGUAAACCUUCAUAUUUGCUUCCUCUUAUAAGUUCUGUUAUUUCAUGUUCCCACUGUUUGUGGCUAUCUACAAAUUGAAAAUUUUUUCUUUUGCAGGUCUUGAGCAGUUUAUUGGAAAAGAAUCCUUCUUCCCCACCAUAAUGCUGUUACUGGAAUAUGGACUAGCAGUUGCAUCAUCAACCUACUGCCUUACCUUCUUCUUCUCGGAGCACAGCCUGCACAGGUAUCAUUCUGCUGUCAAAUGUUUAAAGUUUGAACUUUUCUGCCUAUUUGACACUAACAUUGUAUAUCUACAAGCAGAAUAUAGUUCUGUUGGUCCAGUUCUUCAGUGGGAUUAUCCUCAUGGUUGUAUCAUUCAUAAUGGGGCUUAUGAAGUCUACAGAGCGGGCCAAUUCCCUUCUCAAGGUUUGCAUGCAUAGAGCAGCAACAUGUUUUUUAUUACAUCAUUUUUCAAAGCAAACUGAUUCCUCAAGAUUAGCAUUUGAUGUUCUGAAAGAGUCAAUUGAUGGACUUUCGAUUGGAUUUGUUUACAAAUGGGAUGAUGAUUAUGCAACUUAUGUCAUUAGUCUUUUUAAGGGUAUAGCUAUUUUUUCAUACAUUCAGUGAAUGUUUCCUACAUUUUGGUUUAUGCCUUUGUCACCUCCAAGUUUUUGAGUUCCAACAAGUUGAAUAACUUUUGAUGGUUUUAACAUCUUGUCACCUCUUUACAGUCCUAUCUAUGAUACUUGUUGAACUCAUAAGAGGUAAACCAAUUAUUAGAUGUUUCUCAUGGGCGUGGACAGAUUCUGUCACUUUGUCUUUUAUCAAGAAAAUUGUGUGCUGGAGACUUCAAAAUCUGUAGAUAAAUUUAUCCUAAUGAGUUCUAGAAAAAUGAUAGUGACUCGGACUUUGUUCUUCUCCAGGGCAAUAUGUGACUGCUUAGAAAUUUUCACUAACUUAAAAGAUUGUGCCAAGGGUUAUGACUGGUGAUCUUAAAAGCCUUCACGCUCGGAUAUUGAGCUUACUAACUAUCGUAUUUGUAUCUUCCAGAACUUCUUCAGGUUGUCACCGGGAUUUUGCUUUGCCGAUGGAUUAUCUUCAUUAGCUCUUUUACGACAAGAUAUGAAGAAUGGAUCUGGUAGUAGAGUUUUUGACUGGAAUGUGACGGGUGCUUCCCUUUGUUACUUGGCUGCAGAGGUGCUGUUCUGAUCUUAUGGCAUGAGAUUAUCUUGCUUCUGUGUACUACUAAUCAGUGUUUAAGCAAGAUAUAACGUUUUUCUGGGAAUCAUAUAGUGGUCUUGCUAUUUUUAGGUUUGCUUAUGUGGUCACGCUUUUCUCAAGUAGAAAUUAUCACUCUUCAGCCCUAUUGGACGAGUUUUCUCAUCAUUGAGAUUGCAUGAUUAUAGUUCCAGAAAUCUACAUUUUAACUUCGAAAUUGUUGGGAGAUAGGUUCUAAAAUACUAGUUUGCAGUUAUUUUCUGCUCUCUCAGUUUUACAUAAAGCCUCACACUUUACUAGUAAUUGAGCAAGUCUUUUUCAUUUUGCAAGAGGGGGUUAAUGGAUGUUAUAGAUUGAAUUUUCAGUGGAGAAGCUGCAGAACUGGAAUUGGAUACUAAUGGCUGGUGUAGCACUGAUUUUAGGUGCUUUAAACAAGUUUGAAGUGCUUGAGUCUUUAGAGUGUUGCUAGCCUAGCUGGUAGGGAGAUUAGCCAGGUGAAAGUAAGGUCCUUGGCAAUUCUCAAGCCUCGCCUCUUGCCCUUUACCCUUGUAAGGCUUGGAGUCUGUCCCUUGAACCCAAAAAAAAAAAACAAAUUGCUGUCCUUUCUUUGCCUGUUUGCUUAGGCCAUUAUUGAUCUGUAGCUGCGAUUGAUGAAGGCAGAUAGAACAAUUCUACCUCAAUUAUCCUAUUUCUCAGGGCAGAUAGAGCCUAGUCAUUUUAUUAAGAUCUUUCAUCUGUUGGUUUGUCGCCAGGUUUUCUGCUACCUAUCUCUGAACUAUCUAUGUUGGAUGUCUUGCUGCUAUCAUACCACGUAGCAAUGCAUAGCUGGACUGUCCUUGAUUGACAGCAGUAGUUUCUUAACAUAUGAAGUGCACUGGAUCUCUCAAGCUUAAGCAUUGAAGUUUCAUCAAUGAAUUCAAACUUAAAAAAUUGAAAAUGUCUAAAACUUUCUUAAAGGGGAAGUGGAUGCUUUAAAGAGUGGACAACUCUGUGAACUCAACUAGGUGAUUAAACAAAAGGAAGUAGACAGUUUCAAUGGUUUAGAUAACAUAGGAUCAUGGCUUUUGAUAUUCAGAAUUUUGAGUGGAUUAGUGGAUCAAUAGGUUUUGGUAGCAUGCAUUAUUGUUCUGGUUUAUAUUUCGAGCAUAUGAAUUUUUUAUUCUUUUUUAUCUGUACUGAUUGGUCAUUCCUCUUACAGGCUGUCAUUUAUUUCCUUCUAGCACUUGGCCUAGAGCUCUUGCCACCUCACAAGAUAAAUUUAGCCACAGCUUAUGAGUGGUGGAUGAGUAUUAAACUUUCACUUGCAACUUCUGGCAGUUUGUCAGAGCCACUUCUGAAAUCAUCCACAGGAGAUGUUGCUCUUAAAGUUGAUGAAGACAUCGAUGUCCUUACAGAGAGAAAUAGGGUACUCUCAGGUUCAAUUGAUGGUGCGAUCAUAUAUUUGCGCAAUCUGUGCAAGGUAUUCCAUGCAACCUUUCUAUUCACUGUAACAUUAGUGUAUCUUUUUGUAAGAAUGAAUAUAGCCCGUAAGGGUCUUUCUUUCAACUCAGUAUGUGGUUUGAUUCCUACUGUCCAUAGCCGGUUCAUGAUUCUUCUUCUCCUAUACUAAAAUGUCCUCCAACCCUCCAAAUGUAUAAACAAGGAGAAUUUGAUGAAUUUUUAAAGUUACCAGUAAUAUAUUUCUUGUUUUAGGUUUAUUCGGGAGGAAAGCACAGGCUAAAAGUAGCAGUUGAUUCAUUGACUUUCGCAGUUCAGGAAGGAGAGUGUUUUGGCUUUCUAGGAACCAAUGGAGCAGGGAAGACAACCACCCUGUCCAUGCUUUCUGGUAUUAAAUAUGCUUUAGCAGUGACAGUUUAAUUUACAAAAAAGACCUCAAUUUGUUUAAUUUGUAGGAAAACAAAGCAAUUUCUCAGUUAGCAAUGACUUCUCUCUGUUCAACCUGAUGACGUGUUGCAUUAUAACGUCAUAUAACAAUGCUGCAGCUGUCACCGGGAAAUUUUUUUUUCUUUAAUCCUACUGCCUGGCAUGCAAUUUCACAUGUCGUUUGCAUUCUUCUUAUUAACCCUCAGCAUGCACACUUUGAAUAUUUUGUAAUGGCUGAAGGUGAGAGCUGAACCCUAAACAUCUGCCUGGGUUACGUUACUGAAUUACUGUAUCAUUCUAAAGCUGAAACUAUGUAGAGGGGUGAAUAUUCUUUGAUACACUUUUUAGACCUGCCUCAUGUGUGGGCUAAAUAUUCUUUGAUAGGCCAAGUAUGUGCAAGCAGGAAGAGGUGUGGUUUUCAGAAUUGAUAACUGGAUCUUUGCUAACUAUUCUGCUACCAUAUAAAGUUAUCAACUGUUUCAAAAGGUAAAGGUGUUAAGAAGGAAAGUCGUUUUAUUGUUUGUCUAAUCUAGGAUGCCUGCUCGUGUAGUCUGGCUUGUUUAAAUGAGCCCAACACCUGGAUGCAGUCUUUGGCUUAGAUGUGCAUAUGGACAUUGAUAGACAUAAAACUCUCAGCAGCAUAUGUAUGUCUUUCUGGGAUUUUUUAUCUCUAAACUUCUGGUUUGGGUUAAACAAGCUACUUGGGAAGAACUUUAAACACAUAUACUUCUGUGAAGCACAUCUGGAUUUUGCCAAGAAUGUGUAUCUCACAGCAUAGACUGUAAGCUUCAUACUGAUUUGGGUUCUCUAAGUACCUUCUUGUAUCCUUCUUUUUCAUUUUUUUGGAUAAACAGGGAAUGAGAGGUAGUCGGAUACUAUUCCCACUUAAUAAAUCUUUUCUUGGUUGGAUGAAUAUUUCAAUGCAGGAGAAGAACAUCCAACUAGUGGAAAAGCAUUUAUUUUUGGCAAAGACAUAGGUGCGAACCCAGAGGCUGCUCGUCGUCUUGUAAGUCUUGAUUUUUUUGUUUAUUUGUGCUUUAUCUAAUCUCUAAAUUCAUCAAGUCAACUUUUGCCUGGCUAACAUAUAGAACUUUUUUCUUGAUGUGUCAGAUUGGUUAUUGUCCUCAAUUUGAUGCGCUACUAGAGUUUCUCAAUGCUCAAGAACAUCUUGAGCUCUAUGCCAGAAUAAAAGGAGUUUCAGAAUUUGAGCUCAAAGAUGUAUGCCCUUCUUGAUGCUUUUAAAUUACGUCUCAUCCAUUUAUUUUUUAUUUUUAUUCUUGUGAGCAAUUGAUAGUGAAAUUCUGAGAAGUUCAUGGACCUAUAUUGCUGUUAUUUUGUCAUGGGGAAUUAUCAUCUUAAUGCUAGGAGCCAACCUCUAGAAGGAUAACCUUGGUGUAACUGUAAUGUCUUUCCAUUUUGACUUUGAGGCAUUGGUUUGAUUCAAAACUUUUGGCCUGUUUGCUUGCAGGCAAGAGACACACAUACCUACCUACUUUAUUGGUGUUUCACAUGGAUAAUUUUUUGGUGGUUUAGGAAGAAGAUGCUUUCCAUGUUAACGAACUAAACUUAUAAAGAGAUUUGCAAAGGUUUUGCUACUUAAGUAUUAUGAAUUAACAGCCUUGACUUUGGAGGGACAAAUAUGAAUUGGAAAGUUGAUGCUAUUUGGGCUAUAAAAAGCAUUACUUGGAAAGUAUACUUUCAUUUUCCCAUAUUUAUCUUCUAUCUGUGAAGGUUGAUAUUGAAUAACUUUUGCAUGGGCACAACUCUAAACAAAUUAAUGUCCUGAGUUGAUCUAUGAACACUGCUGUAAAUCAAAAGAUUUCCUAUGUGUAUUGUUAUGAAUAGUUGAUUAUUAUUUAUUUUUCUUGUCCAAUGUUAAAUGCAUUUUGUCUUGUGGACAAACCAAACCUUCAAGCUUGGUGAACAAAUUACGAACUAUAUGUUAUUUGGUUUUACGUACCUUUUCUAGUGCUUAUUAAAAAAGAAUUCAUCCUGAACUUCAUAUUUUAUCAUUAUUUCCCAACAUCCAUGGAGACAAUUCAGUGCUUCUUGUUUGGGAUGAGGAAUAGAUGUAUCUUAUCAAGUUCAGGACUAGAAUGAGUCAAUUUCAUUAUAGUAAGAUCCAAGAGUCUGAAAACUGUGACACUAUUUUUUUAAUCUGCCAUCUGAAUAUCAGUUGUGGCUCUACAGCAUCAAUGAUUAAUGCUGGUAAGAACGUUAAACAGGUUGUUAGAGAAAAACUGGUAGAGUUUGAUUUGCUGAAGCAUGCCACUAAACCAUCGUUUGCCUUAAGUGGGGGAAACAAGCGUAAACUAUCUGUUGCAAUCGCAAUGAUCGGAGAUCCCCCAUUGUCAUUCUUGACGAGCCAUCAACUGGUAAUUAAUUCUUCUGAUGUUAGUUUGUGUGUAUUGUGAUUAGUAUUCUUAAUGCCCAUUAGUUUUUCCCUUCAUCUUCUUUUAGAUAUUAAAAAGCUUCUACCAUGCAUAUAUACCCAUUAUAAUACGCUUGUGCUAGUACAGCUGUGGGGUUUCAUCUCACCUGAAUAUCAGGAAAAGUCAUUCGGCAAGUGUAAGAUUGCUUUCUAUGAUAAACAACUUAAUUGUUGUUACAAAGAGAAACCUAAUAGUCUAAUCCUCAAUGUAAAAUAGUUCUCAUGCUGAGUAUCGUGCAUGGUCUGCCUCUAGUUAGGUAAAGAUCAGUGUUAGCUCCUUGUCUUGCUGCCAUAGGUCUGUCCAGAACUUAAGAAGCAGUUGCCAGGCUUGUAGUAGUCAUUUGAUUCUUUGUAUUCGUAUAAUUCUUAAAAAGAUGGUCUUUUACACAGCAUUUUUAUCCUCUAUUUUAAUAUUUUACUGUCACAUCCUUCUUUCACUCUCCAGCAGAAUUAUGCUUCAGCUUCUACCAUUUAUUUUCUGAUGCUUAACCAAUAUUUAAUGCCCAAAUUACUUUAGGUAUGGAUCCUAUGCCAAACGAUUCAUGUGGGAGGUUAUAUCCCAGCUAUCAACCAGACGAGGAAAGACAGCUGUCAUUCUAACUAUCAUAGCAUGAAUGAAGCACAAGCUCUGUGUUCUAGGAUUGGGAUCAUGGUAUGUCCUGUAGCAUUUAGCUUGUCUAUGAUAUGUAUAUAAUUGAAAUCUUGUAGUGCUAACUUGUACCCCUCCCACAAAAAAAUUCUGCUGCUUUUCUUUGUUAAACACAAUGUCAAAGGUUGGAGGCAGGCUUAGAUGCAUUGGAAGUCCUCAGCAUCUAAAAACGAGAUUUGGGAAUCAUCUUGAACUAGAGGUAUUUUCUUAGUUAAAUUGUUUGUCCAUGGUUCUUUGUGGCUAGAAAUCUUAUAUUUCACCAACAGGUCAAACCUACAGAAGUAAGCAUCAUGGACAUGGAAAAUCUAUGCCAAAUAAUACAAGAAAAACUCUUCGAUGUUCCAUGUCAUACAAGAAGUAUACUUGGUGACCUUGAAGUUUGCAUUGGAGCAAAGGACACUAUAGCAUCAGAAAGCACAUCAGUUGCAGAGAUUAGCUUAUCAGAGGAAAUCAUAGUUGCAAUUGGACGAUGGCUUGGAAUGAAGAAAGAGUACGGGCUCUUGUAUCUGCAAGUGCGAGUAAUGCUUCAUCUGGGGCUACUGGUGAGCAGUUAUCAGAGCAGUUGGUCCGUGAUGGUAAGUCUGCCUUUCAUCAAUCUAUUAGUUUCACACAAUUCAAAUAUCACUGUAGUGUUGUUUUUGGUCAUCGCUUACGCUUGCAGUCUCCCCUCCCCAUAGAAAUGACAAUUGCUUCAUAACUGAGUGGAUAUGAUCCUUUUCCUGGAUGAAUCUAAUAUCUUAAUCUACAAUCAUAUACUUUGAACUUUGUGUGUUAUGCAAUUAAUAUGUGCUCACCAAAUUUAAAUGGUGCAGAUCAAUUUAAAUAAUUGAGCAGCUCUGGUUUCUGACUCUUCCUCUCCCAAUGCCAAAUUUACACCCUGGAAUUUUCUUCUUUUUUUCAUCUCUGGGUUGGUUAAUAAGCCCAAGGCUUUCGCUUUAUUAAAUACUAAAGCUGUUGCAAUUCAUGACUAUAGGUGGUAUCCCACUGCCUGUAUUUUCGGAGUGGUGUUAACCAAAGAAAAGUUCUCUGCUAUUGAUUCAUUUAUCCAAUCAUCAUUUCCUGGCACCACAUUUCAUUUCAAGGUUGCAAUGGAUUGAGUGCUCAAUAUCAGGUAUGACUUGUGCAAAUUUUUUGCAUUUACUCUGUUUGUUUUAGAAUAUGUUAGCCUGCACUCUUACAUCAAGACUCCUAGUUUUAUUUGCUGAUGAAUAUGAAUGCCCCUUUUUUCUCCGGUAGAAUAAAGGAGCUUUUAGAUAUAUAGUAGGAAGUAACAGAAAUGAGUAGUGUAUCCCAAUUUUCCUGUUCUCUACUUGUAUUUUGCAGUAUUAUAGUCAGUAGAUGUAGAUGGUGAGCAUGAGGUGUAUUUGUCUAUUCGCCAGAACAAGAAGUAAACAAAUUUGUUUUGUUGUUUUAAAACACGCAGUGGCACCUGAGUUACUAGAAACAGCUUUCCUUGCUUUUUUCUUCCCAUUUAACUUGAAUCGAGAACAAUUUUACGUAAACUGAAAUUUAAAAUCUAUUUACAGGGUUUCCUUAUCCUUUCGAGGAACAUUCAAAUUGUUUCAUCCUCAGAUUUGAAUCUUGUGGUUUAUGCAUGACUGCAAUCUUGUUUUAACGUCAUCUUAAGAUUGUCAUAAGAAAUUUAUGGUGAUCAGUGGGAUGAACAUAAUUGGUUUUGAAUCCAAUAGCUAUCUUCUCCUACUAAUCUGGAAGGAUGAAUUAGACUUCAAGAUGAAUUGCAUUAUGGAUUCACAUAAUUCUUAAAUGAAACUAAGUUGUAACUAACCAGAAAGCUUGACUUGUAUGCCUAGGUAUAUAGGGGAUGUGCAAAUUGAUUAUGUGCAGCAGCAGGAGCAUUUAAAAAGAAAAAAAAUGCUAAUGCAUCAACUAUUCAACUCGUACAUACAUUUUGUGAAGCUUGCUUUUGGAUCUUUAAUUAGUUGAUGAUUUAUCUUCAAAAUGUUGCAGCUGCCUUAUGAGGAAGACCUCUCUCUUGCUGAUGUUUUUGGUCACCUAGAGCGUAACAGGUGCAGUAAUUACUCUUCGUGAAUUAUCAGCAUUUUCUAAAGCUUUUGGUACUGAUCACGUGUACUUUUUCAUCUCUGGAAAUUUACUGGGCAUCAAAGAGUACAGUAUCAGUCAAUCAACACUAGAGACAAUCUUUAACCAUUUUGCUGCUGCUAACACAUGAAAUAAAUACUAUUUAGCAUAACCUUAAGUGGAAGCUAAUCCCUUCUUGUUUUUAGAGUUUGAAGGGUCUUUUUCUUCCAAUAUAUAUGGUAAUUUUGCUGCAAGCAGUGGAGGAAUUCCCCUUGAUGCAGAUAGAAGAUUCGCUAUAGGCAUUUCUGUCCUCUCCACUAGGAGUAUUUUACCAAUAAAUGUAUUGCCUUUCACAGAUUACUGUGGAAGUAUAAAUCUGUCUUAUAUAAUGGAACUUUUUCAUUGCUUUAUCUCAUCAUUCAUACUCAGUGUUUCUUCCUACCCUUUUCCCUCUCAUUGUAGGUUUUUUUUUUUUUUUGUUGUUGUUGUCAAUUUUGGUUUUCAUUAAGACCAAGAGAAAGAGGUACAGAUGGUGGUGAAGCUUUCUCCAAAUACUAUAAAAUAACCCAAGCAAUUAACUUAGUUGAAGAUUUAACUCGGUAGCAACAACGAAGGUAUCAGGCACCAAUGAAGUUUGGCCAAACUUUGCCAACACAAGUUGUCUUAGUUGGUAAGGAUGGGAAAUUUCAUCACAAAAGUUAUGUGUUCGAAUUUCGCCAUCGAUGUGAGAACUGUGUCAGUGGGUCAUUUGUAAAAAUCUCUAUAAAUGACCUAUGUUUUUGAGGCCUAUGCCAUAAUUUGUGGUGGUGUUUGAGUCCGGUAAUAAUCAGUUUUAAAUUUCACCAUCGAUGUAAGAACUGUAUUACUGACGCCGAUUUGUAAGAAUCUUAUAAGCGACCUAUGGUCUCGAAACGAUGUCAGUUUUGAAUUUCACUAUCGAUGUAAGAACUGUGCUAAGCCGACCUAUGGUCUCGGAAUGAUGUCAUACUCCAUGGUGGUGUCUGGGUCAGCAAUAAUUUUGGUUGUCAAAUAAUAAAACAUCAAUAAACAAUUUUUCCUAGUUAAGAUCAAAUGUUGCGACCUUAGAAGUUAUACAAUCAAGCUUCCCUUGGACUUAUCCAGCAGCUUGUACGUGCAUGAGCUAGAUAUGGCGUCAGUAUUAUGCAAGAAAGUGAAGAAAACAUAACAAUCUACUAAUUUCUAAAUUCUUUGGCUAUUCUUCUUUGGUGGUGGGGCAACUGACUUAGAUUUAGGUAGAAGUUUUAGAUUAAUGGCAAUUCUCUACCUUCUAGUCUUUACAAUAAAAUCAAAGCGUGGCUCUCACGCUCUUGGAAAUUCCAACACACUUGUCUAAGUUCUGGUUAUUGGAAAAUAGUGUGAUUAAAGGGUUGAUUACACUUUCGUCCACGUAAUUUUGACAUUUUAACACAUAUUAGAUCACCCUCAACUAAUUUAUUUAAGCCUUUUGACACCUUAAGUUAUUCUUUUAUUAUUGAUCCAAAUUUUCCGAGAUUAUGAUAUUGAUGCUUUAAUCAUUAAUUUUUUUUUGCUUAAUCAUUAAUUUUGCCAAUCUCAUGAAUCAUGAUUUCGAAUUAUAACGUAUUAUAACUUAUUUCGUUUCAAUAAACGAUUGGAAUUUCAAAAUAUGUAUAAUUGGAUAUUGGCCCAGCUGUAAAAUUCAAUAUUGAACGAAUGAUUAAAUGCUUAGUCUUUCGUCAAAAGUAGAUGUGGAUAAGGAAACUGGAUUUUUCAAGCUGAUUAGGUCAUGAGUUUCUGAUUUCUAAGGAUCCAAAGUUCCAUUCAACACCAACUUCACCAACAAUGACAUACACAUAAUUGUAAUCUUUAGAUAACAGAUUGGUAAGGAAAAAAAUUAAAAAAAAAAAAAAACAGUUCAUGUGAACAAAUAUAGAACCAGUUUUAGGUUCAAUUAGACCUAAGACUAAAACCUUUUUGUUUUUUU
rnacentral:lncRNA from 1 species